rnacentral:lncRNA from 1 species
GAGAGAGACUGGUUGAGAGCUUCAAGCCCUUGGGAGAGAGCCUCUUCAGCUUCCUGUGUAGAUUGUCGUAGCCCACAAAUACCCAAUAGUUGCUGCUCCGUUAAUGGCUCAAUUUGGUUCAGAAUAAUCUGAUUUAUCAACAACAACAAAAACCCAAUAAUUAAUGUCAAUAAUCUCUCCAAUAUUAAUCGUUUAAAAUCUUAUGUUUAUACAAGCGAUAGUCUAAAAUACUUUAAAUUAACAUAAUCUACGAGAAGUCUGAUUCGAACAUAGGUGCAAUAUGGGGCAGACCCGCUGUACUGGCCAACUAACCUAACUCACACAUCUACUAAUUGAUUAAAUGUUGUAAAUAUCAUGCAUGCAAAUACCCAACUUUCUUGACUGUUGUUUUUUGCUUAAUUAUUUGCAAGAAACCAAAGAUAAAGAUGAAGACAGAAACAAGAUAGAGAAAGAAAUCAAAAGAGGAAGACACCCGUGUAACUCUCUUUCUUGGCUCUCUCAUUCUCAGAGGCCAAAAUUUGCAUUAACAGACAUGACUUUAGGGGGAUUGACACCUAACUCUACCCUUUAGUGGAAACCCUUCACGUUGCCUUUCGUCAUUCAUGAUAUUCACAAUGAGAGAAAUGAGAUCGAUUAAUAUUCUUUGCUACUGCCACCCACAAGUACUUAGAUGUACAUGUACCCAUGAGUCCAUGAAGACAUGACCCACAUGCAUAUAUUUUACUUCUCAUUUUGAUCAUAAUAUAUGCUCCUUGUACUAUAGUAUGUCAUCAUAUCCCUUCACAUGUAUACAUCAUUCUUAUCUCUCUCUUCCCCUCUUGGAACUUGUGAUGAAUUCUUACUAACACAAAAACAUAUAUGAUUAAGCAAAUAAUUAACCUUUUUUUGCUUCUGUUUUAUGUAAUUUAGCUCAAGUUCCAAACAAAAUUUUGAAUAUGGUACUCUUCUUAGAGAAAGAUUAUAUAUAAGCGCCACGUAUAAUGAUUUUUUACUAAGCUCUCGUAAUGUACUCUUGUCAUUUUCUUCUCACACAAUUCGUGUUGUACUUCUUUUUCCAAGAAAUUUGACUAUUUUCUAAGAAGCAAAUUAUGAAAUAACAAUAACUAAUAAUUAUAAGGAGAUGUGUAUAAAUCUAGGAUUAAUUAGAGGGGCAUGCACCUUGAUGACCUCAGAGGGCCGAAAUCCACCCAUCCACAUGAAGCAUCGCUCAGCUGGAGUCUUCCACAUGCCAGAGACAAUGUGAAACACAUCUGUCUUGGCAACCAUGCUUUUGAGGUUCAUCACUUCAUCGUAGUGUGCUAAGCAAUUGUCCACAAACAGCCGCAGCUCAUUCUCCGGUAGAUGCUCUUGCACCGCUGCUCGAAGCUCGCACAUGAGACGAUGGUGCUCCUCCUGCCACCUUGCAUACUCUAUAUCGAAAACUGCCGCGUCUAGGAAAAAAGGCAGACAGAAGAAAGAAGAAAAAUGGGUUUCAGGCUUUCAAGGUUUAUUUUGAGAGAUGGCUGAAUCUAAGAAAGAAAAGAAUAUAGAAUAAUUUUUUUAUUAAAUGUUAUUAUUACCUGAGCUAAUGCUGUUCAUACCAAGAGGAAGGCCUUGUUGAUCUCCUCCUACAAUACCUCCUCCAAAGAACAUGCCCUAAUAAAACAAACCCCAAGUCUUAAAAGAAUGGUUCAGGAAAAAAAUCAACCAGAAAAUACCCAAUUAAUUAAGAGCAAGUGUUUCUUUCAAUCAUGCAUAAAAUAAAAUAAAAAGAAGUUAUAAUCACCUGAGAUCUAGCUCUUUGCAGCUCUUGCUCCAGCUGAGUAAGCUUAAUCCUACUUGUCUCUAACUGCUGGACAUAAGCCUGUCAAAGCACACCAACAAAAAAAAAAUGGUGUAAGGAUUUAAAGAAGAAAAGUUAAAAUGAGUUGCAAACCUUCAGUGGAUUGAGUACCUUUUUUCUAAGCCUGCUUUUCCUGGCUGCCUCUCUAUUCUGAGCAAGCCUUCUCAGUGUCUGCACACAAAUAAUCAUAGCAAACGUUGGAAAUCGUUGUCGUAGAGAGAAGAAAGAGAGAAGAAGUGCAAAUCUUUUGCCAUAAAAAAGUGAACCUUAGGGUCUGGUGUUUUGGGUCCUUCUUGCUCUGAACUUGAUGUAGUUGGACCCUUGCGGUUUCCCUCACGCUGCCACAACAUUCAAAGUAACACACAACGCAACAGAUAAAUUAGUCAAAACAAAUUCAUAUAAUUUUGAUAGAAAAUACAUGGCUCUACUAAUUUCCAGACGUCCGCAUAGGAAAAAAUGAUAAUUUAUUUUAUUAAAAAUUAUAUAUAUAUAUAUAUAUACCUUGAUAGCUUUGGCAGGUUCUUGAGGGCGAGACGAAGGAGCAGGAGCAGAAGCAUCUUUGCGAGGGUUGGCCAACUCCAUGGACGGCUCUGAUGGUCUCUUUGAACCACUCAUUGCUGCAGGAGAAACUAAUCCCGUACCAGCUGCCUAUAUACCAAACCCAAACGAACCCAUUUUAGAAGAGAUAUUCAAAAGCUUAAUUUCAAUGUGCUAGUUAGCUAGCUUUAUAAAAUAAAUAUAAAUAAAAUAUAUAGUCUUAAACCGACCAACAAGAAAUCAAUUAAAAUACUAUGGUAUUAUACAAUGCAAAUAAUUAAAAUAACGGUUAGAGUAAGAUACUUUGGUUGAUGGUGGCUCUACGUGCAUAGGCUGCGAUGGGAAAAUAUUCAAAGUUGGAGGCCUCAUUCCAGAUAAGGAGUUAUUUUGAUGAUCUGCACAAAAAUAUUCCAAAUUGUAGACAUUAAUAUUGAUCUAAAUAUGUACAUAAGAGAAAUAGCUAGAGAGAGAGAGAGAGAGAGAGAGAGGAAGGACCCAGAGAGAGAGAGAGGUCUCUAUAGUAAUGAUUAAAGGAGGACCAAAAUGAGUUUGGAAAUUUGAAUUAAUAUGGUCCUAUUAUUUCUUUUUCUUUUUUUUUUAUUUAAGGAAAAUGGAAAACCCAUACACACAAUGGUCCUAUCUAGCCAGUACCCUUUUUGUUUUUUCAGUACAUGUGGGAUUUGUAGCAAGGAAGUCAUGAUCAGGCAGAGGGGGUUUGUUACAUGUUUGUCAGGGUCCAAGCAACUCCAAAGAAGAAGAAACAAAAAAUCAAAAAGAAAAGGAGAGACAGGUGGUAUUUCAUGGAAAUUUCUGAAUUUCCUUGUGUUUAUGCCUUUUUUCUCUGGUAGCUAGGAUCUGGUCAAACAAAGUACCGGGCAGAGAGAGAGAGAGAGGUGGCAGAUAAUUUUGUUGAACAUGCUUUUGCUGUGACCCAAAACAAUAUUUUCCAAGUAAAAUCUCAAAAGGACUGAGGACUGAGAGCAGGACGCAGGCCAAGAAAAGAAGCAAAAUAUAUUAUUCUCUUUGUGAUUCUCUCUUUCUCUCUGAAUCAAAGGGUAGAGUGCGAGAGAGAGAGAGAUAGAAGGAGAAAUGAAACGACAGAGGUGCUUACGUCGUUGGGUGUCCUGAUGAAGAUGAUGGGUGGUAGUAGUAGUAGCAGUUGAGGAUGAGUUGUGAUGGUCUUGUGACUGUCCAUCAAGGUAGAGGAAAAGGGCUUGAUCUAAUUCUCCCAAAUCAUAAGCUCCACUGUCUUUGCUUCUGAUCACACAAAAUUAUAAUUAAUCAAGAAACAUAAAAUUAUAAGAUCAUGGGAAGAUGAUGAUGGUGAAUAUUAUUAUUACAUGAAGUUCCCAGCAGGAAUAUUGGAGGAUGAUGACUGCAUCAUGCCAUACUGAAUCUGCUGCUGCUGCUGAUGUUGAUGAUGAUGAUGGUCUUGUAUUUGAUGGUGUUGUUGUUGAUGAUGAUGAUGAUGUUGUUGUUGUUGUUGUUGUUGUUGUUCAAGUUGGUUGUUUCCUUGAAUACUGGAAGCCAUGAAAGCAGAAGAAGUUCUUGCAGAAGCCAAGAGCCUUGUCUCCAAUAAUAUUUGCUCUCCUUUCUCUUCUUCCUCGUCUUCUGCAAAAUUAAAUUCCCUUGAAAACCCCAUUAAUGGCAAAACCGCCUUCUGUUUCCUGCUAACAAGAUCAUCCUCCCUAUAGAGAGAGAGAGAGAGAGAGAGAGAGAGAGAGAGAGAGAGAGAGAGAGAAAGAGAGAGAGAGAGAGAGCGAGAGCAAGUCGGUUAUGAGUUGAAGAGAGCUUGCAAGCUGUUGCGCUGAUAAUUAAAGAGAGAGAGAGAGAGAGAGAGAGAGAGAGAGAGAGAGAGAGAGAGUGAGAACAAAAGAAUGGAAUUCAAUGUAAAGAAACAAAAGAGACAAGCCUUUUUUUCCUCUCAACCUCUCUCUCUCUCUUCUCUCUUCUCUCUUCUCUCUCUUCCUCUCUUUAAGAAGUAGACGACUUUAUUUUCUGCUGUAAACCAAAUAUUCAGAUAAAGCGGUUCUUAAGAUAUCCACUCUGACUCUCUCUCUCUCUUGAUAUCAAAACCAGAGAAGACCUGGGGGAGAAUCCGCUUUUUAUUUGUUUGUUUAUAAUUUCUUAUAUGGAAAACCGCUUACGGCUUCCUUGUCCAAGAAGACCAAGCCUCCUCUUAGUCCGUUCAACCUAUAUGAAAUGACCAAAUUGCCUUGACCAUAUAAUCCAUUUCAACUUCUACUGUUCACAUUUUUGUUGUAAACUAGACGUAGAUGGGUCAUGGGUAAGGCGGCUUUUUGUCAAAAUAAUCAAAAUAAUACAUUUGGAAAUUCAUUAAAUAUAAGCAACUUAUUAAUUAUAUAUGCUGUAAUUUUUAUCCGUUUUAAUUUUGAUUUUAACAUGUUAGUUUAUUACCAUGUUAAAAUUAUUGUAUUUCAUCUAAUGAAGUUUCUCUUGAUAAAAAAAAAAUUGUUUAUGUUAAUUUCGUUCAAGAAUGUAUGGGUACUAGAAAGUUAAACUUAUUCAAUCAAAUGAUUAAUCAUUGUCUUUGGACUAAAAGUAAAAGUCAUGCUAUAUGCUUGACAUUUUACCAAGAUGAUGAUGACCACCUACUAUUUCAUAGAGUGGGAAAUUGUGGAGAGAUUGUACUUUCCCUUAAUGGAAAGCAUGUAAAUUUGGAUUCCACUUAGUCCAAAAAUGAAAAUUUUUUUUAUAGCUAAAACCUAAAUUUACUUAGAUUGUAUAGGUAUUCUUCAAAUUUUGUUUACCUAAGAAUAUUUCUCUUUUGGGAAUUCAUAGUAUAACACCCUUCAAGGUUCUAAAUUAAUUGUUAGUUUUUAUGAGUAUACCAUUCCCCGUGCUUUAAGAGCCAUGCAUAUGUUUCAAAAAUGGAAAUAAAAUAUAAAGAAUUUCAAAUUCCAUUUAUUUUUUAUAUUUUCUUUACCAAAAAGCAAUAUAAUUUACUCUUCAUUUCCUAAAAGUCGAUGAAAGGGCUCUUUAGUUUUAACCUAUAAAAAACUUAACUAAUUUGGAAGAAAGAUAAUUAAUUUUGCUUAAUUAAUAUAAAACCAAAGCCACUUAAUUUUACCAAAAGGACAUCCAACAACCCUAAAAUUACUACAUGUGUCAUUGUGCUUAACUGUCAAAUACAGUUUAUUUAAUUAUAAACCAAAACUUAAAACUGUCAAAACGACAUAACAUUCCUACAAAACACAACACAAAACGACACUACUCAAAUUUAAUCACUUCAAAAACUGGUUUCGCUCGACCUUUCAUAUCCCACUGCAAACCUACAAACUAUUCUCCAAAAACGAAGCCGAUGAGCAGCAACGGGGACGACCAGAAAUGAAGACGACGAGCAACGGCGACGACGACCAACGACGACGACCAACGACCACCGACGACGAGCAACGACCACCGACGACGACCGAAGCUAAACCGUAAGAAAAUGAAUCAGUACUCUCUUCGAUUUUAAGUUUUACACCGAUGACGGUUUCAGUACUGUUUCUUCCUUUUGGUUUCUGGUUGUUUGUAGCAGAUUUUGACCUCUGGUUCCAUAAUUCAAUUUCAGAGUGCUUUUUGCUAGGGUUUAUGGGAAUGUUAUAACUGCUCAUGAAGUUAAAUGUGUUUUGAUAUUCGUUUUUGCUACUGUUUUUGCCUUUUGGUUUCUGGUUGUUUAUCUUCGAUUGAGUUUCUGGUUGUUUGUAGCAGAUUUUGACCAGAAACUUUUGGUUUCUGGUUGUUUAUCUUCGAUUGAGUUUCUGGUUGUUUGUAGCAGAUUUUGACCAGAAACUGCAGUUUCUGGUUCCAUAAUUCAAUUUCAGAGUGCUUUUUGCUAGGGUUUAUGGGAAUGUUAUAACUGCUCAUGAAGUUAAAUGUGUUUUGAUAUUUGUUUUAGUACUUUGCCUUUUGGUUUCUGGUUGUUUGUAGCAGAUUUUGACCAGAAACUGCAAUGCAGUUUCUGGUUCCAUAAUUCAAUUUCAGAGUGCUUUUUACUAGGGUUUAUGGGAAUGUUAUAACUGCUCAUGAAGUUAAAUGUGUUUUGGUAUUAGUUUCAGUACUGUUUUUGCCUUUUGGUUUCUUUUCACAUCAAAUUUUGAGCAGCAGUUUCUGGUUGUUUGUUGCAGAUUUUGACCACAAACUGCAGUGCAUAUCACAAAAUGGAACAAGAAAUGUCACCACAAAAGAAUGAAGCUGAAAACCAACCAAAGCGCAGAAUCAAAACGAUGGCUCAAAAGAGUAAACAAAAGCCAAAGCCAAACUAUGAUCGGAAAGCAAAGCACCCGGACUAUGUCCAAUUUCGGUGCAAUGCAUAUGCUUUCAACAGCAUCAUUAGAGACAUAAAGGACAAGCUCAAUGAAAGGCAGAAGAAGCAUCUCAAGAAAACCCCUUUCAAAAAGCGUGGACAAGAAAUUCAUGAAUGAAUAUCGAGCAAAAUAUGUCACAAAACUCCUACACCACAAAAACUGUGUAAUUAAUCGUCUCUAGUGAUUUGCCUUUCGUUAACUCAAGACAAUAUGUAUCUUAAUUCUUGUGGAUGUUUGUAAAUAUUUCUAGUUAUGGUAUAUGAGAACAUAUUUCCUAUACAUAUAAACUGUAAUAUAAUCUUGGAACAGGAUGCAACAAAACGAAAAGGAAACAAACAAACUGCACUGAAUUUUCUGGUCAAAAAUACUGCAACAAAUUAAAACUGCAGUGCAGUUUAUAUAAAUAAAUAAAAAUAAAAAAUCAGCUCAAAAAAUGUGAAAAGAACCCAAACGCCAAAGCCAUAAUCAAAGUACUAAAACUUUGUUCAAAACACAUUUAAGUAGGUCAGCAUUGAAAUGUAGUUUCUGCUCAUAAUCUGCAACAAAUAAACAGAAACUGCACUGCAGUUUUUGCAACAAAAUCUGAAAUAAACAGAAACUGCAGCAGUUUCUGCAACAAAUAAACAGCAAUGCAGUUUCUGCAACAAAAUCUGCUCAAAAUCUGAAAACAAGCAUUGAAUGGCAAUCGAAAACGAAUAUCCACUCAUUAAACAAUUAGAAGCUGUGUAGCCAAUUAUAAGCAACUAAAACUGCAAUACAGUUUUUGCAAAAAGUGCAACGCAGAAACUGACUAUACAUUCGCUAAACCAUAUCUAAAAUAAAAAAUUGUCAAAUGAGAAGGCGUGUUCAUAUAAUAGCCUUGCAAGUCUUCCUAUUGUGCCCAGCAACACUGCACCGACUGCAUUUCAAUGGCCUUUUAAAUUCACCAAAAACUUUGAUCCUCUUUGUUGGUGGUCUUCCGGCUGGCCUCUUUGUAAUUGGCGGAAGCACAACUCCAGCUGCAGAACCAUUGCUGCCCAAUCCUUUCCCAAUAUCUGGCCAAAUCAUUUAUAAAUGUGAAUUAAAGCCAAAUCAUUUCACCCCACACCAAAGACAAGGCUGGCCAAACGAAUUGUUAGAUCCAUAUAGUCUUAAUAAAUCAAUAGAUACAGAAACUUCGCUUGAGAAGAAUCUGAUAUAGAAAAUUGAAAUAACGGAUCUAUUGUUAGAUCCAUAUAGGUUGGCCUAAUAGAUCUACAAAAUUGAAAUAAGAAUCUGAUCUAGAAAACACAUACCUCACCAGAUGAAAAACAGAGCUUUGCGUGAAAAGAAGGAAGAUGAGAGAGACGGUGUUGUUGUUGAUGGAGACUAAUAAGGAAGAGGAGAGAGAGCGAGUGUCAUCGUCGUUGAUUGAGCGAAGAAGGAAGAGGAGAAAGAGAGGGCGUCGUAUCGUCAAUGGAGAGAAGAGGGAGUCGUCAUCGCUGGAGUGAAUAAGGAAGAGGAGAGAGAGAAAGGUGCUUAAAUCUGAUUUUAAAACAAAAGGGUAAAAUUGUAUUUUACCUUUAUAAUUUAGACAGGCCCAACGAAUCUGGCCCUCCUCUUUAGCCUAAUCCAAAAUAACAAUUCUUUUCUAGGUAUUAAAACCCAAACAAAAAUGCCCAAUGUCUCAAAUACUAAUUAGUAAAGUUAAUUAUGUCUAUUACCUAAUUUUUCUUAUCUAAUUUUGUUUUUAAUAUAAAAAAUGUGAAUUUACCAUAUUAUCUUUAUUUAAUUAAUAAUUUUAAUUCUUAAUGUUUGAAUUAACCAAGGGUAUUUUCUGCUAUUUUGAAUGUUUCACCAUUCUCUGCCUUUUGCUUUAUAUAUAUAUAUAUAUAUUAUAUGAAUUUUUUUAAUUAGUAUGAAACAUAUUAGCUUCUAAAUUAAAUUGUGUAUGCGAAAAACCAAAAAUAUAAGCAUGUGUCGGCAUCAUCAUGAAAAGAGAGACAGAUAUACUAUAAGGAUUCGUUUGGUACACCGUAUUAGACUCUUGAUAGGAGUAUAUAGUACAUGUCAACUGUUUGGUGUCAACUUGUAUUAUUUAAUUACCCGACUAUUUUAAACAAAUUGGGCUUUUAAUACUCUCUUUACCGGACUAACUAAUACAACUCACACACUCCGGUUUAGAACUUAUAUAUUGAUAUGCGAAUAGGACUUAUAUUGAUAUGCGUAUUAUGAUAAGCUUAUGAAUUUUGCCUUCGAAACUCAUAAGCUUAUAGUUCGAAACAAUUACUUAAUGAUAUUUUCUUCUAAAAUUCAAAAAAAUAAGUAUGACAUGGGAUCAUUUUCAUAGGACUUGAAAUUUGCAAAUUACCAGCUAUUCCAAAAAAAAUUAGGGAGGUUAUUGGGGAUAUAGGAUGGAGGACUACCUUCAUUUUGAAAAUAUUUUUUGUGGGAAACACUACAUCAUAAACGAAUGGUUCCAUUAUUAAUGACAUCGAGGCCUUUUGUAUAAAAAUCUCACACUUGCAGAAUAUGCAUGUGGUUAAGUUGGGGACAGUAUCAAUGUUGCUAGUAAUAGGUCGUGGGUCCAUCCCUCUAAAAUUUAACAUGAUUUCAGAGUGGGCCGGUCGACUGGGUCCGCAUGAACCCGAAUCAAACAAAACCACGAAUGUCCCUGAAUUGAAGAAAAUAAAAGUUACCAAUAUGUUAAGAUUUCAAAAGGAUGGGCCCAUGACCCAUUACUAGCAACAUCGAUAUUGUCCCCAACUUAACCACAUGCAUAUUCGACAGGUGUGAGAUUUUUAUACUAAAGGCCUCGAUGUCAUUAGUAAUGAAACCAUUUAUCAUAUGUUGUAUUUUAUUUUCUCUACUUUUCAAUGUCGAAACACCACAUAGUGAGACACAAGUGGAGCCAAGUUCACAUCGGAUUCAAUCAUUCAAGCCCAACACGUGAGCGCUAAAUAUUGAAUAAGGAUAAGGGUAAGGGUCGAGUAAUUCAGACCCAAUCAAUCAGCUCGCUCUGAUACCAUGUUAAUUUUAAAAGAGACAGGUCAGCAGCCCCUUACUAGCAACACCGAUAUUGUCCCAAAUUUAACCACCUACAUAGCCCAGUGGGCGUACGGUUUUCUCACAAAAAGCCUAGGUGUCAUUAGUAGUGGAACGAUUCAUUAUAUGUUGUAUUUUAUUUUGUCAAGUUUUCGUUGUAGGAAUUCAUAUUUUUCAACAAGAAGUGUGUUUGUUUAACAAUCAAAGUGCUUCUUGGAAAAGAAAUUAUAAGUAUUUGGUGUUUCUCCAAAAAGUACUUCCAAGUAACCCAAAAACAAUUUUCAAUUUUUUGGUCAAACGAUACGAGAAACGCUUUUGGUUAGUAACUCAUAAAUGCAAUUUUGUGUGUGUAAUUUUCUUUGUAAAAAACUUGUGUUUGGUUUGUGCAAACAAAUUCAUGGGACAUAAGUUCCCAUGUCUUUUCAAAUGGAUGAGAAAUAGAUAUCUAUUUCUCAUGUUUGAUAAUGUUGGGAAAGCAACCAUGAAAUCUUUUUUUUUUUUUUUUCAUGUUUGUUUUGUGUAGGAAUUGGUAAUAAAAUUUGUUUAAUUUUCAAUUAUACCCCUAAGUUAGAAAAACGUAAUUAAUCAUUUUCUUGAUUUGUUUAAUUUUAUAUGGGCAAAUUGGUCAUAAAUAAUGUAAUUAAUGAUUGACUUGAUUUCUCAUGGGAAAGGAAAAUGAAACCCAAGCUGGAUAUGAAGGGUUUCAUUUUACAUUUUCCCAAACCUAGACUCACAAAACAUAGAAAAGGAAAUUAUUUCUCAUUUCCAAACCCGUUUUCCCGCUAACUAAAGGCCUAAGAGGUGCAACGUUUUCAAAGAGUGUUGCGUCUUUUAUGUUCAAUAAAAUUUAUCACCGUUGUACAAAAAAAGAAGAAGAAGAACUAGUUUAGCAUGCAAUAAAACUAUCUUUGAAAAAUCCAAUUUUUUUGCAGUGCGGUUGCUUUGCGCUCUCCCAGUUUGUUGUAUGUCCUUGCUACUGAGUUGUAUACAUUGAAAUUUGGGAUUUCCUUUGCAAUUGAUGCCUUCUUCUUCCCCUUGAUUAUUGAGACUAACUCUUUAUCUGCAACCCAAUUGAUUCUUAAGGAUGAGGUAUGUUAUGGGCGGAAGGGGUCUUUGUGGAGGACAUUGGUUGCCUCUUGGCUUUAGUGUCGUCAUGUUCUGUUCGCUAUGUUCCCCGAACUGCUAAUGGUGUUGAUGAUGGCAUUGCGCGUUUUAGUCUUAGUCAAGAGGAUCUAUCUUUUUAGUUUGAUGAGCCACCCCUUUGGUUGCAGGACUGUCUUUGUAAGGACUCUUCUGAUAGUUCCAGUGAUGUUUUGACUCUUAAGUAGUCUAUGGAGUGUGUGACACGCUUUCUUCCUCUGCAGUUUUAAUCCUUACUAGUUUGCUGCAUGAUUAGUUUGGUCUCCUUAGCCAAUUUGAGAAUUAUAUAUGUGCUGUGGUGAAAAUGUGCAGGGCAUUUUAGUAAUCAAAUUAAUUUGGAUUUUGAUUCAUGAAAAUUAGUAAACAAUAACAAUAGGAAUCAACCCCAUUCCUUUGCUAAUUCCAUAUGUUUAGUAAACAGUUUAAUGAGAAUGAUUCUUCCAAUACCGAUUCAGUAGUUCUCCGAUUCCUAAAUUCUCCGAUUCCUUACUUUCUCCAUUACUGAUACGUAAACAUGCCCUGAGAGGGAUUCAACCCCUAAUUCAUAUUUUGACAAUUAAAAAUCCCAAAUACAUAUUUUUUUUUCGGACCUUUCUUGUUGAGAGGGUGAUAACAUAUUAAACUCACACUCACUGCAUGAAUGUAGGACUUGAACACAGGACCUUUCCUAGAGAAGUAAUUGCUCAAAACCACUACACUAGUGAGUCCUUUGAACCCCUAAUUCAUCUUAAUUAUAACAUAAUAUUUCAACUUUUUUUCAUCACCACAUACUCCCAUUACUUUAAUGGGGGAUAGUUUUGAAAUGCACAUAACUCUUUUUUAUUUAUUUAUUAUUAUUACAUUUUGUUUUGGGGGAUUAUCACUACUUUAAGUAAGAAAACAAAAGUGUGAUAAUAUAUAUAUAUAUAUAUAUUUCCAAAACAGAAGUGGGAUCUAUUUGUCUUAUGGCAUGAAGGCAAUGACAUGGUUGGGCAUGUGCCAUGAGACGCAACACAAUUGGGGAAUGUGCACUAACUUGUUGAUGACGCAUUAAGAGAACGGCGUCAUUCUAUAGUUUGUUGUACAUGAUCUUGACACAUGGCAUCAUCUUGUGCGUUAGGCGGUUUAAACCGAUUGAGAGAUCAACGCUUAAGAUCAUUUUUGAAACUUUUAUAAUCGCACAAGUUUGGAUGGAAAGACAAAGGGUUUGUUUGUGCAAAUUUCUCACGGGAGAAUAUUUGUAAGAGAUUCUUUGCCCUUCGAGCUUCCUUCUCUCUCUUCUUCCUCGAUUCCUACAAAAAAGACUGAAGUAAAUAAACCACACCAGGUGGGUGUUGGCCAAAGGACCUUCGAUACCUAAGUCAAUCAAAUGAUCUUGAGAAAAAUGCGGAGGUAAGAGAAAGUUCGGAGUUUUCUCUAUAGUACGAGAGAACAUGGCAGCCGGAGUAGUGUGUGGUGAUGGCCGGAGCCGUGUGGGAGAGAGAGAGAGAGAGAGAGAGAGAGAGAGAGAGAGAGAGAGAGAGAGAGAGAGGGAUUCGACUAGGGUUUUGAGUAUGAGUUUAGAAUUACCUCAUGUGUGUUGUGUAGCCAUGUACAUAUAGACUCCUUGUUUGGCUAUGGUUAGGAGAAUAAUCCUUAUUUAAUUAGGAUUAUUCUUGCCCAAAAAGAUUAUAUGAAUUAAUCAAAGAGGUUUGCUGAAAAUUGGUUCCUUGAUUUAAGGAGAUAUUCCUAUCUUAAAUCAAAGAUAAUUCCCUAAUUAAAGAUUUAAUUAGGUUAAUUAUUUGAACUAAGGAAUAUCCUUUUUUCACGUGUCACCUUCUUAUUGGUCGCCGAAAUAUUUGCUCCCACAGAGUUCGAGCGUUAUUUAUUUAUUAAGAUCCUGCAACGUCGUUGAAUCAUGACCAUCCAUCUCUUUCUUCUUGCAAUGAUUUGGACCAUCUAAUUGAACAAACAACAUGGGAUAUAUGGUUGUUUUGCAUUUCAUUUUUGGUGACAUUAUGCGAAUUAAUUUGAAUCCUAGUCAUUUAAUUCUAGCCGUUGUAUUAAUUUGAAUCCUUUUAAUUAGUAAAUCAUUCUAGAUUUAACUAACAAAUAAUUUAAACAUGGGACAUCUUUCAACUUUAAAAAUAAAGGUAUCAUUAGAUCAAAAUUGUUAUAUUGAGGUUAGUUGUAUGAAGUUUCUAGGCUUCCGCCAUAUGUGUUGGCGUGACUUGUGGAUAUGGACUUACUUUCCUUACACACCAAGAAUUCCUAUUAUAAUUGUAAUUGAUUUACUUUAAUUCUUGAUUUCCUACUGUAAAUGGAUUUAGGAAUUUAUUAUUUACUUGCCCAUUCAGGUUUUGUUGUAUUAUAAAUAUGACCUCCUACAAGGAGAAGAAUACACAGAAAAUUCCCACAAACAAAUAUUCUCUCAUAGUUUUCAUAUUUUAGCAUGAUAUCAGAGCGGCGAUCUUGGGAUUGCUGACUCUAGUUUCUAAACCCUAGUCGCCACCAUGGGGGAGGAUGACUCUUCUAAUCCCCAUGGCGGUAGCACCACUGCUUCCUCCUCUCCUUCUCAACCAACCAUAGCCGAGUUGAGUGCUCAGGUGGCUCAACUAAUGCAGAUGCAGACUCAGACCUCAACAUUGAUCCUAAAUCAGGAUCCUACCAAGACGACCCCGACCUUGACUGAGACGACGACCCCGACCUCGAAUCAGACGACGACCUUGAACCCGAAUCAGACAACGAUUCCAACGACAAUUACCUAUGAAGCUUCCGCUGCACAGAUUGGCAUAAAGUUGGAUGGCACCAACUAUGCCCUAUGGUCCCAAGUUGUAGAGUUGUAUAUCUCCGGCAAAGACAAAUUGGGAUAUAUUAAUGGCGAUCUUCCGCAACCUCCUUCGACUGCUCCAACGUUUCCUCGCUGGCGCACCGAGAACUCUAUUGUGAAGGGAUGGCUUAUCAAUUCUCUGGAGCAGAGCUUGAUUGGCAAUUUCAUUCGAUUUUCAACGGCAAAAGCAGUGUGGGAUGCAAUUGCCACAACUUACUAUGAUGGCAUUGACACUUCUCAGGUUUAUGAUCUGAAACGACGAGUCUCUUGUAUGCGACAAGCUGGUGGCUCCAUUGAAACCUAUUACAAUACUCUCCAAAGCUUAUGGAGAGAAAUUGAUUUUCGUCGUCCAAAUAUGAUGGAGUAUGAAAGUGAUAUCAAGCGCUAUAAUGAUAUUCUGCAGGAAGAUCGAGUUUACAUAUUUUUGGAUGGCCUUGAUGAUCGUCUUGAUAAGGCCCGAAGUGAUAUUCUUCACAUGACUCCAUUCCCUACUGUUGACCAAGCUUAUGCCUAUGUUCGCCGUGAAGAUGUUCGACAAGCAGUGAUGAUGGGUUCAUCCGAUCGAGCCACUGGUGCUGGCUUAGCGGCCAAGAGUGCGCCUCGAUCAGGUCCCCCUACUCGUGUCGCACAGCCCCAUAAUUCCUCUACUGCAGCCCACCUUCAGAUCCCGUCAUAUGCUACUGCUGCUGGUGCGCCACUUCCUAAAACCAUCCCACCUUCCCGUCCCAAGGCUCCGACUGAUGGAAGUGGUUGCACGCACUGUGGCAACCUCAAACAUACCCGUGACACCUGUUUUAAGCUAAAUGGUUAUCCUGAUUGGUGGGAGGACCUCCGCGCUCGCAAGCUCAGAGAAACUGCUAGUAAUUUUGGCAUUGCUACUCUUGUCUCUACCGAACCCCCAUUAGCCUUGUUCCCGCAGGUAGAUCCUCCUGAUAGUCCCGCGCUUUCGGAUGUCUCAGGUAACCUUGGUUAUGCAUAUCAUACUUAUGAUCUACGAGAUACUACUGGUUGGAUAAUUGAUUCUGGCGCCACUGAUCAUAUGACCUUUGAUCCGAAUGAUUUUUUGCACACCACUACACCCCGCCGCACAAGUAUUGCCAAUGCAAAUGGAGUUACCUAUCCUGUGACAGGGGCCGGCACUGUUGCCCUUUCACCUUCUCUGUCCCUUUCUAAUACUCUACUCGUUCCAUCUUUGUCCAAUAAAUUAAUGUCUGUGAGUCAGGCAACUGAACAACUAACUUGUUGUGCACUAAUUUAUCUCAAUUUUUGUUUACUACAGGAUAUUCUCACCAAGAGAUCAUUGGGGCGUGGUACUAAAAGAGGGGGGGGCUGUACUAUGUGGAUGACUUCAGUNNNNNNNNNNNNNNNNNNNNNNNNNNNNNNNNNNNNNNNNNNNNNNNNNNNNNNNNNNNNNNNNNNNNNNNNNNNNNNNNNNNNNNNNNNNNNNNNNNNNNNNNNNNNNNNNNNNNNNNNNNNNNNNNNNNNNNNNNNNNNNNNNNNNNNNNNNNNNNNNNNNNNNNNNNNNNNNNNNNNNNNNNNNNNNNNNNNNNNNNNNNNNNNNNNNNNNNNNNNNNNNNNNNNNNNNNNNNNNNNNNNNNNNNNNNNNNNNNNNNNNNNNNNNNNNNNNNNNNNNNNNNNNNNNNNNNNNNNNNNNNNNNNNNNNNNNNNNNNNNNNNNNGGCUUUAUUUGAUGAAAAAUAAGAAUGAGUAUUUCCGUGUCCAUCUUUCACAACAGAUGAAACACAGUUCCAUGCUCGAUCAGAUUCUUCGCUCUGACAACGGUGGAGAAUUUGUUAAUCAUGAUUUUCAGACUUACUUCCAGACACAUGGCAUUAUUCAUGAGACAACUUGCCCCCAGACCACCCCAACAAAAUGGUGUUGCCGAACGGGAAGAAUCGUCAUCUCCUUGAAACAGCCCGUGCUCUUCUCAUUGGUGGCCAUGUUCCUCGUCAUCACUGGGAUGAUGCUGUCGUCACUGCUGUCCACCUUACAACCGCAUGCCCUCUGGGGUCUUGAACUUCAAAACUCCAUUACAAGUGCUCGCGCAACAUGGGCCUCUGCCCUCUGUUUUGGUGCUUACCCCUCGCAUUUUUGGCUGUGUGGCCUUCGUUCAUCUCCACAAAAAUCAACGAAGCAAACUUGAUCCAUGUGCGCUUCGUUGUGUUUUUUUGGGUUAUGCCACUCAUCAGAAAGGCUACCGAUGUUAUCACCCUCCUACCCGGCGAACCUAUGUCACUUUGGAUGUCACCUUUCUAGAAUCAGAUAUGUUCUUCUAUGACCCAGCAUCCAAUUGUACUCUUCAGGGGGAGAUACCGAGUGAAGAGCUCAAUUGGAGCAGCUUGGAACAUGAGGAUAUUCAUCUAUGCACGAAGAUUGCUCUCGGCCAAGAAACAAUAACAAUCAAUCGUCCCGAGUCUGGCACGUGCGAAUGCUCUCUGCCAAACAACGAUCGAUCGCCUAACCCUUGCGAAGAUGUUUUUGAUGCGAGUCAUACUCUUACAGAUAACUCAGAACAACAAGAUGAAGACCCCCCCUCUCAUUCAACAGUACCAACGAACCAAUCUCCUGAGAAUAUCUUUGAGGUAAAUACUCCUACUAGACUUGUGCAUUUAGAGGAUAAAACUAUUGGAUAUCAAUUACCUUUCAGACAAAAUCGUGGGAAGCCACCAAACCGUUAUUCACCUGAUAUUGGCAAGACAUCCAAGUAUCCAAUUGCAAAUCAUGUAUCCACUGAGAAGCUGUCUGAACCACUCAAGGCUUUUGUGCAUCAUGUGUCUGCUAUCCAUAUUCCAACCAAGGUCUCUGAAGCAUUGAAAGAUCCUAAGUGGGUCCAAGCUAUAAAAGAGGAGAUGAAAGCUCUUGAGAAAAAUCAGACUUGGACAUUGGAGACUAUACCACGAGGAAAAAAGACUAUCGGAUGUAGAUGGGUGUUCACUAUAAAACAUAAUGCAGAUGGAUCUAUCGAGCGAUACAAGGCAAGACUUGUGGCAAAAGGGUACACACAGACCUAUGGUAUAAACUAUGAAGAAACUUUUGCACCAGUUGCAAAGUUAAACACCGUCAGAGUCUUAUUGUCCUUUGCAGCUAAUUUGGAUUGGCCACUACACCAGUUUGAUGUAAAGAAUGCUUUUCUACAUGGCGAACUCACGGAGGAGGUGUACAUGGACAUUCCUCCUGGAUAUAAUACUACAUAGACUGGAACAGUUUGCAGGUUAGGAAAAGCAUUGUAUGGAUUGAAACAGUCACCACGUGCAUGGUUUGGACGGUUCACCAUGGCAAUGAAGAACAAUGGUUUCAAACAGUGCAACUCAGAUCAUACUCUGUUCUUGAAACAUCGAAAAGGGAAGGUAACAGCAUUAAUAAUCUAUGUUGAUGAUAUGAUUAUUACUGGGAAUGAUAAACAGGAAAUAUCACAGCUACAAGACUAUUUGACUACUGAGUUUGAGAUGAAGGAUCUAGGUGGACUCAAGUAUUUCUUGGGAAUUGAGGUGGCUCGAUCGCAGCAAGGCAUAUUUCUCUCUCAAAGGAAAUAUGUCUUGGACUUGUUGACGGACAUAGGAAUGCUAGAUUGCAAACCUGCGGACACUCCUAUUGUUCAGAAUCAUCAUCUUGGAGAAUAUCCGGAUCAAGUUCCAACUAACAAAGAAAGAUACCAAAGGUUAGUGGGAAGAUUGAUCUAUUUGUCACAUACUCGACCAAACAUUGCUUAUGCAGUGAGUGUUGUCAGUCAAUUUAUGCACUCUCCAAGUGAAGACCACAUGAAUGCAGUUCUUCGGAUACUUAGAUAUUUGAAGUCUGCACCUGGAAAAGGACUUAUGUUCUCAAAGCAUGGUCAUCUAAAUAUUGAUGGUUAUUCAGAUGCAGAUUGGGCAGGUAAUGUAACAGAUAGAAAAUUCACAUCGGGUUACUUCACAUUCGUGCGAGGUAAUUUGGUGACAUGGAGGAGUAAGAAACAGAAUGUAGUAGCUUUAUCCAGUGCAGAAGCCGAGUUCAGAGGCAUGACUAAAGGGAUUUGUGAACUUCUUUGGUUAAGAAAGCUGCUUACUGAACUUGGGUAUAAACCUACAUCCACAAUGAAUCUCUUUUGUGACAACAAGGCUGCUAUAGCCAUUGCACAAAAUCCGGUUCAACAUGAUCGUACUAAACAUGUUGAGGUGGAUCGACACUUCAUCAAGCAGAAGUUUGAGGCUAAAGUGUUUCAGUUUCCUUUUGUGAAAUCCGAGGAUCAAUUUGCGGAUAUUUUGACAAGGGCAAUUUCCAGUAAAGCAUUCCACAAUUCACUGGAUUAGUUGGGCAUUGGCGACAUCUAUGCACCAACGUGAGGGGGAGUGUUGGCGUGACUUGUGGAUAUUGACUUACUUUCCUUACACACCAAGAAUUCCUAUUAUAAUUGUAAUUGAUUUACUUUAACUCUUGAUUUCCUACUGUAAAUAGAUUUAGGAAUUUAUUAUUUACUUGCCCAUUCAGGUUUUGUUGUAUUAUAAAUAUGACCUCCUAUAAGGAGAAGAAUACACAGAAAAUUCCCACAAACAAAUAUUCUCUCAUAAUUUUCAUAUUUUAGCAAUAUGUACUCUCUAUAUGUUUCAAGUAUUUCUAGGUUACUUGUAACCGAAAAUAUAAUCACAUUAAAUCUCUCUAGCCUUAUGUUUCACUUUUUCCUUUGUUACAACGGGAAUCAAAUCUAAGACUACCCUUUCACCUCACACCCUCCUUCCUCGCUUGACCCUAAACUCAUGGAGCUGCACUCUCUCUACUUACGUUCAUUAAAUUUUGAGGACCCUUGUUAUUUAUAUCUCCAAGUAUAUAAAUAAGGCUUAAAUAUGUUACUUAAUUUCUAAUAUUUGUUAUCAAAGUCAAAACAAUGAUCUAAUAGAGUCCACUCAUUUGAAGCAUGAGAUCAUAUAUUCUAGUAUGAAAAGUUUAGCUCACGUUUUUGACAAUUGAAAUGUAUUAAACUUAAAUUGUGUUGUACCCAUACGUACGUGGCACCAAAUGUUUUAACAUAUAAAGGACUACAUGCAGCAUGUUAGAUCACCUAUAUAUGUAAAGCUGGACAUUUCCACUGAUGAACCGGCCAAACUGGCAGAAUCGGAUUGGUUGGGUUGGUUCGGUCUAAUUUUUAUUUUUUGUAAAUUCAUGUUAUGAACGGAACUGAACCGAUCAUAGCAUUUUUUUAUUUUGCUGAUUUUUUGAAUUGUGAAGUUCUCAAGAUGGGGACUAUAUGUUAUAUAAGCAUAUAGGCUUUGAAUAUUUGCUUCUUAUUAUGUAGACUAUCAUUAUCAAGGAAGUUGUAGGGUUUUUGGUAUAUGUAUAGGUAAAUAGAGAGGGGCAAGGAAAAACACACACACACAAAAAAAAAACCCCUUUGACCUAAAGCAUAAGGGUUUGAAUACCUCUUCAUUUAAUUAUAUAUUUGUUUUGUUCUUGCCGGAACCCCACUCUAACCCUAAUUCCUAAUCUUUAAUUUCUUUUGGCCAUGGUUCAACCCUACCUCUCGAAACAGACAACUUGAUGAAUGAUGACGUAUAUAAAAAUAAAAAAGAAAAAUACAAAAAACUUAUGGAUUAGGUGGAUCAUAUCACGUCGACGAAUUAGUAAACAAUUAAUAAUUAUAAUUGUGAUUGUGAUGUGUUCUUAAUAAUUAAGGCCAUCAAUUGAAGUAGCUAGGGUUUCUACCAAAUCCUUUUCAUUGGCUGAGUCGACAUUUCCAACCUGAAAAUGACAUUAAAAUGCCAAAUAAACCCCAAUUUCAUUAAAAACAUGUGUGCCAACACUUGAAGCAUUCAUGAUCAACAUUUUGACAUGACACAUAUGCCAUUGACUCUCAUUGUUUAUAGCAAUUAAUCUGUGAGUUUAAUUGUAAUGAAAUCCUCAAGUUGACAAAUGUGAACCGGCACGUACGAGUUUAUAGUUGAGGAACUUAAGGCAUGCAUUAUGAAAAUAAUUAAGUAAUCUACCAAGAAAUCUAGCUAUAUAUUUUAUUGGUUGACGUGUGAUUUUUUUUUUUUAUAACAGUUGCUAAUUUACUAGUUAAUUACGAACCGGGUAAUAAUUAGUAUUUGGAGUUAAUUAUUGACCUAGUUGCAAUAAUUCACCUGCAUUUGAAUGGUCAAUAUAUAGUACUAGUUAAUUAUAUGGAUUAAGAAAAAAAAAUUAUAUUAGUCCAUCUCCCUUUAACUACCAUAUUCCACUCCACUACUACUGGUUUUGUUAUGUUAUCUUGAGACCUCUCCUUUGUCAGUUUACUUACUACCAUAUAUUUCCAAAAUUUUAAGUUUUUUAUUCUAAUGAGAAGCAACUCUGCAAUAUAAUGAGGGCUACUACAAUAAACUUGGCAAAAUUACACUUUUCUUCUCUAUAGUUUGAAUAAUUGGGUCGAGUGAAAAAGGAUACUAACUUGCAGACUAGUUGCCUCAAGUUCGAACCUUUAUAGCACCUUGGUAGUGUGUGUGUGUAUGUGAGAAACUCUCUCCCGUUAUAGUUUAGACUAUCACCUAUAUUAAAAAAAACAUUGUAGGUUCUAUAUCUAAACGACACAUUAAAUUUAACAAAAUCUACCGUACCAAUUAUGGUCAAGAGAUUUAGCGACACAAGAUUUUAAACUGUUGUACUAACAAGACAACAUUUCUCAAUUAUAUAUUUAUCUAGGUUCCACAAUUAUAUAUCUGUUUAAUUAAUUGCUCUUUUGAGAAUAUGCUCGCGUAUUUAUUUACCAAGAUAAUGAUAAUUGACACGGAAAAAAUUAAUGAUUGAGAAAUAUGAUCAAAUUCAAUGAAUCGAGCUAUAUAUUAUUUUGAAAGAAAAAAAAUCCUAUAUAUCUAUGCACUCCAUGAAGAAUAGGAAUACAUAUUUGGUUGACUUUUUUUAAUUAGAAAUGUGUAUAGGUCAACUACGCACAUCUUGUUAGUUGGGUUUGUGUCCUACAAACACCAUUACAACAAACAAAACAAAAACAAACAAAAAACCUUUUCAUUAUAAAUGGUCCUCAAAGUUUGCGAAAUUAUCGUCUUUCGUCCCUAAUCUUUAUUGUGACAUUAAUGGUCCUUAAGGUUACCCUCCACACAUCAAAAUGGUCUUUGUCAUUAGCUUCCAUCAAAUUUUCUAUUAAAUUACUGUCGUGGCACAUGUGUGGAACCCAGACAUCUAAUGGUAUAUAGCCACGUGACUUUAAAUAAAAUAUAAAAUAUUUUAAAACUUAAAUCCAUAAAUAAAUAAAGAUAAAAAGACAUGCACCAUCCCUCUAUGUUCUCCCUCUACGAGCGGAAGAGGAGGGAGAGAGAGGCAAAGAGUGGGUCUGCGAGGGGGGGAGACGUUGACAGAGGGAGAACGCAAAGGGAACGGUGCAUGUAUUCUAGUUUUUGUUUUUUUGGAUUUUAAGUUUUAAAAUAUUUAAAAUAUAUUUUAUUUUAUUUAAAGUCAUGUGGCUGUAUACCAUUGGAUGUGUGGACUCCACACAUGUGCCACAUCAUCAAUUUAACAGAAAAUUUGAUUGAAGCUAACAAUAUGGAUUAUUUUGAUGUGUGGAGGGAACCUUAGGGACCAUUAGUGCCACAAAAAAAACGUUAAGGACAAAAAGUGAUAAUUUUGCAAACCUCAUAAAUCAUUUAUAAUAAAAAUCUAUAAAAUAAAAAAAAAUUAUGUUGGGAAAUUAAUGAGCCAUCAGAUUGUGUUAGAAAAUAUAAAUGUGGAAGUUGGACAUAUUCAGCAGAGAUGCAAAUGUAGUUGUUUAUCAAUAUCAUGUAUAACUAAUCAAAGGGUAUGGUGGCCGAAUGUUGUUGCCCUCGAAUAGGGAAUGUUCCUUAAUGGAGCAAUUAAUUAUUCAAAUCAUUUGAAACCAACUUUUCUUCAAAAAAAACUUUACAAUAAACAAAGUCAAAUAGCAAUAUGCGUCUUUCUUUUAUGAAAAUCAAAUUGCAUUGUUUAUAUUUGAUCAGAUUCAUGUAUGUGUUACACUUUUGGGGUACAUUAAGUUGGGUUUUCCAACUAUUUAAAGUAUUAGAUUCUACCAAGUUUAAUCAAGUGUGCCUAAUUAAUAUAUGCAGUAACCAAUCAUAACGGGUCUUCUGUUGUGUUGUUGAUGUCAUCUAUCAGACUAUCACUCUUGGCCAUGGGUAGUUUCAAUUAGAUGAGCCUUUUUUUUUUUCCCUCAUCUCCUAUAGGAGUUAGUUGAUUAUCCAUUUUAUUCGAAAUUUACUACGCAUUGUGAUGUUGACGCUAAGAAAAUUAUGUAUGACUUUCCGUAUACUUGUGGGUUUCAAAAAAGUAUGUAUUAGUACUGAAUGCAGUAUAUUCACGCGUAUACAAAAUUACCUUAUGGUGUGUUUACUAAUUAGGAAUUUGAAUUCUUAUAGGAAUUGAAUUUCAUCUAUAGAGGAUUCAUGUGUUUACUUUACAUCAAGAAGUUAAAAAAUAAGUAGAACUCAGACAAAAUUAGGAACAUUGAGCAAAAUCUGUAGUGUAAGGAUUGUCUUUUGGUUGGAAAUUGUAAGUGGUGAGGAAUCUCAUGGGGCAUCUUUUGAACACCAAAAUUUCAUGCAUUAAUUUUUGUGUGGGGAAAUGGUGGGGGAGGUAAAAAGAUUUUUGCUAAAUUUAGCAAUGGCUUUUGAGACUUUUGCUUUGUUUCGAUCAAUGGGAAUAGUAUCAAUAUGGAUCCUUAAUUUUAGGGAGAAGGCCGAUAUGGGCUUCAUAAUUGCACCCAAUUCAUUUUUCCUAAGUGGGCCCCAGAAGCGACCUUUUUCCAGUUUCUAAAUAUAGUAAAUCUCUGUGGUUGGUUUUGCAUUGUUCUGCAAUUUCCUAUGAUUUCUGUUUCAGCUGUCAACCACGUUGAAUGGCAGGUUUAUCCUUUCUGUUUGGCUCUACACAAAUUCCCAGUUCAGAUUUCAAAAGAUCCACUUCUCACUUGGCUUCUUAACUGCCUUUUGAUAGAAAACCAUGUUUGUCUUCAAGUUAUAAAAUGACUAUAAUCCUCCUGCAAUUUGAUUGAAACAUACCCAAUUAAUCCGGAUUCCUGUUUGGCAUAAAUCUAAUUGACUAUAACAUAUUGUUAGUGCUUUUGGACAUAUUCAACAUAGAUUGGCUAAAUUUGGUUUGUUUAAAGAAGUUCGUUGAUUUGGGUUGAGGUGGAUCCUAAUUUUAUUUAAGACGUCCUUUUGUAUUAUUCGUUGGAUUGAGAUUAAUUUCAUGUCCUCCGUUGUAUUUCUUGAUUUUCAAUAAAUGUGUCAUCGUGGUGUCGAAGUUUUACUAAAAAAAUCUUUUAGUGCUUUGUUUGUAGAUAUGUAGCUCAAGUAAUGUGAACAAUCAAAACAUCAAAUUUGAGGAGCCCGGAAAGCAAAUUUGGGGAUUCAAUAAAAUCAUUUUACACGUUAUAAUGUGUAGAUCAGCAAGGAGUUAUGUCUCGCACAAAGAUAUAUGGGCCACGUAGGUCAACCCAAGCUCAUUACAUGGUCCAAAUUAAAGAAAAUGUGUGAAUUUCUAAAUUUCAUACCAGUUUCACAUUGCGGUUUCCUUAUAAUUUAUAAAAUGUAUCGAGGCAUGUCCUUCCAUUUGUCCAUAUACAUAUUGAGACUGCGAGAUGGAUUUUCUGUUUCUCAAGACACUACUACAAAAAACACUUUGUGCGACGAAAUAAGUUUGUUGCACAAAGUACAAUUUCGUCGAGCAUGGUCCGUCGUGCAAAACUCGUAAAGAAAGGGUUUGCGCGACGAAAACACACAAAGUUUUGGGCGAAGACAAAUAUUGGUCGCGCAAAGUUUUGCACGACGAAAAGUAUUAGUUGAGCAAAGUGUUGUGCGACGAAAAAUAUUGGUCGUGUAAAGGCUAAAAAAAAAAUUCCAGUGUCCCAUUUUUUGUACCCGCCCAAAUUUUUGCACGACGAAAUAUUUUCUUGCGCAAGGUUUUUGACUUUUUGUUUUAGUAUUUCUUUAAUAUUAAUUUAAUUAUAUUAAUUUAUUCAAAUUUUGACUUUUUAAAUUUAAUUUAAUUGUAUGAUUUUUUUUAAUUACUUUAAUUUAAAUUGACAUAUUCAAAAUAGUGAUCGCAUUAUCCAAUAUAUAUAUAAUAUUCAUAAUUCCUUUUCUGCUUCCUCCUUCAAUGAACUCCCUUUUUUUUUGGAUUCUUUUCAAUAAUCACAUGUCUUAUUUUUCACUUGAGAAUAUGCACAAAGAUUGGCAAGUUCUUCUGAUCACUUGCUGCUGUAUUCAGUAGGAUAGUAAGAAUUUUUUGCAAGUUAAAGAUAUCAUUCUUAUGCUCCACCACCAGGUCUGCUACAUCCCUUAUACUUGUUAAACCAAUCAUGAGAUGUUUGUAGGUUCUGUUCCAGCCUUUGUUAUCUCCAGUGACAGACAUUAGCUCGUGUAUUUUGUACAAGUUGUCUAGAUUUUCUGAACAAAUAUUGUAAACCAUGUAUCCUUCUCGUAUAGGUAACUUGGACUUAGGUUAGGGCCUGAGCUCGUAUCUGACCCUGUAGCUGGGCAAUUUUCGAGAGAAGAUCUGCACAUUCAGUUGAGCCCUUUCCGUUGGUUAAGUCAGAAACUGAUUUAAGUAUGGGGAGAAUGGAUGUAGGGUUUACACAAUGUAGAUCUUUUUAGGUCAAGAACUUAUUACCUUUGUCUAGAGAUAAGUGAGGAGUACUUAUAUGAGGGAAAAUGAGAGGUCAAGAUAUUUAAGGAAGAGAUCUUUUACCCCUAUCUUCAUAGCCUGAAUCACAUUCAAUGUUCUGUCCUUGAUCACCAUAUUACUAGACAAGGGUCAAGUGGCAAAGUGACAUGCGAUCAAGGAUGAGAGAUGCAUUAAAUGAUCCCUCUCCAUUACCAACCUGUUCACUUGGAGGCCAACGGUCAGGUCGACACAUGGUUGGGGAUGGGAUGUGCACUUAAUCAACCCUUCUUGCUUGCUAGGCUGUCUAUCUUAGGGGUGAAGUGAUGGACCUGACAGAAGCCUGGUCGGGUCUAUUAGUCCGUAACACGCUUCUGAUUAGAAUGCUUAGCCUAGUGGUCGGGUAAAUAUUCGAUUACCUGAGCACUGGCCGACUCCUUGAGCUGCAUUCCGACUAGGAAGAUCGGCGACGACACCCACUCAAUCGUAUAUGAUCGGGUCGGUAUACAAGUGACCUAGUCUGCUAUGGCUAUGUGGCAAUUUACAAUAGGCUCGGCUUGUAGUGAUGGUAUGAGCUAUCAACAAAUGUGUAGAUCUCUAGUGGUAUGAUACUUAGAUUUCAUAGUGUAUACGGAGUUUGGCGGUCUAAGACUGUUGCGAUAGUUGAGUCUGGGUUUAAGUACAACCAAUUUUAAUAUCUCGUCAAGUUAGAACUCUAGGAUCUCUGGGUCAGAAGACUCUGAAUAUUGAAUGGAAACCAUAUCAUAAGUUGAAUGACUCUACUCUAUACAACAUCCAUAUAUAAAAUAUUGUUAAUGACUGUAUUUGCUGACCUGCUUUUCGGUUCCCCAAGCCCCUUGCAUCCAUGCGAUCACAGUCCUGACAUUUUCUCGAGAAAGUAGAGUUUCUCAGGAAAGUUGUAGUACCUCUAAAACGAUGAAGAAAAUUACGUAUUAAAGAAACAACAAAAUUUGAACAAGAAAUGUUUUUAAUAUAAAUAAAAUAUACAGUACAGAUUCUUACUCAAAGAUACUCUGUUCAGGGAACCCGCGCAGACAUUUUCUCUAGAAAGUGGAGCUUUUCGGGAAAAUAAGCUAAAUGAUGGAAAUUUGAUAAAGUCAAAGUCAUGAAAUUACUAUUUAAAGUUAAAUAGCCUAAUUAACUAUAACCCUAUGGCUAAAAGUCCACCACCAUAGACUGCUACAUUACUGAAGUUGUAAUUGGGAUAAAUUACACCCAUCUAGAAAACUUUCUUCUGGUAUACAUGGUACAUAAAGAUUACCAUUCUUGUUUGUGUGUGUGCAAAUACAAAGGAGAGAGGAAGGUUUACAAGUGUAAGAGUAAGGCCCGAAAAUUCAAAUAUAUUUAAAAUAAAAUAAAAAAGGAUUGGUUUCAUUAGGUUUUGUCCUCUCAAAAAUGUGCUUUGAAGAGGAAGUCAAAAUUGAUUUAAGUAUAAAUUUUGUAACAACGGGAGUUAGAUAUUGAAAUGCAAAUUAUAGACCUAAUGAAUAAUGUUUCAAGCAAUUAUUGUUGAAAAAAGUUUUGACCCCUCAACUUUGACUUCCACUACUUAUGGGAUAUACCGAAUUUUUCAACUCUUGUGACCUAUCACCUUCUAACAGUCCUAGGUCUAAAAUUCUAGUUUUAUGUAGUUCGCAUCUAAAACUACUUAUUAAGCAAGGUACUUUUUCAUGGCCUUAUGAUCCUUGCACACCGUUGAAAUCUUGGGCCCAAAUUCCUUUUCUACUUCCUCCUUCAAUGAACUCCCUCUUUCUUGAUUCUUUUCAAUGAUUACACGUCUUAUUUUCCACUUGAGAAUAUGCACAAAGAUUGGUAAGUUCUUCUGAUCACUUGCUGUUGGAUUCAGUGGGAUAGUAAGAAUUUUUUGCAAGUUAAAGAUAUCAUUCUUAUGCUCCAUCACCAGGUCUGCUACAUCCAUUAUACAUGUUAAACCAUUCAUGAGAUGUUUAUAGGUUCUGUUCCAGCCUUUGUUAUCUCCAGUGACAGACAUCAUCUCAUGUAUUUUGUACAUGUCGUCUAGUUUUUCUGAACAAAUGUUGUAAACCACGUAUCCUUCUCGUAUAGGUGACUUGGACUUAGGUUAGGGCCUGAGUUCGUAUCUGACCCUGUAGCUGGGCAAUAUCCGAAAGAGGAUCUGCACACUUAGAACAAUAUCAGAACCAAGGUGAACUGGGGUUGAUCCCAGUUGAGCCCUCUCCGAUGGUUAGGUCGGAAACUGAUUUAAGUAUGGGGAGAAUGGAUGUAGGGUUUACACAAUGUGGAUCUUUUUAGGUCAAAAACUUAUUACUUUUGUCUAGAGAUAAGUUAGGGGUAUUUAUAGGGAGAGAAUGAGAGGCCAAGAUAUUUAUGGAAGAGAUCUUUUCCCCUAUCCUCAUAGCCCGAUUCACAUUCAAUGUUCUGUCCUUGAUCACCAUAUUACUGGACAAGGGUCAAGUGGCGAAGCGACAGGCGAUCAAGAAUGGGAGAUGCAUUAAAUGAUCCCUCUCCAUCACCAGCCUGUUCACUCGGAGGCCAACGGUCAAGGCGACACGUGGUUGGGGAUAUGAUGUGCACUUAAUCAACCAUUCUUGCUUGCCAGACUGUCUAUCUCAGGGGCGAAGUGAUGGACCUGACAGGAGCCUGGUCGAGUCUACUAGUCCGUAACACGCUUCUGGUUAGAAUGCUCAGCUCAGUGGUCGAGUAAAUAUUCAAUUACCCGAGCACUGGCCGACUCCUUGAGCUGCAUUCCGACUGGGAAGAUCGGCGACGACACCCCCUAAAUCGUAUAUGAUCGGGUCGGUAUAUAAGUGACCUAGUUUGCUACGGCCAUGUGGCGAUUUACAAUAAGCUCGGCUCGUAGUGAUGGUAUGAGUUAUUAACAAAUGUGUAGAUCUCUAGUGGUCUAAUACUUAGAUUUCAGAGUGUAUACGGAGUUUUGGCGGCAUAAGACUAUUGCGAUAGUUGAGUCUGGGUUUAGACACAAUCAAUUUUAAUAUCUCGUCAAGUUGGAACUCUGGGAUCUAUGGGUCUGAAUUCUCUGAAUAUUGAAUGGAAACCAUAUCAUAAGUUGAAUGACUCUACUCUAUACAACAUCUAUACCAAAUAUAGUUAAUGAAUGUAUUUGCUAACCUGUUUUUCCAUUCCCCAAGCCCCUUGCAUCCAUGCAAUCACAUUCCCGACAUUUUCUCGAGAAAGUAGAGUUUCUCAGGAAAGUUGUAGUACCUCUAAAAAAAGAUGAAGAAAAUUACGUCUUAAAGAAACAACAAAAUUCGAACAAGAAACGCUUUUAAUUUAAAUAAAAUAUACGUACAGAUUCUUACCCAAAGAUACUCUGUUCAGGGAACUUGUGCAGACAUUUUCUCUGGAAAGUGGAGCUUUCCGGAAAAGAUGAGCAAAAUGAUGGAAAUUUGAUAAAGUCAAAGUCAUGAAAUUACUAUUUAAGGUUAAUUAGUCUAAUUAACUGUAACCCUAUGGCUAAACGUCCACCAUCAUAGACUGCUACAUUACUAAAGUUGUAAUUGUGCUGACUUACACCCAUCUAGAAAACUUUCUUCUGGUAUACACGGUAGAUAAAGAUUACCAUUUCUGUUUGUUCGUGUGCAGAUACAAAGGAGAGAGGAAGGCUUAGAAGUGUAAAUGUAAGGCCCGGAAAUUCAGAUAUAUUAAAAAUAAAAUAAAAAAGGAUCGGUUUCAUUAGGUUUUGUCCUCUCAAAAAUGUGCUUUGAAGAGUAAGUCAAAAUUGAUUUAAGUAUAAAUUUUGUAACAACAUGAGUUAGAUAUUGAAAUGCAAAUUAUAAAUCUAAUGAAUAAUGUUUCAAGCAAUUAUUGUCGAAAAGAGUUUUGACCCCUCAACUUUGACUUCCACUACUUAUAAGAUAUACAGAAUUUUCCAACUCUUGUGAUCUUCUACCUCCUAACAGUCCUAGAUCUAAAAUUUUAGUUUUAUGUAGUUUGCAUCUAAAACUACUUAUUAAGCAAGGUACUUUUUCAUAGCCUUACGAUCCUUGCACACCACUGAAAUCUUGGGUCCAAAUUCCUUUUCUGCUUCCUCCUUCAAUGAACUCCCUCUCUUUGGAUUCUUUUCAAUGAUCACACGUCUUAUUUUCCACUUGGGAAUAUGCACAAAGAUUGACAAAUUCUUCUGAUCACUUGCUGCUGGAUGCAGUUGGAGAGUGAGAAUUUUUUGCAAGUUAAAGAUAUCAUUCUUAUGCUCCACCACUAAGUCUGCUACAUCCAUUAUACAUGUUAAACCAUUCAUGAGAUUUGUAGGUUCUGUUUCAGCCUUUGUUAUCUCCAGUGAUAGACAUCAGCUCGUGUAUUUUGUACAUGUCGUCUAGUUUUUCUGAAUAAAUGCUGUAAACCACGUAUCCUUCUCGUAUAGGUAACUUGGACUUAGGUUAGGGCCUGAGCUCGUAUCUGACUCUGUAGCUGGGCAAUCUCAGUGAGAGGAUCUGCACACUUAAAACAAUAUCAGAACCAGGGUGAUGAAGCUUUCUCGAGUUCACUGUCAAGCAAGGUGAAAAUAUGACUGGCUCUUUUUUUUUUUUCUUUGGAUUGGAAGGAAGAAACGGGAUAUUUUUUUAAUUGUCUGAGGCAACUGGAGAGGAUCCAGAGUUGGCUCUAGGUGAGUUCUUCUAGUCAUUUGACAAUACUCCAUUCAUCUAUGGUGGGUUGGUUGAAUAACAACUUUAGUUGGUGGAAAUUUUUCUUUGGAAAUAGGAAAUAAAUUGGUGCUAUUGCAAAAAAUGCAAGCUUUGACCAUUGUUAAGCACGUGAUGCCUCAAUUUGAGUCCAUAAGUUGUAGGUUUUUUUUUUUCCACCCUGUGAGUGUUUAAUAAUCUUUUUAUUAUAUAUUUAUGUACUUGAAUCCAUAAAUCCAAUGCCUUUUCAAUUACCCAGAUCCUGAAAGAGAAGGAAAAGUGAGUUUAUUAUGUUAUCUUCUUUGGGUGCUGUUGAUGGCUGUUUUGGAUUUUGCUAUGUUUUUCUGCACUUUUUAUGUGAUAUUGCUUGAUGGGUCUCGUGAUUUGUUGUCUGGUUAUAUGGAUGCAUACGUAAACAACUGCAUUUUCUUUUUUUGUUGGCUUGGUUUUUAUGUGUUGGUAUAUCAUAAUGAGUCUAUUGUUAUCCUUGUUUGUAUAACUAACAAUAAUUUGCAUGUUUAUAUAUAUAUAUAUGUAAUAAUAAUAAUUAGAAAUGGGAGAUUGCGAACAAGUAACUGGAAAAGGGAAAGCCAAGAAAGAUUAUAGUGCUUGGAGUGUGGAAGAGAGCAAAAUGUUGUUGCAGCUCAUGGUUGAUGUUGCAUCUCGUGGAUGGCGUGAUGCCAAUGGCGUGCUAAGCAAGGCAACAGUAGAAACCAAAAUACUUCCCAUCCUUAAUGAAAAACUUGGGUGUCAGAAAACCUAUUGUCAUUACCAAAGUCGGUUGAAAUACUUUAAGAGAGAAUAUCAAAAAUAUUCACAGCUUAUGCGUCAUAACUCUGGGUUUGGGUGGGACUCAACCACAAAGAAAUUCACUGCUCCUGAAGAAAUUUGGGAAGACUACUUUAAGGUUAGGUUCUUAACUUCUCUCUCAAUAUGCGUUAUGUGGUAACCUAAGUACAUAAUUCAUUAUUAAUAAUUAUUAUUCAAUUGUUGUUUUUGUAGUCCCACCCAACCCACAGGCAUAUUCAAACAAAAACUUGUGAGGACUAUGAGGAUUUGCAAAUUGUCAUUGGGAAUGCAGCUGUUAGUGGAAAAAACUCAUUAGGAUUGGGUGAUGGUACUGAUGCAAGAACUUUUGGGGUGGAAGAUAGACAAGUUGGAAUAGAGGACUUUGUUUAUGAUAAUGACACUCGUGCCUUUGUACCAAAUCAUAAUGAAGCAUCACACCAAGAUCCACCACUCGGACAUUCUUCUUCAUCCUUACCUUUUCAGGCCAAUAUUUGGACAAGUCCCUCAGAAAGCUCAAGCCAGAGAAAACGAACUAGACCAGAGCAUGAAGGGAAUGGUAGCCAAUAUGAGACAUGUAUGGACAGAAUUAGUUUUAGCAUUGCUGAAAUUGCUACCGACUUCAAGGGAGUCCACAGCCUAUUGGGAAAAAGGGAAAAAGACAGGGAGAGGCAAAGUUAUAUAUGGGAUGUCAUUAAGGAGACUCCAAAUAUGGAUGAACGUGCUCGUUAUAAAGCCCUUUCUUUGUUGAAUAUUACUACAUAGAAGGAAGCAUUUUUGUUGAUGUCCCCUAAAGAGCGCUCAAGUUGGAUAUCCUACAAUUUGGAAUGAGUGGUUUUUGAAAAUGAGUGGGUUUUGGGGAUAAGUGGUUUUUUGCUUGAUAAUGCAUUAGGAUUUAUCAAACAGUAUGUUUAAAAACUCUAUUUUUUAUUUAUUUUGCAUAUGACAUAUUGACUUAAAUUUUUAUUAAAUUGAUGAUGAACUGUUUUUUAUUAUAUUGAUGAUGAAUAGCUUUGCUUGGUUGUAAUAUGUGCUUGGUUAUUGUUUUUAUUCCAGGUUCUAAAUUAGGCUACUUGUUAUUGGGUGUUGAUGAUAGGUUUCCUAUUGUUAUUUGGAAGAGCAUUACGGUUGCAUGAUAGCUUUUCCUAUUCUUUCAUUGCUCUUGGUCUUUUGACUCCUUGUCUUGAGUUGGGCAUGAACCCAAAAGAAAUUCAUAAUUAUAAGAUCAGAUUUCUUAUAAUAUUAUUUUUUUUCAGGUGGUCGAAUAUCAAUUUAUAUAAUGGAGGAAGAACAAAUUGAAAGGCAAGAAAUUGAGAGGGAAGAAGAACUUCAUGAAAUCAUUAGGUAUUUAUUAAUGGCAAUCCAAGCAGUAGCUCAUGCGUUGAAUGAGCUUAUGAUUAUCAUGCAUAGUAAAAAUGUUGAACGUCUAUUAACUUGGCGAAUAGUUACUAGGAAAGGAUAUAAUUAUAUACAUAAUGCUUUGAGUGAUGAUCCUGAGCAUUUUCGACAAACGUAUAGAAUGUAUCCAGAUGUGUUUCACAAGUUGUGAAGUAUUAUUAGAGAAAAAACAUUGUUACAAGAUACAAGGUUCAUUUGUGUAGAAGAAAUGCUUGCGACAUUUUUGCAUGUUGUGGGUCAAAAUAACAUAUUUUCUGUAAUACGUGACACAUUUGGUCGAUCCCACUUCACUGCUAGUAGAAGUUUUAACAAAGUUUUAAAGGCUUUGAACACAUUAGGGAAAGUACAAGGUUUUACCCUUACUUUAAGGUAAGUGUUGUCUUGUGCAUCUUGUUUACUUUUAUAUAAUAUUUUAAAAAUCAAAAUAUAAACUUUGAAUUUAUUUCAGGACUGCAUUGGAGCGAUCAAUGGCAGACAUAUUCCAGCAAUGGUAACAAGAGGUGACGUAAGCAGUUAUCGUAAUCGUCACGGAACAAUAUCACAAAAUAUAUUAGCAGCUUGUACCUUUGAUUUAGAAUUCAUAUAUGUGCUUAGUGGGUGGGAGGGCUCAGCUCGUGAUUCAAGAGUACUAAAUGAUGCUUUAACAAGGAGGAAUGGACUUAAAGUGCCACAAGGUAUUUUGUUUCUUUUUCUUUUUUCAUUUACUAUUUACAUUAGAUCAUACAUUGGAUACUAAAAUAUGUGUAUUCAAUUAUCAGGUAAAUAUUUCUUAGUGGAUUGUGGAUUUCUAAAUCUCAGCCAAUUUUUGGCUCCAUUUUGAGAUGUUCGAUAUCAUCUCCAAGAGUUUGCAGGUCAAGGUCGUGACCCUGCAAAAGAAGUUGAGUUGUUCAGUCUUCGUCAUGAGUCCUUGAGGAAUGUCAUUGAGAAGAUCUUUGGUAUAUUUAAAUCACGAUUUACAAUUUUCAAGUCUGCACCUCCAUUCCCAUAUAGGACACAAACAGAGCUAGUGUUAGCUUGUGCUGGACUACACAACUUUCUUCGAAAGGAAUGUCGAUCAGACGAGUUUCCUAUUGAAUUGGAGAAUGAAUCUUCUUCAUCUUCGUCAUUACCGGUUAAUUAAGGGAAUUCUGAACUAGUUUUCCAAACACAUGAACAAUAACGAGCACAUGCUAAUGAAUGGAAAGUUGAUAUAACUUUGAAUAUAUGGAGAGAUAUUGGCCACAAUGACAACAAUGAUAACGAAUGAAUGCUGCAUAUUUUUCUUUCAGCAUUGCUUUCAAACUUGUUAUAAAUUUGUCACUAUACUUUCAUGAACGCCAAUUACUUUGAAUUCCUUAUAGUAUUUGCUUUUCGUUAAUUUAUGGUGGGUUCGUGACUGCAUGGAAUAGUUCCAAUUGCCAUUAACCAUUUAUACUUUUCCAGUUAUACCGCAUGGUGGGUUCGUGAACGCCAGUUAUACUUUUCCAAUUGCCAUUAACCAUUUCUUGCUGUAGAAAUAGUUCCACCACCUAUGAAUAUGGUUCCAAGUCAGCCACUGCAUGGAAUUCCUCACAGCAGUGGCAAACUCCAAAGCAUGAAACAGCUAAUAAAAAUACAUCUAAUACAUGGAGGAGUAAUGCCACCUAUGCAGGUUUCAACGCACCUGAAUCAUAUAACCAAAAUAGCUUUCAGUGGUCGACUAGUGGCUAGGUAAAGAAAAUAGUGUUGGGAAGAAAGAGUAAUAAAAGUCUAUGCAAAUUGAUCUGAAUUUAUAACAAAAGUUCAUACAAAAGUAUGGAAGUCUAUAAUAAAAGUUUAUACAAGUUUAUUAAAAAUCCUGGUAAAACCUAUAGGAGUUAUACAAUUCCAGGAAAUUUAUCACUUAGAAAAAAUCUUUCAAAAUCUUAUACAAUCCUAAUUGAAUACACCCCACUAAUAAGGGAGUCGUUUUGUCUAGUUAAGUUGCCUUUUUUUUUUUUUACUAAUUUAUUUGGAUAAAUUUACUCCUCCAAUUUCGCAGCUUUCGCUUAUUAGCCCUUGCACAAUAGCGGCGCCAAUUUUCUUGUACGGAAGAAGCUGCCAAAUUACGCCAAUGCUCUAAUUGAAAAUCCUCUAAGUGACGGAGCUCCGUCCUAAAAUGCCACCAGAACUUAGCAACAAUGGUCUUCAAGUCCUUAGCCCUUAUAGCAAAUGCUUCAACUUUUGUUUGGGACUUAAGAAUUCUAGUCGACAUGGGUAAUUCAGAAGAGGGGGUAGAUUUUAAUGCCCAAAUUAAAAGUUCUUCUCCAUAAAAAUCACCUUUCUCAAGCCACUUCGUGUCUGAGGAAGUAAUUGUAAUUCCACCCUUACUGCUAGGUGUAGGUGGGUAGCUCCAUGCGGUGCCUUGUGUGAUGAACAUCAUCUUCUCAAGUGGUUCCCCCUCUGAAACAAUGUAGCUGCCCUCGUUAUAGGUCUCCAGCUUAAGAUGCUCGCUGAUUGCUUUCAACACUUUUUCAUCCAUACUUUCAAGCAUCGACACCUACCAAUCAAUAUCAUAUACGUUAAUUAGAUUGUUAUUGUCAAACGGAUUUCCCAUUUUGCUGAUUUUUAAGAAGGAUUCUGUAAUACAUAUUUCACUUUGUCACGGGGUCACUUUGCAAUAGAUUUCAAUGAUCCGAAUCAUCUAACUUUUACUUUUCCACAUAAGAGUAUUUUAAUGUUCAAUGUUUGGAAACAAUGUGUUCGUCUAUUUACUCAAUCAUAGUUAGAUGAUUAAAUAACUUAAGAUUUUCAGCCUUCUUUUUAAAAUGAUCUUUUGAGCACAAGUAGGUGUGACACGUAUAAUUAAACCGCAUUAAGAACUGAACCCGCUGGCAAUCCCUUUGAAUCUCGUCACAAGAAAUCUACAGGCACGCACAAAUAUAUCUUCAUGCAAUUAAUUACUUUUGAAUUUGCUAGUUAAUUAGCAUAAUACUCACUUUCUUUAGUGAUGUCAAGCGGAGAAGGCUCAUGAUACCUCUUCUGUGUCUCAAGGGAAGAACAGCGAGGAUAUUCUCCACAUCAACAUCUUUGUUUUCUUGAAGGUGUCGUUGUACGUUUUCUACGAUUACCGUCCUGAGAUGUUUUUCUGUUCGGCCUGAAACCAUCUUCAGAUCCUUAGGGAGGUCGUUUUUAGAUAACCAUAAAUCGAUCUCUGGACUUAUCAGCUGCAUCUUCCGUCUGAAUAUACGUUCAUCUGAUCUUAUUUUCUCCAACUGCACACUUAAUGUCUAUUCCAUACAGAAUGUAGGUUCAGUGCUUCAUUGUAUGAACUUCCAGAAAACACACACGCAUUCAUGCUAAAUUAAUAUAAAGAUUCAGCACCAAACCAAUGGUUACCUGCAAAGUUGCAUUGAGAUAUAUUAAGAAUAGCAUCAUGCCGCUUAAAAGUGUGAAAACAGCAAAGACGUUUUCCCACUGGUUGCUACUGCUGGGCUCGAGGUUUUGCCCUAAAGAACUGAAAAAGUGGAAGUGAGCAAUAUGUUAGACGCAAAAGUUUGGUGUAAUACUAGGAACACCUACUUAUUACAACAAUUUUUAGACACCAGUUGGUGUCUAGAAGUUGAUGUAUCCAUAUAAUAUUAUGAAAAAGAUCAAGAGCGGAGUUUUGCAAACCUCAGAUUUCGUAAACCCCACCAAAAGCAUUGCAAUAACUUCUUCGAAAAAUUUGUUGAUCUCAGCAUAUCAGAUUGAACAGCGCCAAGAAAUAUACCGAAAUCGAAGAGUGUUGCAUCUGGUGGAUUUGUAGGGCAUAAAACAUUUAGAAGCGUGACAUUUCUAAAUAUAUUAUCAUUACAAUCAAAAUUAGCAGAUCCACAUCCAUUUUCGCGACAUCCAUAUUCCCAACAAGUUCUCUCUCGUUGAAUAGCGAAAAAAUACCAUAUGCCUCCAAGUAUCUGUAUGAUCAACAAGGUAGUUAAUGAUCUAACUUCACGGAACAUUCAAAAGGUAUGAAUAAAAAAAUUAUCAACUCCAUGAAAGGGAGAAAAAAUAACAUUACUGAAUCUUAAAGAACAAAGCUUCAAAUUUAUGAAAUCAAGGUAAUUAGCAUCAAAACAUAAAUUAUGUCCUAAAGUUGGUGCCUAACGCUAGCUCAACAGAUGUGUGUCAGUCUUGAAGGAAGUUGAGGUUCCACCCCAAAACCAAUUGGCAAUGGGGGGGAGUAGCCCAACUCCUUAUAAACCCAGGCUAGGUCCCUUAACAUUUCAAUGUGAGACAAACACUCUCAACACGCCCCCGCACGUGUGGCGAACUUUCAAGCCUAACACGUGGACAACACAUAUUGGGUGACGUGGGAGCACGUGUGGCCGUUGGGCCCAACACGUGAAGCCUUGCUCUGAUACCAUGAAGGAAGUUGAGGUUCCACCCCGAAACCAAUUGGCAAUGGGGGGGAGUAGCCCAACUCCUUAUAAACCCAGGCUAGGUCCCUUAACAUUUCAAUGUGGGACAAACACUCUCAACAAGUCUCAUAUUGAAAGUCAAGCAUAUCAUGGCAGAGAAAUCGAAGCAAAGGAUCCAAAUAAGUGUGUAAUACAUAUGUGUGUGUUUGUAUAUAUAUUUAAUAUAAUCUACAGAAUAAAGAUAAGCAUCCCCUCGCCUUACACUAGUGAUUAGUGAUUCUUAAUAUUUCUUAUAAUUCAUAGAUACAUUGUUGGAUUAUUCAUUUACAGGGAACCUAAAUGCUUUUGGAGAAAACCAACCUAAUUAACCAUUGAUAAAUCACAUUAAUAGUCUAAAGUUGAAAUGAUUUGAAACAGUAUAGUGAAACUUACAUGGCCAGCAAGGAUGAAUGGAAAAAAGUUGAAUACAGCUUUAACCAAUAUUCCUACUCGAGUCUGUAUACUGGGAGUAUUGCCAGAUAGAUAGAUGCGAAGAACUCGUGGUACAUAUUGAAAUAGAAUAAGAGAGUUCAUAAACAUCCUUACGAAAGAUCUUGAGCCUCUCCUUUUUGUAAAAAAUAUGAAAAAUACUACCUGCGCGUACAAUGCAAUAUUUGUUUUAGCCAACAGUUCAAAAUAUAGUGUGGAAAUACUUUUCCUACUUUCAAAAAUACAUGUCAAAUAUUGAAAGAAACUGAAAAAUAAUUCAGUCCAAGAAAUUCUGGUCUUACCUGUGGAACGGGGAGAACAGCAAAAGUGUCAAUUACAAUGCAUGACAGCAAAAUCUUCUUAGCUGAUUUAACUCUUUCCAAACGAAAUGUGGCACCAUUUAUUGAUAUCUUGGACGUGACGUUGAGUUGAUAAAUUUGAAAAAUAAUAUCGACAAGAUAAAAGAGAUCUGCAACAGAUCGUAAAGCAAGAGCUAUUUUCUUCAGGUUUUUGUCCAACUCCAGACACUUCAUGUCCUCGUUGAUGACAGGAGUGUAGAAGAACAAAGGAUCCAUCAAAACAGCAAACACACAGGAUAAUACAAAUAUCUUGUUCCAUAUUGGAAGGAGAGGUCCAAGAAACUCCUUUGAUAUUUUUAAUAUCUUCUUCCAUAUUGAAAGGAGACGGUCGAGGAUUUCUUCUUUUAAUGACCUCCGGCGUGCCGGUGCACUGUGUGUGAGAAUCGGUCUCGGCCUCACCUCCUCUAUUAAGUCCCAUCCUGGAUCCUCAAUUAAAUCCCAGUCAGGUUGAACACUGAAAAAGACACAAGGAACAUAAAAUUGCACACACGUCGUCAAAAGAAACAUUAGCUCUUACAUGAUUAGUACGUACUACUCCAUCUUUGAGUCAUUUGGUUGACCACAUUUUCGUCUGAGUUUUAUCAUGUUUCUUAGCAUAUUUUAGGUGAUCAAACAAUUAGGAUUAUUUUGAUCGUUGAAAUAAAAUUCGUAGUGCAUCUUAAAAAGUAUUCUUUAAAUAAAAUAAUUUAAAAAUCUCUUAUCAAAAAAGGACUGUAUUUAAAUGUCAAAAUGAUCCUUCUAUUAUAUAUGUUACUCACCCUCUAAAAUUCAAUUGACAUAAAACGAACCAAAACAAAUAGUUAGAACCCAAUAAACAAGUGGGCCUUCCAUUCAAUACAUAUAGGCUUGGGCCCUUGGACCACGUUACAACAAUUAUUUAUAUUUCUGGCUUUUUUAUUUUUAUUUUAAGGAUAUUAUUAUAAAAGCGAGUAAAUAUGAUACAAAUAAUAUUUACAGUUAAGCUUUUGAAAUGAUUACAUGUAUAUGAAUUACUUUGAAAAGCCACUGCAAAUACCAAGUCAUAUUGUUUCAAUAAAAAUUUAUUUAAAGGGCAAAAAUGAAAUAUGUCAAAGAAAGAAACUAAUUACCUUAACACAAUUGUUUCAAUAUCACAUGAGUUGACCAUAUCUGAAGCUUGUUAAUCAUGCAAUAUCCUCCUAAGUCUGAACUAUUAACAAGAAGAUUAGGAAGCUUGCUAAACUAGCAUACUGCAAAAACCAAAUUAAAAAACAUUGAAAUUUAGAGUAAGUGUGAAGCUCUGUGAACCUGGGAUUGAAGAGAUGAUCCAUUUAAAGAAAGAAUUUAACUUACAAUAAUUGAAGCUCAUAACAGUGGCAGUAAGCUUCUAGGGGUACAAGGUGGAUGAGAGAGAGAGAGAGAGAGAGAGAGAGAGAGAGAGAGAGGAAAAGAAGAUGCAGAAAAUGAAUCUAGAAAGUCGCCUUGGAAACUCAUGAGGAGAGGUAGGGAGAGUGAGAGAGGAACAGAACUGAGGAUUUGAGCUCAAAAAAUGGUUUAUAAAAACGAAAAAAGUAGAGUAAAAGAGUUGACAAUGGGCCAUGCUUUUUUCUAAGUCUUUGUCUUCUUCUAUCAAAUACAAAUACCAUCUUAUAGUACUCACUGCUUUUACAUUAUUUCCUGAUCCACACUCAGACCUUUGCGCAAGUUGGAAAUAAUAAUAUUAACCACACUGUCUGGAUCAAACACGCGAUGUGUGUUGGGAUCUGACUUAAAUAGACCCAUUUAUUCUUAAAUUUAAUAGAUAAAUUUGAUAAAACAAAGGAUAGAACCUUUAUUUCUAACGAAAUUGAAGUUAGAGGACGACCGUAACAAUUUUGGGAAUUUAUGAACUAAAAUACAAAUUGGAUCAAAAUUUAGGAACUAUUUAACCUAAAAAUCCCAAUUUAAAAUUUCUAACUUUUGUUUAAAUUAAAAUUUUAAUUCAUUCAUUCGAAACUUUAAAUCAUACAAGUUAUACUGUAGCAAUGGCAAAAGCACAUACAUAGACUGAAAAUGCAAUUUGGCAAAUAAUAAUUUUACACACAAAAAAAUAAAUAAAUAGCCAAAGUAGGUCAAUUUGGAUUUCAAGCAGAACCACCCUCCAAAUUAUCUACCAAUAGAAUGUCGUCUAUUCCAUCAAUAAGAUAGCUUAAAGAAAUUUUCUUCUUCAUCAUUGUUUUCAUAUAACUAUGUGUCUAUUUUUCAAAUCAAAUACUUAACAUUAAUAAUUUAACUUUUGAAAAUUAUGGCGUUACAUUAUUAAGUCGUCAACUUCGCAAUUUGUAAUUUUUUUUUCAUGUUACAUUAUUAAUUCGUUAACUUCUCUGCAUCAACCAAACAUGUAACAGGAACUUACCAUGGCCUUCAUGAUUCAGUGUUAAGUGGACAACGAUAUAUAAUUAACAUUUUAAGAACAUUAGUCGUGAUUUUUUUAUAGAAAAAAACUGAAGAUAUGAUCAUUUGAUCUUGCUUCAAGGAUUAUGUAUUGCAAGGACCAAUUUUAACAAAAGAACUGUUUUAAUUUUAGGGAGGAGAAUAGAGCUCUCCUCAAAUGUAGGAUGCUAAAAAAUGGUGAGCCAAAAUAAGGAGGUGUUCAUGGAGCUGAAAUUUGCCCUUCAACUCUCUAUUUUUACCGAGGACCGCCCUUCACGGCAAUGUGCUUAAUUUGCUUCAUAACAACUCCAUAUAAAAGGCCUUAGAAGGUUCAACUUUGAAUCAAGACAUCUUGAAUCAACAUUCAACAACCCUCUCUCUCUCUCUCUCUCUUUUUCAUAGGCGUGCAAGUACACACACACACAAUUCAAGAUGGAGCGAUCCGGACGUAUGUUUUCAACUGUCUUCAUCCUUGUCCUGCUCUUUGUGGUUAUUGGUAUUUUUCUCUUUCCUCGUUUUAAUUCUAUCUUUAUAUUUGAAUAUAGUGGUAUAUUUCUUUCCAAUAUUAAAAGAUGUUUCAAGUUUGAAUCCACCUUUUCUCGUUAAUUUAUCGAUGCAUCUUUGGCAGGGAUGGGUCCAAUGGUUGCUGAGGGCAAGGCCGCAACAAAGGAGAAUUCGAGGACUUGUGAGUCUCUGAGCACGAAAUUCAAGGGACUUUGCUUCCGAUCAAGCAACUGUGCAGAUAUUUGCAAAAAAGAGGGCUUCCUGGAAGGCAAAUGUGCUGGCUUCAGGCUGAGAUGUACAUGCACUAAGAAAUGUUAGUGAUAAAACACACAAAAUUAUUUUGGUGCAUGGGAUCGAGAAGAACGAAAAUUUAUUGCCCUUUUUAUUGUUUUGUUUAAGCGAAUAAAUGACUAGCCCUAAUAUAAAUGUUGGGGUUGUGUCCUCGUUUUUGUUCUUAUGCGCUAACCAGGCGUGAGUUAUUUUGUUAUUAAUAAAAUAAAAUAAAAAUCAUAUCGUUCAUUUCUUAAUGCUAUGACACUUUUUUUUCCCUAUAAUACACAAAUGUGAUCUUUCUAACAUUACUCUAAAUAUUUUACCAAUGCGUUAAAUGUUGAUUAUGCUAACAUAAAGUAAUAUUAUUAGGCUCUCUUCGUGUAUACAUGCUUAGGCAUGAGCUCAAGUUCUAGGUAUACAGCUACAUAAACUCUACGCAUUCAUUUUGGUUAGAAGUUCAAUUUUCUAAAGCGUUAACUAGAUAUCUUUGUUAAUUAACUUUUUUUCUUGUGUACCUUCAGUUUAGUGCUAUAAGCUUGUAGCUUACCUCUCUGCAUUUGCUUUGUGUUAUACGGCCACUCUUAAUAAGAGUAAAAUUAGACAACAUUUCUGAUUAUAUUAUAUGGCGUGUACUGGAAUUACUUUUAUAAAUGCACCAACUAGUACCUUUUCUUUAUACAAGCGAUAUUUUAUUUUAAUUUAAUCUAAAUUACUAGAAUAAAUAUUUGAACUCGGGUGGAGAGUAGAGCCGUAUUCUAAUCAACUUGACUAAGUCCUAAUACUUUUAUAAUUACUAUGCUUCAAACUUCCAAAUGACUUCAAAACAAGAUGGGCUGAGAUAUAGAAUUGGUCAGGGUGUGUGCUAAAAGUGCAGGAGAAAUUGAAAAACCUUUGGGUCUGGCUAAAGCCUAGCCAGCCCACAACUAUGUUAUUCCCCUAAUUUCUGUAGUUUCAGCCCAAACGACCAAUUUACAGUUGUGUUUAGGGAGGUAGGGUUUAAAAUUGGUCAUUGCAAAUUUGCAAUACAUUUCCAUUAAGGCAAUAGGAUCCAAAUUAUGAUGUGGGAAGUGAUUAGUACAUGUCAUGUCAACUUAGGAUUUUAUCCCAGUGAAUAUGAAUUACGUUACUAUUCGAAAAUUUAUCGAGUUUCAGCUUUUACUAACUAAAGUUUAUUUUCGUUUCAACUUUGUAUCCAUAUCCUGUGAGAUGAGAUCCCUAACACCAUGGGAUCUAUUUGGGAUCCAUUGGAGAUAAGAAAACACAGAGAGAGAAAAACUCGGGGAAACAAAUUGGGUUCUAUAUUUAUAUAGCAUCUUCUAAACAUAUAAAACAAAAGACGUAGAAAAGUAUUGGUUACACAGGCUGUAAAGAAAAAAAUAAAGCACAGAAGGGUCCCCCCCACCUACCUAGAACUCAGAAAAGGCCAUAGAAUUCAAAGAAUCAAUGCCCAUUUUUCCUCAUAGGCCUUCUGAUAUUGGUCCUAGUUUUCUCAAAACUGUUGUGGAAUAUUAGACAGGCUCCGGUAAAGAGGGUGAAAAUGCUCGACUUUUAACAUUUUUUACUUUAAACACCAGGUAACUUUUCUCUACCAUGAUGCAGCUUUACACCAUCUAAUAAAAACUAGUUUAUUGUUGUGUGUAAAAUGUUCACAAGUUAAAGAGCAUUUUCCGAUGCAUCCGAAGUUCGAUUCUUCUUUUUCAGUAUCGCUUGUAUGAAAGAAAAAACAAGAGUAAAAAUGUUUCAGGAUCAUUUGCAACUCGUAAUAUUUGUUCUUUAAGCAGAGCAUUUACUAAGCACUGUAUUCAAAGGAAAGGAGAUUAAAAAAAAAUAAAUAAAUAAAAGAUUAAGAAAAACCCAUAAUUGCAGGAGCAAUCUUUGUCUGUCCCCCCCAUUACUUGAAUUUUCUAUUGGAGUAAAAUAGAAUCAAAGUUGAAUUAAACCAACUGUCCCUGUUUUUCCCUAAUCAUUUGUGUCACUGUCCAAACACACCAUAGACCACAUGCAUUUAUAUUGGUUCUGCUAUAUAUAAUAUGCAGAUGUAGGUAGUUGCAUAUAUUAUUAAAUCGCUGUCCCCAAAUUCCAGAUGACGAUAUAAUAAAUUCUGGAACAGAUCUACGUCCACAAAAUCACACCAAACCAGAGAGAGAUGUUGAAAUUUAAUAAGACCACAUUUUGUGGUUAGCCAUCCAAAGUGAAGUUAGGUAGCCUAUACACUUCGUUGGGAAAAAAGUACUACUUUAGUUGGCAAUGGCAAAAGCAUACUCAUUAUGCAUCAUUCCCUAUUGGAAUGAAAAUAUAUAUAUAUAUGCAAAACAUUCAAGUUUGGCAAUUACCAUUGAUGGUUCAUAAUCAUCUCUUGUCAAAUUGUCACCAAUUUCACCAAACUGUCAAUUUGAACCACACACUCCACUCUACACAUGAUACCAUAACUAACAUCCUCACCCCUAACAUGUCAAUUAGUUUGGCAAAAACAGAAUAUUCGCUAUACCAAAAGAUCAUGUGUUAAAAAAAGAUGUAACCCAUCAAGCUAUCACAAGAAAGGCACCAAAAGUAAAAGCUCAACCUGAUGAACUUAAACCAAAAGAGGAGUUCAAAGAAAAAUACUACAGAUGUAAUUAAGAACAUAAUGGUUCAGCAUUCCAAUCACAGCCUACAAAAUUACAAAUGAACAUGAGCUAGUCGCCUUAAAUUAAAGUUUUAAACAGAAAUCCUACUGAUGGCAUAAUCAACUGACAAUUUUAAAAAACUACCACCUUCAAGGCAAGGUCAUACAUACAUCAUACCAGAACAUGUUCUCCAUGUUCAUUGCUGCUGAGCAUUCAAAACAAAAUGGCUCAAUGAGGUACAGCAUCUUCUUCAUUAACUUAACACGAAAUGGCGGAAAAUAGAAUGUCGUGCCACUCAAAGGCAACUGAAGAUAAAAGUCUUCCUCACAACAUGCAGUCAGUUCUAGCCGGCAACCUCCUGAAGAAAUUCAGCGGCACAGAAGGAAGCUUAUGACGGAAUCUUGGGUGCCUCAACACAUAGAAUCCAGCGAGAAGAGCCACAACCUGGAAUGGUGUAACAUACAAAACAAUGGCAGCAAUCAGACAGAAAAGCACAAACAGUGAUGUUGCUCUCGGGUCUCUCCAACUUAGCAAAGAUUGCAGCCUCUCCCCUUGAGUAGCCAAGUCACCAACCACUGUCUGGAUUCUCCCAGCAAUGCUCCUCAAUCUAUCAUAUCUCAUCCUUACUAUGUCAGAAGGCCGUGAAGUAGGGAAUGUAUCAAAUUCUUCAUCAAGUUCAUCAGGAUGUGCAGAAUCUGCGUGAGACAGACGAGUGUCCAUGUGAGGAGGAUGCCUUGGUCUCCAUCUAUAAUACCAAACUCCAAUCAAGAAGAGGUAGAGGAAAAUUGUAGGUAAUAUGAGCUCUGGGUACAUGACCAGAAUUAUAAACAAGAUGUGGAUGAGUACAGUUGUAAUGGGGUUUUUCCAAGUACAGAUCUGAUCAAACCAUUUUCCAACAGCAAUUACCCCACCCAAAACAUUCAUAAUCCUGAAAAAGUUAGCUUUGCUUCUUCGCAUACUCCACAUGUGAGAGCCCACAUCCAGCAUAUACUCUACCACUUCUUUCCUCAGUGGUGGUUCAGCACGGCUCAGCCUCAUUGAUACAAUCUGAGUGGCCUGGUGCCUCAAGCUAUCGAGCUGGCUUACAGUUAAUGGAUGAAUAUAGUGCAUUUUUGGCAACAGUGGCUGGGAGUACAUGUGCAUCAUGUUAAGCAAAGAAGAGCAAGUGAACCUCACAGCCAUAUGAAUUUCACCCAUCUUCUUUACACCAUUUGGGUGCAGAACUAAAAGUGGGUAAGAGUGUGUGUACACCCGAUCAGUUUCAAGGGUGGAGAGACGAAUCCUUACCUUUCCAAUUCUUGCAUCCCUGGCCCCUCCAGCCUUAUCUCCCCCAUGCAAAUGACAGUUAUCAAAUACCCCAAUAGUUAUGACAGUACAAGGAUCAAAAACUUCCCAUGUAUAUUGCUCAUUCCACCUGGGAGUAAAGCUAUCAAUAAUGGUUCUUGUUCGAACCCACUUCUGCCCGUAUUUCGCCACACAAUAAGCAUCUGUUGUACCCCUCCCAUCUUUCGUCUUCAUUGGCAUCAACCCCUGAGCAUUCAGAAUUCCCACUUCAAGAACCCCAAUGCUGGACUUCCACAGCGGUUUUGCUGUUGGUCGAAGAUCACUACUAUAGUGUGUUGAUUCAUCAAGGACAUGGUAACCACCUUCCAGACAGAUCCUCAUAUGAAUUCUGCUUGCAAACUUAAUUUCCUUCUUCUUUUCCCCUUCUACAAUAACAUGUUUCUCAAGAUUGUGCCAACUAGUGUUCACAGGUUUAUGAUCAUACCUUCGGGUCACAUACUGCAGGGGAAUUGCACACCUUCCUAGAACUUCAUCUUUAUUAGGCGCUACUCUGUCCUCCACACUCAAAAUCAGGGGCUCCUCAAAUGGUUCUGAUGCUACGAACAUUAAAUCUUCAUUCCACAUAGGAUUUAUACUCCUGCUUGGAGAAAUCCUAGUUCUCAAAGCCUGAUUUCCCAGUAUAGCCUUCACAAAAACUUCAGGAUACCUACCUUUAUCACUCGGUUGCAAAUCCUGAGCUUCAAUCACAUUAACCCUCAAAUACCAAAGCUUAGGAGAGAGAUACACCUUUGACCGAAUAUUUGAAAGACUGUCAGCCCCACUAACUGUAGCAGCAUCUGAAUGCCAUGCUUCAGGAAAAGCUUCAUCUGCUUGGGUGCCCAUCCAAACAGCCAACAUUAGCUCUCCCCUAACCUUGUCCCCCUUCCUAUCCUCCAAUCUAUACCAUUGCGGUGCUAGAGGACUAUCAGGAGGUACCCGUUUUGGAAUCUCAUUCAGGUCAAAAGAAACACGACCCAUGAAAUCAUCCUUCACAACAUCCUUGUCCUUCACAAUGACCUCAAGAACCGAAGCCUGAAUACGAUCUUUCGAGAAUGCAAAAACCUGGUUCCACUCCGGAUUCGACUUCUUCUCGAAAUGUCGAGUGGCACCCUUAUAAUUUCCAAGCCUAACUUCAACAUAAGGGUCACAACUACCAGUAACAUCUUUCGCAGGCAAGUCCUUCGCCUUGACAACCCGGACAUAGAGAUACUGCAUCUGCUCAACAAGGUCAUAGGUGCUCGUGAGCUUAUCACCAGAGAUCCUCCCCCCACCGAGGUGGGGUUUGGUCUCCUUCAAAGCAAAGUCUUCUGGGGGUGGUCUCUGCAUCUUGUGGGUUCAAAAACAGAGAGACCCAAAUGGCAAAGAUUGAAGUUGAAGUUGAACGGUUGGAUAUAAUAAGAUUAACUGUUUUUGAAUUAAUUCAAAAGUUCCAGGAACCUAAAACAUCGGAAAAAAUAGUUUAAUAGCCGUUAGUUAUAAGGAAAACCAAAAGCCAAGGCACCUAAAUCUCGGAAUAUUCAUUAAACAAAACCGCACCAUCUAAACUAAAUUAAUAACACGAAACAGGGUGUUAUUGUUAACUACAAAUUGCCAUAUCCAUUACUCAAAAAGAAAAGCAAUCUGAAACUAACAGUACAAAACAUUUCAUAAAUAACACGAAAUCAGAAAGAAUAACUUAGAUCUUUAAAUAUUGGAUGCAUACAUAACAGAAUAUAAAAGGUCCAAGUUUUAAGAGUAACCUUCGUAGCGGCGGAGAAACCCAAGCUUCAGAUCUGAAACAACAAACAACCCAAAGUUACAAAACACAAAUAGCAGAGUGCGAGACUCGAUGUGUUUUUAUAUAUUGUGUUUGGCUACCGAGAAAAAUGACGAAAAGCAGGAAAAAUUGAACAUGCUUCGAUACUAAUAAUUUUCCUUUUCUGCGACCACCGAAAGCAAACAUAUCUAUGACUAAAUCCAAAACAUUACUUUCCUAUUCGGAACUUAAAAUUUGCAGUCGCCAAAAAAAUUUCUUUUGUUUUCAUAAGCUUUCCCAGAAAAAAAAAACAAACAAACUGAGAGCAAGAAAAUGAAGAAAACAGAAAAAUAAACAAAAGUGUGAAGACAACAUAAAGCAUCAGAAAGAACCCUAACAAUGUCGGCGCAGGGGAAUGCUAAGCGGUUCAGAGAGAGAGAGUUUACCUCUUGAGAAGGAAGAAGACUCAGCAGGGCUUCAAAGAAAAAACCCAAAACCCAAAAAAGCUCAUCUUUUCAAACAAACCAAGAGGAAAAGGAAAAUAAAUGAAACGCUCCUCCUCAGAUUGAAGCGGUGGAAAUGGGUAUCAUUGGGUUUGGUGAGGCUGAAAAAUCAAAAAGAUAAGGAUGAACUAAGAAGAAGCAAUGUUUUGCAUUCUAGAGAGAGACACUGUAGAGAGGUAGAGAGGUAGAGAGAGAAAAGUUGAGCGCUUUUGCUUUUGGGUGGGAUCUGUUGAAUAUGUGAGAGAUAUACAGAGGGAGACUAGUCAGUCUUUUUUCUCUUUCCUUCUUUUUUUUUUUUUCUCUUCUUUUGCUUUUUCUCACUCUGUGUAGGGUCUGCGGCUCACUGAGUGUCUGGUGGGCUUGAUGAGGUUGGAAAAUGUACUGGUCAAGCAUGUGUAGGAGACUGUUGUCGGUCUUCGCACGUGUGACACCAUUUGUUUGUGAUGGAAAUUGGAAUAAGAAGGGACAUGCCGCACAACACUACGGAAUUACAGCAGAUUAAUGUCUUUUUUCCUGUUUUUAUAGAGCACUAGAUCAGUUAUAAAAAAAUUAUAUAUAUAUACCUAAUUGGCUGUUAGAGUGAUUUGUCAUUUGGCAUUAUGCAAUUAUGUGUCACAUUCAAUGCACAAGUGCGUUGUUUUAUCAACGGCCAAAUUAUAAUCUUUUUAAUCUUUUAACUCGAUAGUUAAAAAAUAUAUUAUAUCUGUUCAUUGAUUGCACUACAAAAAGACUCCAAAGAUUAUUAUCUGUCAUUUCACAUUAGUGUAAUUAUGUGGUACAUUUAAUGUACGAUACGUUAUUUUGUCAACGGUCAAAUUUUAAUCUUUUAACUCGAGAAUUAAAAAGUAUAAUACACAACUCGAGAGGUAAAAAGUAUAAUACACCGGUACAUUGGUUGUACAGCCAAAAGACUCAUAACAUUAACAUAUUGAGAACGGGUUAAAGGUUGAUGGGAGGUCUUUUCAUAAUGUGUCUUUAGAUGCUCUGUUGGACUAUUUAACCAUGUGGGGAAUGGGAUCUCUAUGUUGUGAUUAGACUAGUUGGCAAUUGGUGAGUUUUAGUUCAGGUGGAGUUUGUUUGGGCCCAGUGGAGUUUCCUAUGGGCUUUUUUUACAGUCGGAGGAGAUUUAGGUUGUUGUUUGCAUAUCUUAACAGGUUUCGUAAAUAUAGUAAUUUUCAUUUUGACAAAGUCAGUUUGGAUUUUUUUUAUUUUUUGGUUGGUAAAUAUAAGAGUGUAUAAAAGCUAGCACUGAAAAUAUGAGAGACAUGAACAAAUGCGUAAUUUUUUUAUAAAAAUACUCGCGCCUGAACAACUCAGUUUGGAUUUAAUAGCAAUAAAUUUGGUCACAAUAGUUAAUGAAAUAUUGAAUGCAAGAGCAAAUGCAUUUUAAAAAUACUUGGACCAUUUGAGUUACAUUGAAUGGGAUUCAUUCAUUCAAUUUCUACUUGGACGUUGAUUGCUCUAUGGAUUUUUCAAUAGGAAAAAAUAUAUAUAUUAAAAAGUCAAGCAUGGAGGAGCCAUUUCUCUAUCAAAGUGGGUGGACCAUGGAGCCUAAUGAAUGAGCAUAUAUCUCUUGGGCCAUGUAUUGUAGCUUGCACGUGUCUCUCAGCUAACCUGGUUGUACAGAACUUCUAUGAAGCCGUGGGUCAUGGAAAGUCACGCCUUAUUAUAAAGACAAAAGGGCUUGUAAUGGUUAGUCAUGUCCAAGGUGUCUUCCACGACCAGAAGCUCAUAUUCCUUUGCUUUUGUGGGACACCAGCACAUGACACAGCUGAGCUGAAGUCGUUUGGACAAUUAUAUGCGUGUCAAUGGAGGAGGGGCACAGGGCAUGCAUGACCUUGCCAAGGGCGCCCUUUGCAAUGGCCAACGAAACAAGGCUUUGAGUCGGGUUGCAGAGCCAGGAAAAUGUACGCAUGCAUAAGAUUGCACUUUCUAUUUCUUGGUUUUAUAUGUGUUUAAAAUAGUUAAGAUUGUCAUGUUGAUGAUUUUGAUUUCACAUGAUGAUACAGAGUAUGAAAUACUUUUUGUUUUUGUUUUAACUUUCAAAUUUGAAAUCUCAAGUAUAAAAUUAUAAUUUGAUUAGUGUUAUUGAUGUGUGUGCGCGCUUGAUAUUAUAAUUUGAUUAGUGUGUAUUGAUGUUAUAUUAUGGUUUGUUUUGGGUAUUAAUGUGUUACUAGUUAAUAUUGGCAUGCUUACAUGUUCAUUGGUGAUGAUUGAUUUAUUACACUUUUAUAUGCAUGCGAUACGUAAACAUAAAAAUUAUAUUAAGAAUUUCAUUAUGUUAUGAGAUUUGGUUAGAUUUGUUGGGAUGAAAAAUAAAUUAUGGAAAUGAGGGUGAUGGAAAGGAUAUUUUGUGUAGUUGAGUCAAAUUAUUGGUGACACAACUCGCUCCGAAUUUCUCAAAAUCCGUAAUGAACCUUGUGAUUUUUCCGACAUCUAAUUGAUGCCAGACCCACUUACUAAAAACAUCCUUUUCUCCGAAACAAAGGAAAAGGGGUCGAGACUCCUACCUAAAUUUUGGCAGAGUUUUCCUUGAAAAAUGAACUUUACCAAAUUUUUUCACCUAUAAAAAACAACAUAAAAUAAUAGUCCAACUGCCAGCAUACACAAUGCAAUAGCACACAUAUUACAAAAUAGGCCUCCGGCCUUAAAUUCAACCUCACACGGGCAAUAUCAAAGCAAUCUAAGAAUCUCCAGUUAAACAACCAAAGUAAAAGUUUCAAAGCAAAUGGACAACAAGUGUCCUACAAUUAAGUAGAGGCACGAGAAGAGAAAGACUCAACUUGGUUGUUCGGAUGACGUCAAGCUACUGCCUAAGGGGCGCAAAAUAGAAAAUUGUGAGUGGACAAAAAACAAACAUACUAACCCCCAUCGUUUUGGAAAGCGAUACCAAAAACAUGCAACAAAAACCAUUUAUAUACAUAACUAACUUUAAAAUCAAGAUAUCCUAUAAUCCCAAUAUAGCAUAUAACAUAAACUCAAACUGGACCUUUUUCUCUUCCCAUACCACUAUCUUCCAAAAUGCAUGCUCGUAGGCACAUCAAGCGAGGAAGGAUCCUCACUAGUAGAUAAGAAUAAAAGUAUAUAUAUAUAUCUACUACCAAACUUAUACCGGGGAAACAAUCCAACGGAGAUUGUUUGAAUAGACCACAUGGAAGAAUCCUCAAUAAAUAUGUGACUUGGGAACGAGUCGUCCAACUAGGGGACUGGGCUCUUAGAUACGCAUAGCAGAAUCCUCAAUACUCAUGUUGCUGAACUAAGUCCUACUCGCACAGACUGCCCCGCCAAAGGCCUACGAAACCCUCCCUAAGGGUGCCCGGGUUCCGACAUAUUCAAGUAUCCAUUGUUUCCAAGUAUCCAUAUCCAAGUAUCCAAGUGUCGGGGAGGUACAUAUGGUGGUGCUAUCAACACUCCAAUAUAAUAUAUCCCACAUCCCAACUCAUAUACCAUGACCAUAUCCAAUUUCCCAAAUAAACCCAAUGUACCCAAUUCCAUAUACAUAGACAUCCGGACAAUAAUAGCGUCCAUAACUCCAUACCCAAAUUAUUAUAUAUAAUAUAGAUACCAAACUCCCACAAUGAUACAAAACCAAAGUUAUGACAAUAUAAUAAUGUCAUAGUCCCAAUAGUCAAAAUAAUCAAAUAUAUAAAUGCAUGACAUUCCAUUUUUGAAAAUAAUGAUCAUUUAAAAAACAAAGUCCACUCAUAGAUAAUCCAAAGUUGCUUGACCCUAAGAAGGUCUCGCCUAUUGAGCUUGUGGAGCUUGAGUACUUAUUUUAAAAAACACGAGGACUUAAUAAAAUAAAGCACUCCGAGUGAGAACUUUAAAUCAAAUUCUUAACUUUCCCGGGACUCAAAGUGUGUACGCCUAACAGGGAGUUUCUAAAGCCAAACUAACGCUUUUUGAAAGGUGAAACGAUUUCGAAAGACUCACGAUCAACCGAGUGGUCAAACUUCCCAAAUUGGUCAACUAGGGCCCCUAUGAUUUUUCAUCCGAAAGUUCCUACGAGAUCCUAGAGGUACAAAGAACAACAUGUUUGAAAUUGAAAGCGAUAGAACGAUCCGAACCUAUCGAACCCAGAUAUCGUAUAAUAGGUGCAAUAUAUGUUUGACUUUUAAAUAGUAACCAAUUCCAAAUCUAAGCAUACCAUCGUGCUCAAGACAACAAGAGGAGUGUUUAGAACACAAUAGGCCGACACAGAGUGGCUCACGCGCCGCCACUGGCCACCAACAAGGCGUGGGUGUCUUGAGAAAAUUCUGGCGACGGCAAAUUUUUGAAACACCCUACAAUAGCUAUACUAAAAGGACAAGUACAACGAGAGGAGCAUUUUUGGUUCUUGGACAAUGGCCAAAAACUUGCCGAAACUAGCUGAAUCGAAGCUGGAACAGUGCAGAUUUGGCCAGAACUUCUUUGCCUUAAACCGGCAAUGGCAGCCAUCAUUGCUGUCGUGCAACCUAGAGGAAAGUAAGAGGGGGUAGAGAGCUACCUGAUCCAAGUGGUGGUGUGACCUGACAUGGCCGAAAACAUCACUGGAGAUGAGAGAGGUUUCUACCAAAACUUCCAGUCGAUACUGUCAACUAUCCCAGUAGUUUUGAGCUACGAAAAGUACUGGGUUGGGUAGAGGAGAGAGAGAGGGUAGACUUUGGAACUUGAAUCGUUGGAUUUGGUCGCCUGACAGUGAUGAUCUCGCCGGUCAAAGUUUCAACGUCGCGAGAGUGAGAGAGAGUGUGGGGGGGAGAGAGAGAGAGAGAGAGAGCGCAUUUGGAAGGGGGAAUCCAACUUCAAAAAAAUUACAAUUGUGCCAUCGUACUUCCGUUGACCACAACCCACAACUUCUUCGUUAAAACUCAUAUUUAGUCCCACUACGUUUUUACAAACUCAUGAGAGCGAGCUCUAUGCAAUGGUAGCAUUCAAUUCCCAACAUCCUUACAGAUCGAAAAGUGACUAAAGUGACCUUACCUCCAAGGGCAAAUUUAUAAAUUCAGAAUUGAAUAAAACGGUUAAAUUGGGUCGGGUUGUUACAAUUGGUAACGUACCAAGUCUUAUGAAAGCCCAAAGUCCACAUGGCUUUUAUCGGAUAAUUCGAGACUUGCGACAAAGAGUUAGGUAAAAUGACUAACAAAAAAGGGAAAUAAUGGGAAUAUUGGGAAGGUCUUAAUUAAUAUAAAUGGACAUUGAGACUAAGUGGUAUAAGCAUGGUAUGUGACAUGCAAGGUCUAUUUGUUCAGUUAUAUGAAUUAACGGGAAUAGACGAAGAGUUCACAUUACACUCAUGCAUUAUUAUUAAUAUUGUAUGAUUGCAUGUCACUUUAUUUAAUUUUGUCAAUUUACUAUGAUAAAAGCAUUCACAAUGGACUUCCUAAAUCACAUCCUUAGAUAAAAUUUAGGGAAGUAAGAAAAUCCACCUCCAACCAUGCUCUCUAUCUAACUCCUAAAAUAUGGAGACCUCUAUGAGCUCCUAAAUCUUAGGAGAGAGAAAGGGCUCCUAGUGACUCCCUAUAAUUAAAUGUUGCUUUACUUUAAUGUUACUUUAAGUAUAUAUUUAAUAUUAACUAUUAUUUUUCUAUAUAAAAGGGAGCAUUUAUGCUAAACUAAAAAAAGAAAUAAAUCAUUUAUGAUUCCCUAAAUUGGGGAAUAUGGUUGGAGUUGAAAUUUUAUAAGGAGCUCCUAAAAUAAUUUUCUAGUGCUUUUGGCUAAAUUUUAACUAACUCAUUCUCUAAGGUUUAUGUCCCUACUGAGCGAUGAUUUGCUCAUUCAUCACCCUUUAUAAGUUUCAGAUAAAUUAGUGGGUAAAGCAAUGACUAAACCACUUGGGGUUGAAUUAGAUGCGAGUGAUAUAUCUUUAUUUAUUUAUAAUUCGAGGUUUUUGUUGCAUCUUGAGUCAGGGUGUGUCAAUUUGUAUAUGAAAAUACAUACCAACCUGGGGGGCCUCGUGAGUUGAAAACGAGGAGAGAAGAAAGAAAAAACAUGUAAAAAUAGGAAUUACAUAAGCUUGUAGCUAAAAGUGUCAAAUGGAUCGUGUCGUGAUGGCCCUUCCAUUUAUGAAAAUUAUUAAGUCCAGUCCUAGCCCAUAUAGGACCGGGCCAGGUUUGUGUCGGGCCAUUAGACGAGCCAAUAUGGGCCCACUCCUAGCUUAACUUAUGUAUUGCAUUUUUUUGUUGUUGUAAUUUUGUUUACAAUUUCAUUUCAGUCUUUUGAUGAUUAUUUAUAUACUAACAAGAUUUAUUUGUUAGAAAAAGAGUCCACUGACUUUACUUGAAGUACAUUUAAAUAGAAAAAGACUAGACUACUAUUUGGGUUUACAAGAUUAAAACUUUAAAAAGAAAAUUAUUAUUUUAUUUAUAAAGAAAACAUUGAACUUUAAAAUAUAUUAUUAACAAAAAUAGGCAUAAAUUUAAGAUAUAAAUAUAAUAAUAUUAUGACUAAAACAUAAAUAAUUUAAUAAAUAUGCUUAAACUGGGCUGGCAUGGUUCGUAACGGGUCUCUAGUUGGCCUAGCCUAUUGGGCCGAAUUACCUUGCCUCGGCUCUUCUAAAGAUACGAGUCGUGUUGUGUAGGGCCUUACUUAAUUGGGUAGAACCCGUGUCGUGCUCUAGUCGGCCCAAUUCGGUUUACACCUCUAUUCAUUGUCAAAGAAAAGUUUCCGACAUUAAUAAUAAAAAAUUCUGAAACAGUUACUCUUCAAUAUUUACUGAAUAAGAAACUGUGAGAAGUCUAAUAUCCUAGCCUAAUUUCCACUAGUUCCAAUCCAUCUCCACUUAUAAGGAACAUGUUACCAAUGGUAUUUGUGCUCAAAACUGGAUGACCAAUAGUGGGCCAAAACUUAAAGAUGUGAUCUGCCUCCAAUAAGGGUUUCCUUUCGACGGUAAAAGGCUAUAUGCAAGGAGAGAAUGAAAAGGAGUAGGUUAGACCUAAGACAUCGGUGUGGUACCAAUUGAAAGCCCUCCAAUGCUAAAGUUAGAGGAAGGAGUGAAGGGUUAAUUACUAACAAAGCGAGGGCAUAAAUUUCAAGUUGCAAUUACCCUUUGCCUUGGGAAAAAUGGACCCUAUUUAUAGAGGUCUGGGGGUAUUUACUUGGCGCAAACUUUUGAUGUGGGACUAGUGGGGAUAGCAUAGAGGCUACCACGUGUCCUAACGAAUACACUAGUGAGGAACUUAAGAGACCCCUGUAAGAUACCUUCUUGGAGGCUAGAUCGGCAUAGGGUGCCGAGGGCACCUGCCAACCUUCGAGUGCGAACCUGCUCGACUGGGCCUACUAGUACGGAAUCAGUAGUGGAUGCCGAGGGCACCUGCCAAUUAUGAGGCUGGGCUGGCCAACGUGGGCUUCUGUGCCUCGUUUGGUGUCGUGUUCUUUCCACAUGUCAUGGGAUGAGAGGUCGAUCGUAUAUGGUACAAACAAAUUGAAUUGAACCCGUCAGAGACAUUAGAGCUGUAGGUGAGAAAGGGUAUGAGAAUUUCUUAUUCAAGUUUUCCUGCAAUGAUAAAUUGAAAUAAAUACAUAAUAAACAAAAAAUUUUGAGAAAUAGAAACACCAUUAGUAAGAAAACAAAUUAAAUAAAGAAAAGUAACUUAAACUAUCAGCCACAAAGCACAUGAUACACAGCUACACAAAGAUCACAUGGAUCCUAACAAAAUACUCCCAAAAUGUUUGUGUGAUAUUGAUGCUUCAUGGUUGUUUUGUUGGCCACGAUUAUGGAGAAAAUUAACAUGUGUCGACCAAAUGUUAAUCUCUAUGCCUUUGUAGAAGUUGAAAAGCAUAGUCACUCUGUCACUCUCUGAUCCGAAAAUAAAAAAUAUUCCCGAAUCAGGUGCGUUAAUUGAAAGAAAUAAAUAAAAAGACUGAAAAAUUGGUUAAAAUACAUUACCAUUAUAUUUAUAUAAAAAAUUAUAAUAAUCUUACAAGUGUACAAGAUAUAAAUAAAAGUUUAUCACUCUAAACUAAUCUAACUUCUCUGGUUUUGGCUUUGUCUUGCCCACUAAUUUAUUUGAAAAAUAAAAUAGGCCAUGGAUGAGAAAACCACCGCUCAGUGAGUAGAUUAUGUAAUAUGUCAGUCAAGCAAUGUCAUUUUACACACUCUAAAAAAUAUAUAAUAAAAAGAUACACAAUCCAAGUCAUAUCACUUCAUUACUUCAUAUCUUGGUUACCCUUCACAAAUUGUACCCAGUACGUGACCUAUAUUGGCCUUACUGCCUUAUGUCCCUAUCUGGUACAUUUAUUCUUCUAAUACCCAGUUACUGAAGUUCUCAUGCUCCAUAAAUAAUACAUACUUCACAAAAACUCCUGUUGAGGCCCAAAAAAUUCACGGUUGGGCCCGAAUAAGUCACAGUACACGUGCCUUGCCAAAUAAAUAAUCCAUUAUGCUAGAAAUUGAGAUAAAGAUUAUAAAAUACACUGGCUUUACAAGCCCAUGCUAAUUAAGCAUCGUGUCCCUCUUCAAGGACCAUAAAAUUAAAGCACGUCAAGCGACAUGCCAUGCCAAGCAGAAAAUUAUUAUUUCACACCCAAUCAUGCUACAAGCGUAAGUGGGCCCAAGCUACUCAAAUGCCCGGGGCUUGCUUGAGUGGGUUGUGGUAUGGAUGGUAAUGAAUUGUCAUGAGGCCCAUUGAUGGGCUGAGAAAUGGAAGUCCCGGAUUGCUUAGGAGUCUCGCAACUCAAGCCCAUUUCUUAGGCCCAAAUAUGUGGGUGAGCAUAAAAGAGAAAAUAGCCCAUUACUUCAACCAAAAUAGCCUAACACUUGAUAAGAUUAACCCAUUUAUUUGAUAAAUCAACAUUUUGUCUUAGAAGACCCAUACAAUUAUAAAAAGAAGCAGCAAAAGCCCCAACACUUGGCUGGAGAACAAAGCCACAAAGGGAGCCUGGAGGUCCAUGUGUGCAAAGCUGCUGGGAGGCUCUAGCACAUGGGAGGGAACAAGUUUCAAGCAAAACAUCCAAAGGACCGGAGGAUAUUUGUGCGCAGACUGCUAGAAAGGGAGUCACCUUUCGAACCAGCGUGCAUACCCAUUUCUUUCCCUCAUCAGAACUGGCUAUGGACGAAAGAGGAAAAAAAAGGAAAUAGAUGGCUGGGAAUGAGAGUUCUCUACUGAGGUAGUUGCGGGAAGAGCAUUGAGCUCCCAAAAAUUCAUGUUUUUGUGCAAUUGGGCAGAGGAAAUUUCACCAAGAUAGGAUAAGUUAAAGGAGGACAGGAGAAAGGAAGGGAAAGAUUUGGCCAAAUUGGAUUGAAACCAUUAUGGUUUCUUGGGAAGGAGGAGCUUCCAAUGACUAUAAGUGAAACACUUCUUACCCAACAACCAUCAACCACAUCCAAAAGAGCAUGCUUCCUCUCUCACCUGCAAAACCCAGCAAAUUCGUGCUCUAUUCAUCCUUCUCCCCCGUUUUCCUUCCUCUGACAGACUGUUCUAACAUUCAACAUAGCCUCUUUUAAGCUGCUGGAAAAAUACUUGAGCCACCCAUUCUCCUAUCUUUCCCUCAUUCUCAUCCAAACCUUCCUGCAAACCCUUCAUUUCUUACCUUAAUACCCCCUUUUUUUUCCCAGGAACGCAUAGCUUUCUCUUCAGUGCUAAACUCAUGACAAUUUUGCUUCUAUGCCACAAGCCUCUCAUACCAAGCUAAAAAGUCUACAUGUAAGCAUCCAUUGUUUUUGUUAGUGAAGGUAACCAAGGUGUUUCCUAAGGUUUCACUAUCCUUUCGAAGCAUUAUUGGGGUCUGAUAUUGGAACUUAGAUACAGGGGGUGAUUUCAUCCAUUUUGCUCUUUACGGCAGCCCAGCCCAUUUGUAGCUGUCGGAAGAAAAAGCCCAUAUAACUCCAAAUAAUAUAUAUUAUGUGAAAUAUUGCACAAAUUAAUGCUUGACUUGAAAAUAGAGAGAGGUUUGUAAAUAGAAUAAACCCAUGAUUUUCACAUUUAUCACAAAAUAAGAACUUUUAGAACAUAUUACAUAACCCACUCACCAUGAUAAGUAUGAAAUAUUGCAAGACAAACACACACGCUCUUCAUCUUGUUUUUUUUCUUCCUUAUCUCUCUCUCUCUCUCUCUCUCUCUCUCUCGCUCUCUCUCUCUCUCUCUCUCUCUCUCUCUCUCUAACACUACUUCAUGGUAGAAAUCUAUCUUAAAGGAUUGGAAUAAGUGAUUGAAGUAAGGAAGCAUGAUACUUAUAGGAGAGGCUAUGGAUGCACCCAAAUAAUAUUUAUAUAUACAAUAUUUUAAACCACCAAAAAGAUAAGAUAGAAAAGUAAGGGAAUAAUGUGACUCAUCCCCUCUUGGCCAAUGAUAUCACAACACCACCAAAAAAUAAGAUAGAAAGAUGAGGGAAUAAUGUGAGUCAUCCACCUUUGGCUAAUGAUAUCACAACUAAGGGUGGGCACGGUCCAGUUUGGUCCAAUUUUCAGUCAAAAUUAGAACCUGAACCGUACUGUACAUCCAGCUCAGUCCGAUCCGGUUCUAAUGAAAAAUUAAUGGCUCAACCGAACCAUUCCAAACCGGUUCAGAUCCAGUUCGGUUUCGAUUUUCUCAGUUGGAAUCGACAAACAAUCCCAGCUUUGUUUUUUGAAUUUUUCCCAGAUCUACAUUAGAUCUACAAUCCCAACUCUAUUUUCGUUUUUGUUUUUUUGGAUUUUUCCUGGAUCUACAAUCCCAACUUUUGUUUUUGUUUUUAUUUUUAUUUUUAUUUUUGGAUUUUUUCCAGAUCUACAUCAGAUCUACAAUCCCAGCUCUGUAUGAUGAAACAAGUCCCUAAGAUCUACAAGAUGCUGUCUGGGCAGCGUGCUCAGAGAAGGAAAGAGACUCCAGGGAGAGAGCUGGAGCUGAAGCUGUGCUGGCUCGUGCUGGUAGCUAAGCUCGGAUGCAUGCGGGGACUGGAGCCCAGUGGAAGGCGAUGAAGGUGUAGAGGAUGUGGCUGUGGCAGCAUGAGGGGGAGAGGAAAAUACAAGGUUGGCAUCACAAAGAAGUGAGAAAGAAGAAGAAGAAAGAGUCAGCACAGAUGAGAGAAAUAAGAAGAAAAAAAGGAAGAAAAAAAAAGAAGAAGAUGUUCACCCGUUUUCGUUUUUAACUCCUGAUGUGGAAGGGCGAAGUUCCCCACUGGCUUGGAGACCACUUGUUGGUCGACAAGUCAGCUUUCUUUGGUGUGCGAGCGUGCCACUGCUAGCAAUGUAAAUUCUAGCAGACUUAUUUUUAGAGUGGAUAACUUGCGCCUCAAGUUACUGACUUCUAAAACAAACGAUUGUGAAUUUGGGUGAGGAAUAUCUCCCAAGUAAGUUCUUUUCUUGCCUCAGACUGGUGAGGACUUUCACAAUUUAUCUCAGUACCAAAAAUGGUUGUUCUGGCCAGAAUAGAUAAUAAUAAAGUACUGUUUCAGGCAGAACUGCCUUUUACAAAAUUAAGAAGGGAGAAAUCAACUCUAGGAAGGCAAAAGGAUGGCUGGAAUCCCAUUUCUGCCUGGGUAGAAACUUCUGAUCCGGGCUGGACUGGGUAUGUCUAUGCUGGACUGUACUGUCAACAACUUUAGCUGCUUGGCUUCAGCUGUAAAUCGAUACCAAAGUUCGAUUUUGGCAGAGCUUCAAUCUACUUCAAGCUAGGGGUGGGCACGGUUAAGUUUGGACCGGUUUUUGCCUCAAAUUAGAACCGAUCCAAUACUAUUCAUCCGGUUUGGUUCGGUUCGGUUUUAAUAAAAACAAUUUCAAAAACUGUCCGGUUCGGUUUGAACCGAUUUCGGUCCGGUUCCGGUUCGGUUCGGUUUUGAACCGGAUUAUAAAAAUUAUUUUUUUAAAUUACUUUUUAAUACAAUUCUCAAUUGAAAUAUUAUUUUUUUACUUGAAAAUUAACAAAUUAUUCAAUUUCAUAUAAAAAAUAAAUAUUAAAGUGAGAAAAUAGAGAUAUUUUGACAUUGAACUUGGAUAAAUAUUAUGUUUUUUUUAGUGAAAUUAAAAAUAUAGCAUUAAAUAUAAAUAUAUAUAUUGAAAUUAUAUAUUUUUUUAGUUUCACCGGUUCGGUUCGGCCCGAUUCGGUUUUUGAAGACAUGGAACCGGAUCCGGAACCGGUCCAAACCGGUCCGGUUCGGUUUUUGACCGGUUUUUGACUUUUUGGUCAACUCGGUUUUUUUCCGGUUUGGUUCGGUGCGGUUUGGUUUGAAUUUCCGGUUCGCCGGUUUGAGUGCCCACCCCUACUUCAAGCCUUGGGAGGCUCUUGAGCCUUCAGUCUGAAGGGACAGAAGUGGCUAUUCUCGAGGAUUUAGCAAGCUGGAACCAUGCUGUAAAAUUUGUUGAGGUUUUCAUAGUUGUGAAAACUCAAACUAUGUUUGUCUUGGCUUUUGCUGAACCAAAUUUGUAACGAGGGAUCUCGUUCUAGGAAAUUUGUUUUCUAAGUCUGAACCUUGGAAUUCUGAUUUAAGGUUGGUUCCUCUUGGAAUUUAAGUGAGCUCUUGGCUGUUUUUCUUGCUGUUGUUUUUUUGGUUGAUGAGUUGAGUGUCCUUUCUUUCUUGCCUGCUUCUGUUUUUAUAAGAGACCCUCCUUUUGAAGGUGGUUUUAAAUUUAAAUAAUGGGCGGCAAAAGAUUUCUCAAAACGUAAAGCAGGAAAGAUUUUUAUCAAUUAUGGCAGAUAGACUCCCAGUGGUCACUUCCUAUAGCGAUCCCUUCCCUGGUUUCCUGGCUGACGUUUUUUUCUAUUUUAAUGCCACCGUCUGUGUGAGCUGAUCCUAUGGCGGUUUUGAUUUUUCUUUUGUAUUUUCUGAACAACUCCCUGUUUCUUGCUCUUGAAAACGUGAUUUGCGAAAUCUUUUUUAGAAGAUAGUGUGUUGCUUUGGAGCAAAAAGUCUCUGAUCAUAGACGCCCCUUUGAUUUUUCUUUCUCGGCAGUGUUUUCAGAAACGUCCCUUCUCACAUAAAAACUCUAGUUGGAAUUGCUGACUUUCCAGAGAGGUGAGGUAGCCACGUGAAUGUGUCUUUAGUCUCUUGGGCUUGAGUUUAAACAAUAUUUUGUGGGCUGAUCUUCAAAGGCCCAAUAUGACAGCUUUCUACGUUUUGGGUUUUUUGGGACUGGAUAAGUAUUUCACCACGGGCCUGUUUCUGGAUCUCUUUGGUGUGUCAAAUUUAGGCCCAAACAGAAGAGGAAAGAGUCGGCAGCACAAUGGAGAGAAAAGAAGAAGAAAAAGAAAAAAAAAAAAAGUCAGCAGCACAGAGGAGAGAAAAGAAGAAAAAGAAAAAACAAAGAAGAAAAAAGAAGAAAAAGAAGAAGAAAAGCCGGCAACCAGAUGAGAGAAGAAGAAUAAGAAGAAAAAAGAAGACUUUUGGAAUGAGAGAUGAUGAAGGGGAUGGCUAGGGUAUGAGAAAUGGUUGAGGGAGUCGUACAAAUGAAUAUAAAGAGUUGGGCCUGGUUAAAAAAUAGAAUUUGGCCUGGUGAGAUGGUUAACAAAUGGACUUGGGCCUAUUUAUUUAUUUGACUUUUAGAGUUAGGCUUGGUAUGGAGAGGUCUAAUAAUAUAUAAUUAUAUAUAUAUACAUUUUUUAAUUUGACCGGUCUGGUUAUGCCCGGUCUGAUUUUUGAAGGCAUGGAACCGGAACUAGAACCAAUCAAAAUUGGUCCGGUUCAAUUUUUUGAUCGAUUGUUGACUUUUUGGUCAACUCGAUUUUUUCUUGGUUUUUUUGGUGUGGUUCGGCUCGGAUUUCCUGUUUGCCGGUUUGAAUGCCCACCUCUAAUCACAACAUCACUUGUUACUAGCUUGCAAGGUGCAUGGCAAUGAUGAUUUGAUUAAAACUAAUUCUAAGUCUCUACAGGUGGAAAACAAGAAUGGUGUCAUCUUUCAACUAAAGGGAUAAUCUCAUACUAGGCUUAAGAUUUAAUAACAUAUAAAUCUUCACAAAAAAUAUUUAAAUAAGAAAUUUUCAUAUUAAUAAAUGAUUAAUAUAAAAGUAAUAAGUUAAACACAAUCAAAAUAAGGAGUCUUGCAAGGACAUUACCUGAAAAGUACGGCCAGAAUGAAGGUCAUUGUUGGGACAAGAUUUAAUAUGACCACUGCAUUUGUUGCUGAUGUUAAGGCUAGGCUUUCAAUGUAUAAAUUUUGAGAUAAUGGUCCCUAAAAUAAAUAUUUUGUACUUAAUAAUUAUUGGAGAUAUGAAUUCCUCAUGAAGUACUUAUAAAUUGGUAUAGAAUUAAUUAACUUUGACAACAUGAUUGGUUAAAAAAUAUUUUGCCGUGUAUAUAUUUGUAUUAGAGGUUCCAAACGAUCUUUGGGCUGGCCUGGUCCAUUGCGCCGAAUUACCUCAUCCCAGUUUACCCAAAAAUACGGGUCAUGUUAUAUUGGGCCUUACUUAAUCGGGUUGAACUCGUCUCCUGCCCGAGCCAGCUCGGUCUGUUUGACACCUCUAUCUACUGUCAAAAAAAGUUUCCGACAUUAAUAUUAAAAAAUUAUCAAACAGCUAGUCUUCAAUAUUUACUGAAUAAGAAACUCUGAGAAGUCUAAUAUCCUAGCCCAACUUUCACUAGUUCCAAUCCCUCUCCACACAUAAGGAAAAUGUUACCGAAUGAAUUGAACCCAUAAGGGACAUUAGAGCCGUAGUUGAGAAAGGGUACGAGAAUUUCUUAUUCAAAUUAUCCUACAAUGAUAAAUUGAAAUAAAUACAUAAUGAACAAAAAAAAUUUAGAAAUAAAAACACCAUUAAUAAGAAAACAAAUGAAAUAAAGAAAAGUAACUUGAACUAUCAACCACAAAGCAUAGGAUACACAGCUGCUCAAAGAUAGCAUGAAGCCUGACAAAAUACUUGCAAUUUUUUUUUUUUGGGGUGAUAUUGAUGCCUCAUGGUUGUUUCGCUAGCCAUGAUUAUGGAGAAGAUUAACACGUGUAGACCAAAUGUUAAUCUAUAUGCCUUUGUAGAAGCUGAAAAGCAUAGCCCCUCCUAACCCUAUAAUUAUUCCCACAACUUUAGCUUUCCCUGCAUUAGUUUGUAUGGACAAGUUCUCCAUCAUUAAAUAUAAAAUUAAUAAGUUAAACACAAUCAAAAUAAGGAAUCUUGCAAGAAAAUUACCUAAAAAGUAUAGCCAAAAUAAAGGUCAUUGCUGGGAUAAAAUUUAACAUGGCCACCACAUAUGUUGCUGAUGUUAAGGCUAGGCUCUCAAUAUAUAAAUUUUGAGAUAGUGGUCCCUAAAAAUAAAUAUUUUGUACUUAAUAAUUAUUGAAGAUAUGAAUUCCUCAAGAAGUACUUGUAAAUUGGUAAAGAAUUAAUUAACUUUGACAACAUGAACAUGAUUGGUUAAAAAAUAUUUUGUCGUGUAGACAUUUGUAUUAGCUAGGCCAGGCCGUCCUUUCGGGCUUUGUAUUGCAUUUUUUUUUACAAUUUCAUUUCAGUCUUUGUCAAUUAUGUAUAUACUAACAAGAUCUAUUAUUUGUUAGAAAAAGAUACCAAUGACUUUAUUUGAAGUACAUAUAAAUACAAAAGAGUUAGACUAUUGUUCAGGUUUAAAAAAUAAAAUCUUUAAAAAUAAAAUCAUUAUUUUAUUUAUAUAGAAAAUAUUGAAUUUUAAAAUAUAUUAUUAGAGAAAAAGUAUACUUGAAUUUAAGAUAUAAAUACAAUAAUAUUAUGUAUCAUUUUUCACUAUAACAAAUAGAAUUUAAUAGAAUUUUCAAUCCAUGUCAUUGUGUAGUUAUGUGGAUAGGAUAUGUAGUAGUAUGAUUGGAUUUGUUUAAUCGAACCGUAUUGCUUGGUAAUCAAAUGUGAACAAGGGAUUCUCUCUCUCUAGCAAGGAGAGACACAAGCUAGGGUUAGGAUUUGGUCUGUGUGCCGUCACCUCCUCUUUAGUUUCGUUUGCCUUCCUUAGUCGGUCUCUCUGCCCUUGUGCCUUAGACCUCGCCUUUCAGCUUCAUCGUUCCUGUCGCCUUCAUCACUUCCUUUUGCUCACUCUCGCUGCAACAACGCCCUCGACUUCGCCUUCCUACUUGCGUCAUCGUUGCACGCCCUCGUCUUCGUGCGUCGUCGUUUACCCUCUUUCUCAACUCUCUUUGCAUAUCAAGUGGUGGAUUUUAGGGUCUUUCCGACUUAUUUUCUCUUCGGGGGUUCAAGCCGUUGCCAUGUCCUCCCUGAUUAUUACUCCCGACGAACCUGUUGAUGAGAUUGAAUGCUCUUUUGGAAGUCGUCUGGUUCUUAUGUGACGCGAACUCGUUGGUGUGGUUAUUGGGUCAUCUAAUGUCUCUAAUCGCUUUAUUGGUUUUAUCUUUAGUCUUGUGGCCCAAGUGCUUUCAGAUCAACCUAUCAACCCAAGUGUUUCUAAUUCGUCUAGCAUCAAGUGCAAAAGCUUUGCGGAAGCUUCCAUUGAUAGUGAGGUUUUGACUCAUGGAGUGGAUGUAGUGGCUCCUAAACGUUUGUGCAGUGGUACCCGUGCUGUUCUACCUAUGGAGACUAGUCUCUUGGGGUUUCGUAAGGACCUCCCUUUAGCUGUUCAGACAAGCAUUCAUCGACUUGGCAUCCCGCGAAUGCAUUGCUGCUUGAUAUCUACUUUAGGUUAAGUGGCUUAGGCCAAGUUUGUUUUUUUUGUUGCAUGUUCUCCUUUUGUGAUCUCCUUCCCAGCAUACAGGUGCGACUUCGACUGCCUUAUAAACUAUGUUUUCAUAUGAGGUUUCCUUUGUCAGUGUGAAGAAGUUUGGGUGUGUUUUUCUGGGUUUUCCUUUCUUUAGUGUGCUUAUUAUGUUAUUGUGUCUCUGUCUGCCUCAUAUCCUGGGUCGAGAAACUUUACCUCUGCAGCUGUACGAAGGACUAUGGCUCCAUAGUGGGUUUCUUUCGACAGUUGGAUGGUGUUACAGUGCUUUUGGAGUUGGUUUCUCUGUUGGGUUUUCUUGUUUUUUGUUUAGUAAGCGGUCCAGCGUGACUUGAUUUAGACUCUAGUACUUGACAUGCGUGAUACUAUUUUCUUGCCUAGGUUUUCCUAGGAAGGUUUUAAUGAGGCCGUUGUUUCGUGUCAUUAUAUGUACGUUCAUGAUAUUAUGAAUGAAUUCUUCUAAAACAAAUAUAUAAUUUAAUAAAUGGGCUUUAAACGGGCUGGUCAGUUGGGUUUCGGCGACGGGCCUUGACUAACUCGAUCUAUUAGGUCGAAUUACCUCGUCUCGACUCGUCUGAAGAUACAAGUCAUGCCGUGUCAGACCUUACUUAAUCGGGCUGUACUUAUGUCGUGUUAGGGCGGGCUUGAUCCAUUUGACACCCCUACUUAUAGCCCAAACUGACGUGCAUCCAACUAAAUUGAAAAGAAAGCUAACACAAACUUCCAUUCCUUUCCUCCAACAUUCCAAUUAUGGACUACCCAUAUUAAUUUCAACAUGCCACCUAUAGAUAGAGAUGAAAGUUAAUGACAAGUUCAUAUACAUCAACAAAUUAAAUCUCACCAUUGGCGCAAAAAUCUGAUUUACAUCUAAAUUUUACAUCUCCUCAUUAGAGAUGCUAUAAUGGUUCCUCUUCUCAAUAUUAAAAGACAUCUCCUGACAUGAUUUUUAUAAGUAAUUGGGCUCAAUCAUUAUAAAAAAAAUAUUGGGCUCAAUUCUAAAUCGUAAAAUAGUUGAGACAUUUGCAAACACCGAAAAAAGAAAUACCCCUAGAAUUGCACUUUAUAGUUCAUUAAUUUAGGGCUCAUUUGGAAUAACUUCUUUAGGAAGUAUUUUUGCUCAUAAAUGCUUCUAGCAAAAGCGCUUUUGUUAUAAAAAUGUAUAAAGUUAUAUAAAAAAAUUUAGAAUGCUUCCUAAAGAAGCGCAUAACAAGUGAUUAUCUAGAACGCGCUUCUAAACUUUUCUGUUAAACAUUGUUAGAAGUGCUUAUGAUUGUCAUCAAAUGUUUUUCAUCCUUUCAAAAGAACUCCCAAAUAAGCCGUUAGUUCCAGUUUAAGUGCCAGCUUGGCAUUGGUUAUUUAGGGUGAUAAGUGAUUUUUAAAAAAAAUUUGGGAAGCCUAGUCCGUUUGGUAAACUAUGAGAAAAUCACUUGUUGUUAAAAAUUGUUGUGAGAGAAAGUUAUAAGAGAAAGCAGGUAAUGAUGUACUUUCAUUUUUUUUAUGAUGCAGGAAUCAGUUUUGAAGAAGUGCUGAGUUUAAUGAUUAUGCGGCAAUCAUUUUUUGAUUAUGCGGGAGUCAGUACCAACAACACUUUUAACAAAAAGUUUAUCAAACGCCAAAUUACUUUAUCUCACAGGUGAUUUCUUUCGCAACAAAUCUGAUAAUGAUCAUUGUCACAGCACAGUAAUACCAAAUUAGCCCUAAGUGAAAACAAUCCAAAACUAGAUCGAACCCACACAGCUUAAAACUUCCAAAAAUCUUAAAUAUAGAGACCCUUAAAUAUUUCUUGCAACUUUAUGGUCAAAAGGGGUUGAUACUAGAGAUAGUUGAUAUCAUCCAAACGCUCAUGCGUUGCCCGAUAUAUAUUAACGGACCCCACCGAUUCUAAUCCACUUGUUCUCCACUUACCCCUUCGGAGUUGGCCACAAUUCAACAGAUUAUUGGUAACGCUACCUGUAAACUCUACCAGCACCCAAUCAAAAGCGCACACGAAGUCUAGUCUUCCUGCACCCAACCAUACCCGAUCUCCUCCUUCACUCUCUCUCCCAACCUCUCUCUCUCUCAUUAUUCAUUUCUGGAAGAUCUGCAACUCACAAAUCUGUCUAUAGAGAACUCUGCGCUUUGCUGCCUCCCGAAAAAACCAUGAGCGACCCAAUUGAGCCCUCAACGUCGUCGUCUUCCACCAAAGACCCGGCCCUUCUGAUUCACCCGAGGCGCGAGCCAUUCGAGCACGGGCUUUUGCCCAUCCCCAAGCUCAUCUUCACCGACCCGACGCAAACCCUAAUUCCCCUAAAGCAGAAGCUGAUCGAGCAGUCUUCGAGUCACCGGGUCAACUCGGCUGCGAUCUCUGAGGUGCUUCAGAUCUCCAUUGAUCAUGCCAGGCUCGUCCUCGAUACCCUUGCCUCUGUUCUUCAGUCGGAGUCCGACCCGCUCCUCAAAUCCAAGCCGGACGUGGUUGAUGAGGUCGGCGCCGAUGUGAAUGAUCUGGUUCUAUUCCUCUACAUUCAGUCGUACAAGAAGUUGCUGCCGAGGACGCACAAGGACUCGGCUGCCGUCGCAGAUGUUUGGCCUUCGACCUCGGCUUUCGAUGGGUAUUUGUCCGCUUUAUCGCCAUUGCAGGUGAUAAGUCGUUCCUGAAUUAAUAUUUUUUCUUUUUGUUUUUUGGUGGUCCAUUGUGCAAGCAAUGCUGGUGUUAUUUUAGAUUACAGUAGUGAAUUUGGGAAGGUAUGAUAAGUUUGGGGCAAAUUGAAAUGGGUUUGCAGCGAUUCAUUGCUUACUUUGGCCGUUGGUUUUGGAAUUUGUAUAAAAUUUGAUUAGUUACAUACAAGAGGUUGGUGAUUUUAUUGAAGGCGUUGGUUUCUUUGAAGUGGGGUUGUAGCCUUGUGAAUUGGGUUUAUUCAGAUAAAUUGGUUGACUUUGUAUGUGUUUAUUUGUUGGUGUGAAAAUAUUGUUUGGAUGGAAUACAAUGUGGAUUAGAAUGAGGGUUUUUAUGAUCGAUUGUGUGCAUAGGGUCAGUGUUUUAAAUAGCGGAUCAAGCUUCAUAGCGUGGCAGAAAUUUUUUCCGACAUAGCAGACUAUCAUUGCGAAAGUAUCAAAUGGCUGUUGCUAUAUGACCGUCACUUUAAGAAAACAAACUCUGAACCUCAAAUUUACCAAAAAAUUGACACAAAUCCAUAAAAUUGAACGCCAUACUUUGCUGUUUCGAGUCAAUAGAUGUUGCUUCUUCCCUGUGUUGUGACUUGGGGUACUACUUGAACAGGAUUUGCAGCAAACACAUGUGUUUAUUCAUCUUUUAUUUUUUAUUAUUAUUUGAAUUUUCUGUUUUGUGGUUGUAUUUUUGGACAAUUUCAUAAAUUGAAUCUUUGGUAAUUUCAUAAGUUCUUAUGUAUAUUCCGUAAUUUAUUCGAAUCAGUUCGUUUAUAUUCAAUUAUUCAAUUGAAGUUUUUUAUUUGUAAUUUAGAGGAGAAUGUUGAUAAUGUGACAUUUUAUUGCUUAACUAUUGUGAUGGAAUGAUAUUUAGACUUUUUGGGUGGCCUUUUUUUUAUUGUCUAUAUUAUUAUUUUAGCUAUAAUAUUUCUAGUCCCAAAUAGCUUAUGUGACAACGCAUCAAUGCUUACGCUAUAGCUUACAUAAUUUGCAACGCGAUACGCGAUCACGAUUUUUUUUUUAAAAAACCCUAAGGAACUCACAUCGGUUGCAACAAUUUGUUGCCUUCUUUUCUAUAUCUAUUGGAUUGAGAAGAACUUAAAAGUAAAAUUGCAAGCACCGAAUGUCGCGCUGUAGUGAGCGGACCUCCUAGUUUUAUCAUGUAGGAUGUGCAUAUUUGGAUUCCUUCGGCAUGGCAGUGGUACAUUGUCGCUGCCUUUGUUUCAUUAGUUUUAUGUACUCGUAAUGUUUCACGAUGCAACUUAUGUGGUUGAUUCUAAACUGUUAGAACAAGGUUUUGUUGAGUUAGUUUCAUUCAGAUGAAUUCCUGUAGUAUAUAGUACAACAUUUUUAAUAUCCAGAUACUAUAUAAUUCAUUACUGUCUUUGUACUGAAAUUGUUCUUUUCUCAAUAUUUAGUUUCUUGUUACUGUCAUUUGAGACAAUUUCUUUGUGUUGAAUUAAACUUAUAUCAACCUUGGAAUGCGAACACAUGGCAGCUUGUGCGUAGCAAUAGCCGUCGGUUUGUGCCAUCACAGGCUGAUGAAGAGGCCCAUCAGUUGUCAUAUCUGCAAAAGCAUUUGGCCAACAUUGUCUCUCUUUUAGCAGAACCUGUGGAGGGGGAAGGCGAAGAAUCUCUGGUUUGUGGAAUUAAUACUUAGUUUCUUUCUUUGAAUUAAAUUUUCACCUUUGUUAUUCUGGCUAUCACAAAGUGAAUCAUACACAUUAGAAGUAAUGGUAACAUUUCUCUUUCCUUUUACCUGAUAGUCCUUUUGUCCAAUGUGAUAGAAAAGGAUUCUUCCCACUGUGAGCAACACCCCAUCCUUUAAUUCAUGUUUUGCUGUGUCAUGACUCAAGAGUUCAACACCAAUUAUAGCCUCAUAUGCAUUUGUGUUUGUGGAAAGUAAUUUCUCCAUGCUAAGUCUUGAGGCAUGAGCCUUACAUUCCCCUUUCAUGCUAUGUACUGAACAUUGGUUAUCAUUCAUCUCACCUAAGGCAAAGUAGGACAUAUUUAAGGUUAAUGAAAAUGGAAAUGUAAUUUAGUUCAUCCAAUACAUGGUUAAGAUAUUGUUGCCGCUUACAGUCACAAAAAAGAAAAGAAAAAGGACAUACAUUUCCUUUUCUUUUGUUCUUUUAUGUGGCCAUUGCACCUGGUAGAGUAUGUACUGGCGGAACAGUUAAUCUAGAUGACAAUAAGUUGGGCCAUAACCACCUAUGUUCCUAGUUGGGACUACCUACUGUGGUGAUUGCAUAACAUGAUAUCCAAUGUUUCAGGAUUUUCAUCAGACCUACCUUUGAUUUGCACCAACCAAGUAUCGUAGGUAGUUUUUUGUCAAUUGAGAAAAGAAAAACCCUUCCAGGAAUUUGUCUUGUAUGCGACUCUCAAUCAUUUCAGUAUAAUUUCAUAUACGAGUUCUUAUGUUAUUAGCAUUAUGGAAUAUUAUAAUUGUCCUUUCUUGUUAGUAUCUGCCAAGCCUACUUGUAAUUAUCUGAUUUAGCCCUAUGGUUUUAGGUUUUGACCAUGGAGAAAUUUGAGCACCUUGGCUUUCUGUUUUACUUUGGUGAUAAAGGAUCUGAAGGAUAUCACUUGGGCCAAUAUGCUCCUUUUUUUGCAAAUUCGGAUCCUGAUAUGCCUGCUGUUCCUGUUCCUGCUGCACAAGUUCAUGAUUGGGUUCUGCAGAAUAUAGUUUCUUCGUUGGAAAAUAUUUCUGAAAGAAUUUCUCCAAAAGAAAAUGGCCCACCCAGUUCCUCAGAUCAAGAUGUUCCCAUGGCUGAUGCCUGCACGAGUACAAACAAGGGCUCAAUGAGUGUUAGAGGUCCAAGUUUUAUUGAAGGGAUCUCCAAGUCAUCACUUAUAAAGCAAGCAUCUGAUCUUAAAGGCUCUUCUGUAAAGGUUUGUUUAUAAGGCAUAUUAUACCUUUUCUUUUAAUUAAUACAUAAAAUGUAAUGUCCAUUUGUUUUCCGAUGUCUACAUUUAGGUGAUAUUUUGUAUUUAAACACUUAUCAAGAACUGCAGAACCAGAAGGAAUAAAAUGGAGAAAAUAACUAUUUUUUUUCCUAACAAGGAAACUCAACUCAUUUUUAGGAGAAAAUUCUAUUUGUUAUGUCAAACGAUUAUCAAGGUAUGAGUUGUAUGUAAUGAUUGCAUGUUGCAUGUCACCAUGGGGAUUCAUUCUUGGUCACUCAUGGUUUUGGGCUGUGCUAAUGCCCAUGCUAUGCUUCUGUGUGUGAUGGAUAUAGAAGCUUGAAAGGUUUUGCCAAUGUUAUGCUUGCAAAUUUUUGUUUCCAAAUUGACUAACUUAUUUGGAAUUAUUUUUUAGACGCAUUUGCUUCACCUUUCUUCAAGUCUGUUGUGUAUAGGGAGGUAGAUUCUCAUUCAAGUUGAUCCUAAUCUUAAUUAUAAGGCACAGUGAAAUGAUUUUGAGCCUCAUUGUAGCAUAUUGGAGGGAAGCUAAUGCACUUUUUUAAUGACAGCAUUCUUGUUAUGAUUUUCUCAAUAUGUUCUCCUUCAUGAUGUGUGCAAAAAUUGUGAACUGAGAUUGUAGUAGGUUCAUCGGCUGGCAAUUUUUUAUUUAUGAAAUUUAUCGGUUUGCUAUUAAUUUGUUUACAAUUGCAGGUUUUAAAUUGCCACGAUUCAGUUAUCUACAUAUUAGCACCUCUGAGAUAUGCCACAGUUUAUGGAUGCUCUGAUGCUACUAUUGUUCUUGGAGCUGUUGGAAAGGUAACACCAAAGGGAUUUGUGUUUGUGCUUUGAAUUAUUGACUGUUGCAAUGGUUCUAUUGCUGGAAAAUCAUCUAAGUUUUCUUUUUAAGCCCUUACCUAUCUCUCUAAUGACUUAUUACUGUAAUGUGAAGUGAUCAACCUGGUAAUUACUGUUUAGUAUGCAAUGGUUGUGGGUCCUUUUGACACCUGCUGACUUGAAUAUUAUAUCUUAGACGAUCUAAUGUUUCUUACAGGCUGUAAGAAUUGAACACUGUGAGCGAGUUCAUGUGAUUACAGCAGCAAAACGAAUCUGCAUUGCUAACUGCCGUGAAUGCAUGUUUUUUCUUGGGGUAAACCAGAGACCACUUAUUGUUGGUGAUAACCACAAGUUACAGGUGAGUUUUCAUGCCUUAAAGGUGAUGCACAAUUGUGUUACUAGCUGGUUCUAAGGCUUUUUACAGUAUAAUUUACAUUUGAUUGAGUUUCCCCAGGUACUGUUAUGCUUUAUCUUCUGCAACUGAUCUUAAUGCGGAUUUUUUGAUUGUUUGUAAAACUACCAUUGCAAUGUAAUUUCUUUUCUAUGAUCCCAUAUAUCCUACUGUAUGCAACAUAUUAUCGAGAUUGAUAUCAUCAGCAGUGCAUCAUAAGACUUAUUGCCAUUCUACAUUCGAUAGCAUGCCACCAAAUCUAAUAGUUCUUCUUGACAUCUGUGUAACACUGGAGCAUCGAAGGAUUUCCUGGAAUUUUUUAUUAUAAAAUUUCUCAAUAUUAAAUGAAAUGUCACAGCCCUACGUGCGAAGUUACAGUGAACAUACUACACACACACCCUCUUAGCCUGGUCUUUGUAACUGAUCUUUGCUGACAGUCUUGUACACAUUUAGUUGUUAUGGUUUAAUUCUGAAAAAUGGUCUUGUUUGCAUCGGUUUCUUUUGCUAUGUUAAACCUUUGACUUCAAAUCGAAUACAAUGACUCUAAGAGUAACAAAAUUUAUAAUCUUUACGGUUACCUAUCAUUAAAUUUGUGAUCAUAUGACGUAUUAUAUUACAUUGUGAUGAUAGUUUUCUGUGUUUUAUUCUUCAAGUUCUAAUAAAGAAGAUUUUUGUUUUUACCUCCUGCUUGUUAUCAGGUGGCACCCUACAAUACAUUUUACGGUCAGUUGGAGGAGCACAUGAAUGAAGUUGGGAUUGAUGCUACUAUCAACAGAUGGAAUGAACCCCUGGCACUUGGAGUGGUUGAUCCGCAUGAUUCGUUAUCUCAUCCAGCAGGUGUCUCUGAUGCUCAAGCUGAGUCUGGUUCACACUUAGACCCUGAGCAGUUCACAAAUUUUUUGGUAUAUUUUAUAAUUUGUGCUUUAGGCUGUUUAUUUGUAGAUUUGAAUAGUGUAUUAAAAGUUGUCCUUAGUUCUUGGAAAUAAUAGUUUUUCAUAAUUAAACUGAACAAAACCUUGGAAAGGCUCUACCGGCAAUCUCUUUAGGCAAAGUCAUGUUCUUUUGGGCAAUCACACUUGUAUUUUCUAAUUAUUCUUUUCGGGUGGUUGGGAGGAGGGUUGAGAUGGUCUUGUAGUUGCUAUAGAGUGAUUCAAUUUCUUUCUGAAUUAUCUACUCACUUCCUAUAUGCUUCCUUGAUGUACAGAUUCCAAACUGGUAUGGAGGUGAAUCAGAGGGCUCCACAAAAGACAACCCAUUUCCAUUACCAGAUAUUUAUGUGGCAUCCCAGCAGAGAAAUGUAUGUUUACUACAGCUGAGUAUACUGACAUUAAUUUUUAUUUCAUUUUAACCAAGAAUUUCCUGAUAUUUGUGAGGUGAUGUUUUUAUCUUUUCAUUGUUUUAUGUUUUUCUCCAGCAGAACAAUUUAGGGGAGGUAAAGCAAUUAUUGAGGGAAGCACCUCUCGAAGAAAACAGAAAACGGGAAUUAUCCACUGCUCUCCACGUAUAUUUUAAAGACUGGUUGUAUGGUAAUGAUCAUUUUUAUAUAGUUUCUUCAAGCUGACAAACACGUGCUCUAUAUAGUAUUUUUUUGGAACAUCAUCUGCACUCUAUUUUGCACAGCAAAGUGAAUUAACAUAUCUUACACUUUGAUCUCUCUCAAGAACUGCUUUGUCGUCAGCAUUUUCAAGCGCCAUUUGCACCUAAUAAUCAGGCAAAACAAGAAGCCUUAUGGAAUUUAGUGCUCUUAAUAAUAUAUACUUUUCUUCUAUCCCUUUUUUAUGUGGCUUUACUUAAACUAUCACUUGAUCCUUCUAGACUUAGAAGUGUGUUUAUAUGCAUCCCAUCUAACAUAAUUUCAUGAGCUUUUUUUCUUGUUAUGAAGAUGAGUACCAUGUGGUUUGACAAGCUUAUUUAAUGUGUGACAGCUUCUGGAAACAUCCGUCAGCUUUAUUGCCUACAAGGAGAAUGAUUUUUGCGUCAUAAUGCUGUGGAACAACCAAGAGUGGUAUAGAAGGAAGCUUUCUGGUUUUAUCAUUCAAUCCCACCAUGGCCACCUUGCUGUUUCUGAUGGUGCCACAGGGCGAAUCAACCCUUUGUACUUUGGAAUGGUACCCUGCAUAAUUAUGCAUUGAUACGGUGCACAGGAUGGAAUCGGAAUAACAUUCGCUAAUCUCCCAUUGUAAUAUUUUUUUUUUGGAAAGAAUAAUCUUACUGUAAUAUUUUGUUAACCUAGGUUCACAGCCUUGUGAAUUUUCCUUUUUUAUUUUUCAUGUGGGUCUAGAAUGUUGGAUCUCUACUCUAACCAUGAGUUUUGUUCCUUUUUUGCGAGGUUUCGUUUUUAGAUUAUGUUGCUAGAGUGACUUAGUUCUUUAUAUCAUUUUUUAUAUAUAUGAAAAUGGAACGUGAUCCUGCGGUGUUGUAGACAGUCCUCAUGAUCUUAUUGGUGUGGAACUUGAAUAAGGUAGCAAAACUUGUUGAAUAAGCAUAACGAUUUCUUUUGAUCUGAGCCUUGUAUAGAUUGGUCCUUGAAUCUGUAGUUAUGAGAUUUCACUGGAUAGAAAUAAAGUUACUUUCAUUUAGAUUUCAUUUUUGACUAGAUAAAUGAAAAUGAGAGUUCGAAUUAAUCAAAUUUUCCGGCGAGUUUCCACCAAAUUUACACUGAAAAAUGUACAGCCUUUUAUACAUCGAUACAAGCUAUGGCCCCUUAGAUGUUGUGUUGCAGAUGCCUGAAAAAUCUCCACUUACUCAAAUCACUUGAUGGGGUUGGAGAGAACUGCAAAACUUUAUGAUAAAUGUAAGCAUCUUGUGGCGGCUAGGUGGUCUGGAAAAUUUGGAGUAUCUUCUCGGCUUGAUCGGGGAAGAAAGUGAUGAAUAAGUAUGCACCUGGCAUUUGAUCAAGUAGAAGAAACAAGUAAAUAUCAUCUCAAGGACCAACACAACAACACAAGUGUUCAUAAGGGUGUACAGAACAAAAAGACUUACAGAUUAGUACUGUUCCAAGUACAGCUGAAAUCUUCCCUUGAACGGUGACUAAACCAGCUUUGCCGGCAUUUUGCAACUCCGUGGAACCAACAGAAUCAAAUGCUCCUGGUAUAGGAAAGAGAAGCCAUAGCAUCGGUUAACUUCACAUAGAAGAUAAUCCAGAGAGAGCAGAAGCAUUGGGAUCAAAAUCCUGAUUACCUGGUUUUACGGAUUGAAGUCCUGACGUCAUACAUGCUAUGUUUUCGAACCCGGCUUGCUCCAACUUAUUGGCAGCAGCAGUAGACCUUGACAUUAGAAAGAAACAGAAUAAUCCUGUCAAAAUAGUUUCGAAUGGGCAAAACCUUUGCCUCAGUGCCUCAGUGAUGAGAACUUCUAUGCAACGGGAAUGCCACUGUGGCAAUAUCCCAAGCCAAUCAAGCACUGUCACACGCUUAACUUUCUCUGUAUACAGCCACAACGCAUGAUUGACUUGGAAUACAGCCACAGUGGCAUCCCCAGAGCAGGUACGAUUCUCUUAGUGACAGAUGCAUUUACAAAUAUAUUAAUCCAAAAACUUAGCAGUUAUUAUACAUAAAAAACUAACCUCAAUCCUUCCUGGCACACCAGUAACAGUUUACUUUGAGGUGAAAACUGGGAUUUAACAGAUUGUACAAAUUCAGGGUUGGGUUUAGUGAAAGGCAACCCAUAGAACAGACCAGAAAAGUUGUUGUGGAGAGUCCUCUUUAUGAUUGUGCCUGCCCAUUACAUCUGAAUCAUUAGCAAGAACAAAAUCCCAUGUUCUUUUGUGGGGUUCCAAACAAAAACCAUUAUAUGUUUUUUUUUUUUUGGUCUGAAAACCAUUAUAUGUUCAGUUGAAGAAAAUAGAAAGAGACAAAAAUCCCUCAAUUACCGGGGUCAUUGUCUUCGUUUGCAAUGAAAAGAGGGACAUGAUGGCAUGAUUUGAUGUGAGCUCGUUCAAAUUGAGAUUUGUCCCGAACAUCAACAACUGUGUAUCCAUCAACUGCAAUAAGUUCUUUUGCUUCUUCUGCAGUCACAAAAUUCACUUCUGCUCUAAUGGCCAAAGUUCGACGACGGUAUGAUAUCCCUAAGAUGGUUCCUCCACCAUGAGUUUGAGUCUCAAAUUUCAACCAAGAUGUGCGGAAAUUGCUGCAAAAGAAGCAAAAAUAAUAAUAAUAAUAAAGAUUUAAACAUUAUCUGGCUCAGCAGUUGAAUGCUUCUAUGUAUCUCCUAAUGCUUGAAAAGAACAGAGAGAUGAGUUUGUCUGUUUUCAGUUUUCUACACUUUCUCAGCAACCAAACAAGAAAACCCACCACCGAGAAUUUGAGAAGUGUUCAGAUAGUUGAGCUAGUCUUACUAAAAAGGAAGUUGAAGAUGUGAAGAAUUGUUGUACAUAAAACAAGACAAGCAAUGCUUUACCUUGUGGAAGAGAGAGUUGAACAACAAGAGCCAAUCCCUGCCAAGGCUGCCAUCGUUGUGGUUCCCUGGAAGCUAGAAGAAGCCUUGUGUCUCUUCUCUCUCUGUCUCUCUCCGCUCACUGUCCACCCAAUGAAAAAACAUCCCAGAAUGGCCCAAGAAAUUUGGGAAGGGCAAUGGGUUGGUGCCACGUGGCAACUGGUUUCGGAUAUUAGAUAUGUUGCACCGAAUCUUUUUGCAGGUUCUUUUUAUCAGAGAAAUUUAUACAACUCUCUUUGAAUUCAGUUUUAAGAGUCUUGGACUGGCAAUUCACCAAAUCAGACAAAUUUUUUCAAAUUAGGAUUUAGUUUUUUACAAACGGAAUUGUUUCAUUAGUUUCCCUUAAAUCUUAAAGUGAACCAAACUACACUUAUUGGUUUCUCUUUAAUCGAACUGAAACGAACCGAUUUUUCUUUUUUCAACAUUUAAAAAAGAAGUACCACUAAUACUUAGUUGUUAAGCCUUAGUCUAUUCUAAGAAAUAUCACAAUCUAUUAUCACAAUAGAGAGUUGAGAGCAAGAAGCUAACGAAUUUAUAUUUGAAUAUUUCCCAAGAAUUAGUUGAAAAUAUUUUUGUAAAACUGUUCUUAUCAUGUGACAAAUAUUAAGUACAUAAUAAAUAGUCCUAUUUUCUUGAAUUUAUGUGUUUUUAUUACUAACGAUAAUUUAAAUUAUAAAAAAAGUUGUCUUAGCAACUGACCUAACCCACCACAACAUAUCAUUUUUUCUUUCUUGAAUUUGACAGGCAGUAUCAGUAUGUAAGGAGCGUUUGGGUUAAGGAUCAACUCUUGAAUAGAAAAAUGUUUCAACUCAUGGUAAUAUUGGAUAUUCUUUUUAGUAUUAAUUUUCUUUUUUAUAAAUUCCUUACAUUACUUUUAUCUUUCCCAUUUUAUAUGAAACAAAGAAGUGUAUUUUCUGUCGAUAAGUCAAGAAGAUUGACUAAUGACAAUGGAAAAGACCAAUAGAAACAAAGUCACCUCGUCAUUUGACAAUAUCUUCACUUUAAGAUGGAGGAGGAUGAUGAUAAAUAAAACUCACAUUUGAUUUAUAAAAUUAGAGAGAGAGAGAGAGAGAGGAUGGGAUUUUUAUCAUCAAUUUGUUGCUGCCUAGAGAGAGAGAAAGAGAGAGAGAGGAUGGGAUUUUUAUCAUCAAUUUGUUGCUGCCUUCAUGGUGCUCUUGUAUUCAACCAAGGAUCAGCAGCUGCCACAGCCCCAGAGAGGCAGCCUCUGACUUUGAGUCCUAAUUUUGUUCAAACUGAAGCUCCAGUGCCGAUUCUGGUUCCACACUUUCCUGUCAACUCCAAGCUCUAUCAUAUGUAGAGAGAUUAUGUACUCUUCUUGUUCUUGAGAAGAGGGCAACAUAUAUAUAUAUAUAUAUAUAUAUAUAUAUAUAUGUAGUUUGGGUGUGUUUUUUGAGUCUUUUUUUUUAUCUGUUUAUUUUCAGUUUUUUGGGACAACAAAGUUUGCACUCUAAUGUAAACUUGUCAUAUCUUAUUAACGUAAACUUUUGUGUUUAAGGUUAUGUACAAGGCAAUAAGAUCGAUGGGAAUUGGUGGGUGAAUUGAAGAAACUUCACCUCUAAUUUUCUGGUUUAAAAGUUAAAGUAUUUCCUCUCAGGAUGGUGUUGCUUUCUAAAAUUCAUAGAUGAUGGUGGUGCAAGAGGGGGAAAAUGGCAAAGCUAAAACCCUUCAACACGAUUAGCAAAAGUAAAAGCACACCGUCAAUGAUCAUUUGGUCUGAUUAAUCUUCAUUUCAUUGGAAGUAAAUACACACCGUCGAUGAUCAUUUGGUCUGAUUAAUCUUCAUUUCGUUGGAAGAGGUCGUGAGUUAAUUGUGAAAUCCGUUGUCAUUAGUUCACAGCGACACUUACCAACUGUCAACAAUUGGAAUUGAAACCAGUCUAAUUAUUAUUGAAUUUUCGUACAAAAUAAUAUAUGUUUGCUCAACUUACUAAUGGCAUAUUUGAACGCAAAUAUGAAAAAAAAGCAGAUUUAUUCAAUACAUCCAUUCAAGGUCAAAAACUUAAAUUUGGACAACAGAGAAAGAGAACUAAGAGUAUGAUUACAUCUCCAGAAAUACAUCCAAUUCAUGAAACAGUCUUCUCUUUUCGUUAGCUUUGCCAAUAUCUUCCUCCAAGAGCAGCACUGGUAAGUUUUUACGAAUCGGCAGUGGAUCUUUUCUUGGUGGUGUAAGGAUAGUACUCCUUGCCGUUAUCGAUUCUUGUUGUCUGGCCUCCAGCAUCAAUGAGUGAAGAAGUGACCGCUAAGGCUGCCCCCGCAGAAAUCGCAGUUGAAAUGCUCUUUCCUGUCCAUUGGACAGCAAAUAAUUUAACAUAAUUGAGAACAUUAGAGGCUUACGAGAACAACUACCUGCUAGCACAGUAAAUAUCCAUAUAUCAAUUUAGAACCUAGAGUCCAAAGUCCGGAUUCAUUUACCCCCAAAUAAGUCAACUCUACAUGCUCAGUAAUCAAAAUGAAGAUAAGAUCAAACCAAUAACGAUAAGAACGCUCAUUGAAUGGAAAGAAUAUUUGGGCAAGCAGACAGACACAUUAAAUUAGGAGGAUUAGAAAAUAAACUACAAAUUUCAUUAAUGAAUGGAGAUCUAUAGGUCAUUUAUGCAUUCUGUAUGAGCUGAAAGAAAGUGAGAAGUGCUAGUAGUGUGAUUCCCAGACACAAGGAUGUUUUGCUUCUUACAAACCAAUCCAUCUCGAUUAUUGCAAGUAUACUCUGCUAAGUAAGAACUCAGUGUAUGCUCUUCAAAUCCAAAAUAGACUCAGCUCCUUAAAUUUAUAUAAUAGCAACACAAGUUUUGGACCUUUAGAUGAAAAUACAUUGAAUGGCUCAUAUUAGCUCUUAGCAUAUGAGAGUAUCAUUGGAAAACAUCUUGAAAACUAAUUUUGUUAACCCAACUAAUCUUAGCCAUUCAAUGUGCUUUCAUCUAAACGCCCAGUGCUUGUUUGAGAAACAAGGCUAAAAAUUGUCGACAAUACAGAGAUAAUUUGAGCCAUUAAAUGUGCUUUGGAAAAUUAAAGGAGCUGUUGAUCCUAACCCUAGAUUUUACCCAUAAAUGGAUAUCUUCUUUUAAGGUUUAAGCAAUAUUAGGAUAGGAAGAAAUAAAACUAUACAUGUACUAAUUCCAGAGCAACUAAUGAGGUUCACGUGAAAGUGAAUUACUGAGACAGUUUCUCUUCGUUGGACUGGGGAUCUUAAAUAAACUUUUCUGCAAAGGAAAAGUUCUCACCACUAACAUUCUCAAAGUUCCAUUAAAUUCUGCGUCCAUGUAUUAAAAAUAUAGUCAAACCUUAGCCAAGUCACUGUUGAUAAUAACACGAUUUCCACAAAAUAUAUCACCAAAGGCUAAAUGAGAUAGGUUGCUGCCAGCAAUUUAUUCUUCCAAAAAAUUCAAACCUCCCAUUUAACGCAAAAGCCAACAGAAAAAAAAGAAAGAUAGUUUCUGCUCUCUGCUGAGAUUUGUAUGACAUGAAACAACAAACUACCUAUUCCAUAUCAUUUAUACGGUCACAGCAAAGUUCUCACUCUCUCACUCUCUCACUCAACAUUAGUCCAAAACACAUAAUACAUCCAUCAUCAUUACAGAAAAUAUUUUCUACCUAAAUGCAAUUUGACCCUCACAUAUCUAAGAACUUUUUCUCGUGUAUCCAUACAAAUCAUACAGUAGUUAUCAUACAUAACAAUCAUCUAGCUUAAAGGGUGACGUCAUCUGAGCCAGCUCCACAUGAUUUUCACCAGCAACAUGCCUUUCUUUUUGUUGGAAAUAUUAGAUACAUAUAAUAGAUAGUUAGUAGCAGGAUCCAAUAAAUUUUGGAUAAGUUAUACACACUCCUUUCUAACCAGCAUAUGUGUCAAAUUUAUUGGUCUCUAUUUCUAUAGCAUAAGCCACCUCAAUCUUAUCAGUCAAAACUAACCAUUUAUGAAGAUUAUACAUGAAGCUUAUGACAUACUUCAACAAAAAGAACAUUGAACAUAUCUUUCUCCUAAAAACUUAAUCCCUAUUUUUGGAAAAGUAAAAUCCAAUUUGGUUCGAAGAAAUACCAAUAAAUAAAAAGAAAAAGAAAGACUGACCUGGAAUAUUUGAAUAAGAUUAUGUCUGAAUUGGCAUUUAGUUGUGACCAAGUACAGUAAGUACCACAGAUUACCACUCGUGGCAGCAGGAAUUAAAAGUUUAAGGAAGAAAAUAGGCAUCAAAAGAAAUCCACACCUUUGUAACCAAGAAUAGUCGACCCAGCAACAAAACCACCAACAGCUCCAUUGAUGAAGUCUCUCUUCAUCCUGUAAUUCUGCACGAUCUGCUCAACACCAAUGUACACUCCCCCAAUUGCAGCAAAUGUGAUCCCGUAGUUUCCCAUCAUCUUAAGGGUCCUUAUCAGCCCUGGAAGAGCGACACUUCUCUCAACACGAGGCACAUCAUACCAAGUAGCAACUAUGGUCCCAAAAAUAGUUCCAGUAACAAAUCCAUUUGUUGCACCCUUAAUUGUCUUCAUGGUAGGACUAUCCUCAUCCUCCAAAUACCUGCGCUCCGCGGGGUCCAAGGAGUCCAUGACUGUCUAGUACUAACUGGGCACUGACAAAAACUGCAAGAAAGUAAUACAUAUAUCAGCACUUAGGCCUCACUGAACCUUUCCCAAAGGGAAUCUUUCAACUUCUACCAUGCAAGGCAAAGAAGGAAACUGUGUUUUCCUUUGCUCUCUCUGUUUUUAACAUAUAAGUUUUACUGGGUUCAAAUUCUAUAGAAGCAUUCAUUUCCCUUGAUGGGCAGUAAGCGACAUACAUUUAGCAUUUCUACUAACCCAUAUUUCAUUUCUUUAAAAAAAAAAAUUCUUCCACACUAACAAACUAAGCAUUUGGGAAAGAAAAAAAUAAAUCCUAACAUGAAAAUUUGGGCCAAAAAAACAAAAAUUACAGAAGAAUAAGUAAAAUUAUUUUGUUUCAUAAUAAGGCAUUGUUUGGUAAUCAAUUCCAGAAAAAAAAAAAUAAAAAAAAGAAGAAUUCAUCCACAUAGAUGCAAUCAAAGACAAAUUCCACAAAACCCAAAUAUUAUGUGACUAUUAACACAAAAUCGAUGCUAAUUUGAGUAAAUGCUAACGCCCGAAAUGAAGAUCCAACCAUCAACAAAACAAAUUUAAAAAUUGAUAAAUCUAAACCCUAAAUAUGUAUAUGCAUAUGAUCCAGGAGCAUAUGAAUCCAUGAAAGAACCAAAACGAAAGCAGAAGCUCAGGCGAAAAAUGAAAAUUACCUUUUCAGGAGAAAAAUGAGAAGCCGGCGAGUUUCUACUCAGUGCUCUCACUACGAAGACACACAAGAAACAAAGACUAUCAGCAAAAAUGAUCGAAAAUGGCAUCUGCUCCUUGUUGCACCAGAUUACCAUUACUGUCUGCAAUGACUAUUUUGCCCCUCCCUCAAAAUUGGGCCUCGUAUACGACGACUGUCCGUAAACCGUGUUCUUUUUCAUUUGGGCCCCGACCCGUUUACCCGUAAACCUCCUGCACCACUUUCAUUUCAGACUUUACAGUCUUUCACUCAUUUCUCAAAUCACACAAAGCUGAUAUUCUGAGAAGAAGGGAAACUGCUUUCCCUAGAAAACGUUUUCCCGGAAAAUGCCAGAAGACAUUGGCAAACUCCCAAUCGACAUCACAUUUUCUCGUCUCGGAGGUACAUAGAACCACCGGAAUUCAAUUUUUCCUUUCAGAUUUUUUUAUAUUUAUGUUUUUUUUUGGGGAUUGAUAAUUUUGUUGCGUUGGGAUUGAAUUGAAGAAUGGCUGGUUGAUCGCAAGAGAAUACCUGGAGACUGGAGAAAGCGAUUGGCAGCAGCGAGAGCUCGGAUUUCCAAGGAAUUCGCUUCCCUUCCUAAGGAUAUCAAUCCCUAUUUCCGUAGCUUAGAGGUUGAUGGUUGGUUUUUUUCAAACUUAAUCCAUUUUCGAAUUGUGAAUUUGUGAUUCUAUUGGGAAUUGGGUGCUUGAGAAUUCGUAAUUUCGUCUCAAUGGGUUAACUAAAAUGCUAUUUCUAGGAAUUGGUUACUUGGACGCCAAACAGAUAUAUGAUAUUCUUGCGAAGUCAGCUCCAGAAAGCCGGAAUAUAUUCGGCCGGCUAUCCGGUGCCGCUGUAAGACCUUCAGCUCUCUCUUUCUCCUUUGCACAAAGCUCUCUCUUUCUCCUUUGCACAAACGUACUUGAAUUGUAAUAUGAAUAUAUAUGUGUGUAUAAAUUUUGUGUUUUGUUUGGAUAGGGUGCUUGGGAAUCAAUUGUACGUUCUUUUGAGAAAGAUUAUGUAUAUCUUGGCGAGGCUGCUCAAAUAAUGGUUCAGAAUGUGAACUAUGAGAUGUAAGUGGUUUUGCCAUUGCCUGCUUGGUUACUGCAUGAUAAGAAGAAUAGUUAAAAACUUAAGGGUAUUUAUAUGUGAUUUGUAUUGAUUAUUCUUUUUCUCCUGUUAUGAAGUCCAUAUCAGAAAAAGCAGGUGCAAAAGAUUCAGCAACAAUUAGCAGAACUAGAGCACAAGGAAGCUGAUAUUAAGAGAAGUGCAGCUCUAUCAGCAGCGAAGUAUGUAGAGGCUUGUCAAGAACUUGGACUGCAGGUUAUAUCUUGGACCCCCCUACUUGUUGUUUUCUCAUUUGGCUUGAUAGGUUUUCCUUCUUAAAUUUGGUAUCUGCCUGUCUGGUUCUUUUCUUUAGGGAAAAAAUGUGAGGUUGGAACUUUUAGAGACUGCGAAAUCACUUCCAAGUACAUUUAGCAAGAUUUUGGAAGUUUUAAAUGGUGAAUCUGUGUCAAGGGCUCUGGAGUAUUAUUCAAACUUUGUUAGAGAUGCUCACACAGACAAGGAUGUAAGGCGAUAAUUUUUUAUUUGUUUCAUGAUAUGAAGAAUAACUUCUUUAUUGUUUGUAGAUGUUGAUGGAAAUUUGAGAUCAGUGUGACUAAUAUCAUAAAUCAACUCUGUUAUUUGUGAAUGUGAUCACAGAGGCCUUUGGUCGUGUUGACAAACUUGAAAGAUUUACGUGAACAUCCCCCAUCAUUGAAUGUCCCUAUAGGCUCAGAGGUUGUUGAUUCUGGGAAUGUUCAAUCAAGCAAUGAUGAGACAAACAAUGUGAAAGUGGAUGUAGACAUUAAUGCAGAUAGCUUAGACUGGGAUUUUUCUGUGGAUAGUUCUCAGAUUGAUUGGGAUAUUGGUACUUUGGAAGAAACAGAGGAUACUGGUAAUGGUUUGGGUCCUUAUGAAAUGGUUAAUGCGAGUGAGAUCUUGCAGAGUGCUCCAAAUGAAGCGGUAAAAUCUGAUCAGAUCCCAGAGAUCUCCGUGUCAGAGAUAUCUUGGGAUAUUAGUGUUGAGACUCCUCAGGUUGAUGUGAUUGAUGAUGUCAACUUUCCUAAUGUAGUCGUAGACAAUCAAACAUCUGGUCUUGAUACUUCAACUGAAACAACUGAAAUCAAGGAAGGCAGGAGCCAACUUUUGGAGACAGAGUACAGGAACAAGAUUCUUGAUGAUCUGAAUGAGGUAUAUGGCAAUUUUUCAUAUGGCUGCAUUGGAUCUAUUUGUUCCAUUUGUUCUUCUGGUAUAAUAUUGUCGGUUUUUGACUGAAAGAUCCUACUAGUUUGUGUUUUAUAUCUGUGGUCAGAUCACGAAGCUUCCUUUACAUGAAUUCAUGUUCUCUAUUAAUAUUCUGCUAUCAGGUGAAAGCUUUUUUAAAUCAGCGAUUGGUUGAGUUGAAGAAUGAAGAAACUUUGACCUUGCAACAUCAAGUCCAGGCAGUUGCUCCCUUUGUGCUGCAGCAAUAUGCUCAUGAUGCCAUCGAGGCAAUGCUAUCUGAUGUUUCUUUGGCCAUUUCACUGCUGACAAAUAGGAAGACAAGGGACUUGAUUAUGAUUCUCAACUCCAAAAGGUAAUACAAAAUAUUUUUUCUUGAUUUGUGUCUUUUUUAAAUUCGUUUCGGUGUGUAUAUUUUGAAUUUCAAACAAGAAAAUCAUAGAAUGUUCCCAAAAGCAGAAUCAGUGACAGUAUUUAGUUAAAUUGAACAAAAUUCCCUGCCAAAUUUGUGCGGCACACAGACAAUUUGCAUAUAUUAGCAUCUUGGAUGUAACUUUUUGUCAGUACAAGAAAUAAUGAGGCCAUAAAUCUGGAGACUGUACUUGCUUGAUCUUGUUUCUCUUUCUAUCUUUGCAUGGUUACUCCUAAUUGUUUGUUACAUUACAUCAGAAAGAUCCUUUAUACCAUCAAAUAAGUUUUUUAAUAAAAAAUUUUAAACGUUUAAAUUGGCUUCUUGUUGCAGCUUUCUAGAAUUGGCUAAUCCUAUUUCGGAUAAUUUUAUUUUAAUUGUGGUUUUAAUGAAUAGGUAUAGGUUGAAUUCCUCUUCCGUUCUAGCUGCAAUAUUUAGCAUGUUACUUAAGCGGCCUUGCCAUUAUCCAUGUACUAUAAUUCUUUACUACUUACUCUGGUUUUUUGGUUUUGUUUUUGUUCUGUGAACUGAAGUAGUAUACUUAUGUCAACCUUAAUUUCAGGUUUCUAGACAGAUUAGUGAGUUCAUUGGAAGAAAAGAAGCAUCAUGAAGUUAAGUUGAAAGAUGGUUUGAAGGGCAUAGCUGCCAAACGCAUGGAGCUGCAAAAUUCAUUAUCUUCUUCCUGGCCUAAGCAGGUGAUCUAUUUAUUGAUAGCUUUAUACCCUUACAUAUAUUGGGAGUGGGAGGGUUGAAGUCUCCCAGUUUUAGUGGUAAAUUCUUUUGGUUCUUCAGGUAUAAAAUUAGGAAAUUUAUGUUUGCUUUUAUAGUUAUGAUCAUACGUCUGUUUCUUCCUUUCCCCUUCCCCUGAACUCUGACUGCUGAAAGAUAGCUACGCUAGAAUAAGUCAUUUUGUGUUGUUUUUGACUUCUGGGCCUCUGGUCCUAUCUUGCUUCUGUUUGUGUAAAAAUACUAUUAUUCAGAGAAAAGCAAUCAUCCACUUUCUCUUUGUUAAUGUCAGUUUGAAUUUUUGGCAGAAAAUACUAACUCCUGGUUCUAUUACAGGAAGCGGCUCUUGCAAAAACUCGGGAGCUGAAGAAGCUGUGUGAAAGCACCCUUUCAUCCAUGUUCGAUGGAAGACCUGUUAAUAUAAUUGGAGAGAUCAAUACCCUUUUGACUAGUGGCCUUGGUGCAUAGGAAGAUGAUUGCUUCCUUUCAUCCAUGUUUCAUGGAAGAUCUGUUAAUAUAGUUGGAAAGAUCAAUACCCCCUUAGACUUUAGUGGGCUAAGGAAGAUAUAGUUGGAGAGAUCAUCCAUGUUUAACAUAAUCGGACACGUCAAUACCAUUUGAAUAGUGGCCUUGAUGCACACGAAGAUGUUAACUUCCAAUGAUAGUAAAACAUUCCAUACUUUGCGUUUGUGUUUUAUUUUUUGAAGAAGUGGUUCUCUUUUUGCUUCAAGAUCUUACAAAAAUUGAAGGAAAAAAAGAAAAGAAAAAAGUCUUUGAAAUCCCAGUGAAUCCAUGAAAGAAGUUUCCCAAACUCUAUCAAACUCAACAUAUAAUUUGCAGAAAUCAGUCGCUUCAACUUUCUGUAUUCUACAAAAAUGACAGAGCAAUAGUACGUAUAUAUUUGGACCCUUUAAUUUCACUUAUGGCGAAGAUUGCCAAAUAUGCCAAAGCAUGAAAAGAAGGCCUGUACAAAAGAAUAUACAGCAUUUGUCAUGGGAGAGAACACAAUCUUGUAGCAAACAUCCAACGCAGCAGAUUCAGUUUGUGUGUAGAGAUCAAAUGGACAAAUAGCUCAUUGAAGGUGAGCCCAUGAACUGGCUGUUGGUUGAACGGAAAGAUCUCUCGAAAAGGUCAACUUGAACACCAUAACCAUCUACUCCUUUACCUUUCCCCAUGCAAUUCAGUUUCUGGAUUAGUCUUGAUAGAGAUCCCACAACCUCAGACAUCGGCGGUCGGAAUUCCUUCACAGGCUGUUCAAGUUUCAGUGACACAAACAAAAAAAAUCAAAAUUUUUCAACAGGUAAGAAACACCCAUCAAAGUAAUUACAUGUUAUCAGAUAGAAGCUAACGUUUGUUCAGUGCAUAAGCAACUUCAACAGAAAAAUGCCUUCUAAAAACACAGCUUUCAACUAAUAGCUUCAAGUAAUAACAGUACUAGAAUCGGUUGUUGUUUUUGGACUUCCCUAAGACAACAUUCUCUUAAUGCAUAAAUUUAAGGUAUGUGCUUGUACCUGUAUACAGAGGGAGACAAUGUCAGCAAAUUGGGAGAUAGCCUUGGAGGAAAAUGUCCUUUUAAUUCCGGGAUCAAUCAUCUCAGCCAGACUCUCACUGUCAUGAAGCCGGAAUGAAGCCCAUUUCACCAGUGAUUGCUCCUCCCUUGGUCUUGAACUAUGUAUAUCAAAAUAGCAGCAUACGUUCACAAUCAAGAAACAAGACAAUAAUAAUGUUGAGAAAUGGGAAAAAUGUGUAUGAACCAAGCGUACUUAUCGAAAGGUUUCCUUCCUGUUAGUAGCUCCAAAAGCAACACUCCAUAGGCAUAGAUGUCACACUUUGUGCUAUCAAUGCCUGGCUGGCCAUGCUCAGGUGCAAUGUAGCCAGUGUCACCGAUAGCAUUUUCUGAAGCCUGUUUGCAUCAUAAAAAUGAAGUUAAGCAGUUUAGCCUGUGUCAGUUUAUUACCAACUGUUUUGUAUCAGCAUAGAAGUAGGACUUACUUAUAAAAAGUAUAUACCUUUAGCUUAAGCCUAUUGCUUGUAAGUGGCCUCAAAAUCGCAAGCCCACAGUCACAGAUUCGAGGAGCAAGUUCUUCAUCAAGUAAGAUAUUGGCACUCUUCAAGUUGCUAUGAGCAACUGGCGGUGUGAAUGUGGAGUGCAAAUAGCUGAAAUCCAAAUAAACCAAACAGAUUAGUAACGAGGAUAACUACAUUAUUUCCCUCACAUAGAAGGGAUCAAUUGCUACCUAGGAACUAAGAACUCUUUAAAACUGUCUAACUUUCAAGAUCAUGAUUCGUGAGGUAUAUUGCAAUUAAAAUCCACAUUUCAUUGAAAAAAAAGGUAUAAUAGUUACAGUUUGCGACUCAGUAAAUUAUUUAUUCGAAACGCCGUUCCACUAGGUGUGGACUAAGAGAUAUGAACUUGUUGGAGAAUACAAUACUUACUCUAAAGCUUGUGCAACACCAAGAGCAAUCUGGAGACGAAGGCCCCAUGACAAAGGCUUGUAUUCAUCACUGUGCAGAGCAUCAUGAAGGGAUAAAUUUCUAACAUACUCAUACACAACAAGAUGCUGUCCAUGCUCUACACAAUAGCCAACCAGUGGUACUAUGUUUGGGUGAGUCAAACGCGAAGCAGUCCAAAUGACAUACAAGAAUUGUUCUUCUUCAUUGAAAGACAAUCCUGCCAUGUUGAUGUUCUUCACAGCCAAAAUCUGAAACAAAGGAAUAACAGUCAAAGAAUUCUCACAAGUUCCAUAGGAAUUCACUGUGGCUAUAAGUAGAAAUAAUUAGUCUAAGGAAAUUUCAGGUUUAUACUUGGCCAUUAGGAAACACGGCCUUGUAAACUGAACCAAGAGAUCCUUCACCCAGAAAGUUUUCUUGACAGAAGCUGUUUGUAGCUAAUUGAAGCUCUGCCACAGUGUACUGCUUUGCUCUCAUUGGGAAUCUGUACUUAUCAGAGAAACUUUUUCUUCUAGGAUUUUUCUGCAUUCUGUAAGCAAGAGGUAGUCGCCUAGGAGGUAGAAUGGGUGAACUGAAGGCCAAUAUUUGUGGGCUUUCUUCUGCAGUAGAAGAGCCAUAUAUAACAAGGCAGGGAGCAGAUCAAGAAUUUAAAAUAAAAACUGAAAAAGAAAAGGCAUGGAGAAGCUAUGCAGCAGAAGUGGAUUAAGACAAGUUCAUGUCAAAAUUUAUUGCCAUUAGACAUGUUGAUAUCAAGAUGAGGUUUGUGCCAUUAGUUACAAGGAAUGUCUUUAAACCUGGAUUUCAGGUUUAAACACCAUGUCUGAAAGGGCAUAUACAGAUGAUACCAUCACCUACGCAUUCACUUUCAAAGCUAAAAUGAUAUCUAAUCAGUGAGAUGAUACAAUAUAUUACAAGAAGAACUUCAUUUCUGAGCUAAGCAUAGGAUUGAGCUUGCAGCGGUUGGCUCGUUUAAAGAUGAGAGCUAAGGUAAAUGUGCUUUGGACUAAAAUAGCAGGGCAAUAAUCUUUACUUUAAUUGAUUGCAAGAGUACAGAUUUCAGGCCUGUUGGUUAAAUUAUAUAGAUUACUACAAUUAUUUACUGACAGAUUGUAUACAGGAUCAGUAUGAAAGUGAGUGAGAGUUUACCUCUGGCAGUAUUUCUGACUGACAGAGAAUGCAUUGAGCUAUUACUGCUCCCCAAGGUUAUAAGCCUCUGUGCACGCGAUUGAUUGAUGCGAACUGCAAUGUAAAGGGCCACACAUGAUGCCACUAGAGUUCCUCCACCAACCAAAAACGCUAUUCCUCCAGGGCCAAUCCUUUUCUUCUUGUGUCCACCUAAUUUCUUAGAGGGGUUCUUCGCAAUGGCACUUGACUGAGUUGCUGGGGGGGCAGGGAUGUUCUGUUCAAUGGCAGUUGCCUGGGUUUGCAGAGGGAAGUCCCAGGGUGGAGAGUUAUCCCCUACAUGAAAAUUAUUUCCCCCAAACCUGAAAGAAGAUAAAUGUAUGAUGUUUACUUAUUUUUUUCCUUUGCAGGAGAAGGAGUUGUAAUAACAACUGAUCACUUACCAUAAAUUUGGUAUGGACUGGAAAUGAUUUGGAAUGAUACCGCUGAAAUAAUUAUCUUGAAUGUUCCUGUCAACAGAAAAUGUGCAAGCAAGCAAUAAGAAAACAGAUAAUAAAAAUUGCAAAACACAGCAAAAGGCAGGUAGGUGGAAACCUACAUAUCAGUUAGCGGAAGCUCAGCUAGAUAAGCCACUGAUCCAGUAAAUUUGUUAUUCUGCAAGUACCUGCAGAUGCACCCAAUGGACAUGUGAAUCAAUGACACGUAAUUGUAGAAAUAGACUAUCCCAAGCAUGAAAGCACUGCAACAUAGGGAAAAAAAAGUUUAAAACAAAACAAAAACUCACAAUCCAGUGAGAUUUGUCAAGGAUCCAAAUGAACUUGGAAGAUCUCCAGUGAAGUUAUUAUAUGACAAAUCCCUGCAGAAAACAAAAACUCACCAGUAAGAAAGGCCGGUAAAUACAUUGUCCAAACUUGUAAUUUGAUAUCUCAACCAGAUCACAAUUCAUCCAAUGACAACAUGCUGCGAUUUAGAGAACAAAAAUAGAAAUCAACAAACCCGUGAUAUACCAACAAAGAAGAUUAAAAGUUGAGCAUCUUUUAUUCCACAUCAACUUAAAGAAUCAAAGUUAAAACCCCCAUUUCAAUUUCACUUGAAACCCAACAUUAAAAGAGUUACAUGAAAAGAAGCAUACAGUUCUCUUAAAUUCUGUAGGCUGGUAAAUACAUUGCCAAUAGGUCCAGAUAACAAAUUGUGGCUUAGAUUCCUGCAAGGAAGGAAAAUUUCAGUUUAUGACAGAACAAUCAUGAACCAAAAAUCAGUCAGGGAAUAAGCAACUCACAAAUGUCGGAGGCUUUUCAUGGUAGGUAAAGAAUGGGGAAUAUUUUGGGUCAUAAAGUUGCAUGCCAUAUUUCUGCACAUGUGAGAAAGCAGAAUUAUAACAAUUAAAAAAAAAGAAAAAGUAAAUGAUCUAAAAUAUGAAAUUUAACCAAUCAGUUGUCUGAACUAAGCAUCAUACUUACAUAUGAGUAGCAUUAGGAGGUAAGACAUAUGGAAUUUCACCCACAAUGUUAUUCGAACUAACGUCCCUAGAAGAUUCGAAACCAGAUGAAAAUGAAUCAGCAAAAGUUGUGCUUGCACAGGCAUAUGUAAAGCUAAAAAACAGCAGAAUGAUCACUUACAAUUGCUUCAGAUUGAAGAAGUUAUAGAGCUCGCCAGUAAGAUACCCUGAGAGACUCAGACCAUGAAGUUUACUGCAUAAGGUGAGAAAAGAAUUAAGUUUGGUACAUUGUUAAGGUAGCCCAAGUCUGAAAAGGUGCAUAGUUAAUGGAGCUGUGUGCAUUACAGGUAUAUUACAGAUGACCCAGAACAUGACACUCCACCCCAUGAUUCACCACAAGGAUCCCCGCCGUCCGAUCUCCAUCCCUUCAGCUGUGGUGGGUGGUUAAGGGCUCUGUAAAGAUCUUGAAGAGCAGUGACUGCAAUGCACAGAGUGAAAUAAUAAACUUGGAACCAGUACAGCUAAGAUUAUUCUAAAUGCAUAUUCUAUUCCAGAAAAAAGAAAAAAAAAAAAGAAAAAAAAACAUUCUGCCCUUCUCAGCAGAAUGCACAACAUGGUAGUCCAAUUGAUUUUUAAUUUUAAUUUUUGUUGGUAAACUGGGAGAAGUAAGAAAGUCCAAUUGAUUAAUUAUGAACUAUUAUUUCUUCAAACCACCACAAAAAUUACUCUUUCUAAUACUGUUCAAAGACGACAGGUCGUUUUGAGCAAAAGACCGUUUCGUAAUUUUCCCGCCCAAAGCUGCGGCCUUACUGUUUGGUUGCUCGUAAAACCCUGGAAAAUUAAUCGGCACAAAAUUCGAGCCUUCUAAAUUCUGAUUCUUUUGCUUCCAACACAUAAAAAUUAAAACUUUUUUGCCCCCUUUUUCUACUCUAUUUCUUUUCUACUUUUCCUAUACUUUCUCAGUGACCAAACAGAGGAUAACGAACACUGUAUCUCUAAACAACGAUCUUCACCAACGACAUCUAUCAACUUUAACAGUGAAAAAGACUCCAUAUAGAACGACAAGAAAAUCAAAAAGAAAAAAAAGAAGGAUCAUACCAUCACGCGGUUCAGUAAAUGCCCCAGCCUCUGAAACCAGAAUGGCGGAGAUGACAAUUACCGCGAAACACACACAUAGGCUCUGUUUAGCCAUAUCCUCGAGAAUCAGACUGCGGCAAUCAAACGGAAGAAAUCUUUUCAGAAACAGUGUAACAUAAACUAAAGUUAAAUGCAUUUUCUUUCAUUUUCCUCCAUUUUCUCGGAAACUAAACGGAACAGAGUGUUCAAGAAAGAGUGCAGAACUAACCGAAAAUGCAAUCAAGAACACAAUUCUCAAAAAAAGCUAAAGACAAAAACGACGUCGAAGCUGUAGAUUGAAUAUAGAAAUGCUUAGGGUUUAUAAAUGAACCUUUGGAGGAAGCAACAGGCACAGAGAGAGAGAAAGAGAGAGAGAGAGAUUGUGAAGCAGAGAGGGUUUGGAAUGUGUGCUGUGGAGGUUGCAGAGAGCCAGAGAGACUGAUAACAAUGUCUUAACGAGUUUGACAAUCGUUGAAUAGCUGGACCCCACAUCAGCACAAAACCGUUAGUUUCGUUAUUUUCGCACGUGCCACUUCUCCGGAGUUUGUUACAAAACUGGGCCUAAUAAAAACCCGGCCCAAACCCAAUAGUCUUGGGUUCUUCAGAAAAUUGAUUUAUGUUUUUUCUUUAUUUAAAAACAAUGAAAAUAAAAGGAAAAUAAUUCAAAGGCUUACUGUUCGUUUUUGCUUAGUGAAUCGUUGUGUAGGUGCUCGAGCUCUCUGGCUAUGGCGGAAGAAGAUGAUUACAUGGGGGAUCUCUCUCAGUUCCUGACUCCAGAAGCCUCCGGCCCUCCACGGCUUUUAUCCAAAAAGGUAGGGUUUUUAAUUUGUAAGGUUAAUUUUCUGUUUGGUUCUCUAGAAAAUGCAUCAUAAGAAUCAUGAGACCUAGUUCUGACUCGUUUUUGUAUCUUUUAUUUUGUUUCUGGGUUUGUUAGUUUCUUUCUCAAUUGUCAUAAGGGAUUUGUUUGCAUCGUGGAGCAUGAGUUUUGUGUUUUUGAGCUAAUUCUUCACUUUUGGUGACAAAAGCUCUAACAGUAAUGUACCUAUCUAUAUUUCAGAUUUCUAAUAGCAAAAACCAAAGUAUUCAACCCUCUAAGAAAAAAUCCAAAGCACUAAACUGGCAAGAACAGCGUAAACUCGAUAGGGAGAGAAAGCAGCAGGAAGAGGAUGAGAAAACCUUGGCCAAAAUAGAGGCUGCUCCUAUUCCACAAUCCAACAUAGGAUUCAAACUUUUAAAACAAAUGGGGUAUACCCCAGGCUCAGCUCUUGGCAAGGAGGGAUCAGGCCAGGCUGAGCCAGUGAAGAUUGACAUUCGGCGCUCACGGGCUGGAAUUGGGCGGGAGGACCCACAUAAGGAGAAGAGGAAGAGAGAAGAAAUAAGGACUUGGGCGGAGAGGAGGAACGAGCAGGUUAUGAUGGAGGAGUUUGGGUCUAGGAAAAAGUCACAGUGGCGGAGUCGGAGAGUUGUGGUCAAUUUUAAGAAGGCGCAGGCGGCUUUGGAUCAAUUGGAGAAUAAGGAAGUUGUGCCGCCCGAGAAGAAUGAGGAUGAAGAAGAGGAGGGUGGAGGGGAGGAAGAGGAAGAGGAAGAGGAAGAAAUUACAGAAGAGGUAUGUUUCUUGAAUUGUUGUCCUUUUUAUUUUAGUGCAUAAUUGGUUUAGUGAGCAUCAUUUUAAUGUAAUAUGACUGAAAUUUUGGAUUAAAUGUGUGGUUGACAUGCAUAAUGUAGAACAUUAGAUGGAUUAUGAUGAUUUCCAUCCAAAUUGGAACUGUUAUUGGGUUAAUUUUCAGUUAGUGCCGGCUCUCUUAAAUUGGAAAUUUAACUGAGAACAAGUCCCGUCAUCUAUGAGUUUCACUAGAAUCCUAGAUAACAUGAUAAAGCAAUGUGGCCUUUAUAUAAUGUUGCAUAUUGUGGAAUUUAAACCAAAGUUUUGUUGAUCGUGUCAUUGAUCUUCCUGUCGGUAAUCAAAUUUUUCGUAUAUAGUUGGUGGUCAACAACUGGAGACUUAUACUGGGCUUAGGAUAAACUUUUAGGUGGUCUUUGUAAUAACUAGGUUUGAAAGUUUCAGCUUUGAAUAAUUUAACAACCAAGAGCUAAUUUAGGAUAUGUGAGUUGAUAGUAUCCAGAUUAUUGUAGUUCUGCUAUGCUAGAUACUCUUUCUUGGGUGUAUCAGGAGUUGGGUCUAUUUCCAGGCCUUGUAGACGAUUUCCAUCCCUUUCUGUUUCUUCCUUGUCCUAAUGCCUUUGGAUUAUUACUGCUCGAUGUUACUUGGGAAAGUUGAAAUAUUUGUUAUGCCUGGAAAUAACCUGUGAUGAUGGUUACUUUCUGCCUGCAGGAUUUGCUAGAGAUAUUGAUGAAACUGAGAGAUGAGCAUCGAUACUGCCUCUUUUGUGGAUGUCAGGUAAGCCCAGUACAUGGACUUGUUAAACUCUUACAAAGAUUUAGGAAUUAUCAUUUACUUCCAAGAGGGAAAUUUGAGCUAAAUUGCCUGUUUUCAAAUCUGAACUGCAAUUACAACAUUUUCGAUUGUCCUGCCAAAGAUUCUGCCGUUUAUUUCAGUAUGAAUCAAUGGAGGCACUAUUAACCCACUGCCCUGGAGCUGAUGAAGAUGACCACUGAUCUAAAGUUCCCUAAUGCUGUGGACACCCAGACCUUCUUCCUUGUUUGAACAGAGAAUACUGAGAGGUAAUGCAACUCUUCUUUGGAGAUGGAUGCACUUGCUUGUUAUGGAGAUUUUUUUUCAUUCUUGCUGCCGAUUGACGUCGUAAGUUCCUAUCCUCCGAUGUGCAACUCUCUGAGUGAAAAACCAGUAGGAAGGCACUGAAGUUGCUCACUCGGAUAUUCAUUUGAAAUUUGCAGCAGCUAACCCUCAGAAAUAUGUUGGGAAAAUCCCUAUAAUCGAGAUUGUACUAAAUCACACCUUUGUGAGUUAAGUUUGAAAUAUCUCCCGAGUGUGUGGAUCAAUAACCAUAUGUACACAAUUAUAGAACUUGUGGAUGACAGAUUAGCCGGGGGCUUUGCCCUGAAGUAAGAGUUCUUUUCUAGUUCUUUUUUUUUUUAGGGUUCAUCCUGCCUUGUAACCGAAAAAAGAACUUGUGGAAUUUCCUUAGAGCAGGAGUCGUACAUGUAUAUAGAAGCUCAGUGCUCAACAAUAAACUAGUGUACUUUAUUGAUAUUUGGAAAGGCUUGCCCAAUGGUUUUGCAAAUUAAUCUAUGUGGCUAUGAAAUCUCUAAUAUUUGUUUUGCCAAAUUGGAUUACAAUAUAACUCAUGAAACAUUGUAGGUUUUUAUCUGGAUAAAUUUAGGGCCCACCAGUCUAAGAUUCACCUGUAAUCUAUGGUGUUUUGAAAUAAAAAAUAGAAGAGAACAUUUAGUGCAAACCUGUUUGAAAAUUAAGCUGAACCAUGAGCCACAGCCAUAUUGCAAGCAUCAACACCUGACGGCACUGAACCCAAUUUUAGCCCAAAGUGCUUCAAAGUAAUUCACAAACUAACCACCAAUACUCAUAGGGCAAGAACUAUAUAGUGAGGGCAUUAGUAAGACUCUUAGAUGAGACCCUAUUUCUUAACUGUUAGAUCAAAUUAGUUAGUUUUGAUCCAACGGUUAGAGAUAGGACCUCAUCUAAGGGCCUUCGAUAAUGCCCUCACUAUAGAAUGACUCUACUCAUCCAAAUCGUAGCUUUAUUACUAGGUAGACAGUUCAAGCCUUCGAGGCUAACCUAGAUUACGAUAUUCGUAGUCUUAACAUACAAAGCAUGAUCAGUUUGGGUUGCUACCCAACAAGACAUAAAAACCUGCAAGAAAAGUUCCAAAGUUUUUAAAGUCACACUAAGGCAUCCACAAGAACUAGAGAAUGAGGGACCCCUUUUAAAGUGACCAGUGCAUCUGCUGGUUGGUGGAGGAGUCAUAGGCCCUGGUGUGUCCAAGUUCCAUGUGCUGCUGCUGCCUCCUGUUCUGUUGAGACAGCUCAAGCAUACCAGAGUACUGACUACUGAGAGGCUGUGAGAUUUGACCGAGACCCAGAUUGGGAAGCAUCUCGUGUGAGCUGCUACCAGCCUCAUUUCCCUUGAAACCCCACGAAGUGGUUGGAAAGUGAUUGGAAGUCCCAGCAUGAGCCAUUGGUUGAGCCACAGUUACCCCUUGGGUGUUCAUCCAGGUAUUCAAGUAGGCAUUCAUCCCAACACCCGAUACUCGGUUUCGAGAGCCACAUGGUUGAUUUGACAGAAGAGAGAGAGCACAGCUUGAGUCAGCGAUUCCUGUGAUGCAUUCUCGAGGAGGAAUUCCAGGAUCAGGAUAACUAGUCCCGCCUGCUGAACCCUGUAGAUAACGGCCGGAUGUAGUAACAGAGUUGCUCUGCCAUGCAUGUUGAAGAAACUUCCCCGUGCCAUUGGCAUUUUGAUUAACAGGUACUCGCUCAGUUCUCGUGGUCGCCCUUGCAUCCCUGUCAGCAGGCCUUGGGUAUGCAGUGAAGUCCAUCAGAAAGCUUCCAACUUUGUUGCUGUUUUCUAUCAUUUCAAGUAAAAAACAUUUUAUUGACGUUUUAUAAGUAGCAUAAGAGGAAACUGAAAAAACAUAAGAGAGCGCAAAAAUGUAUUUUAAAGGGAAAUUCAACUAUGAUGAGGUAUGUCUAACCAAAGAGAGACGAAGAAAGUCGGCCAAAACGCGUAGAUACGGAUCCAGGUUGUGGCUUUCUCCGGCGCUCAUUAUGACCAGCCAGGCGUCUACGGCAACUACGUUUUCCUUGGUCAAAUUCAGGAAGCUGAUGAAAUCUGGGAGAGGUAAGAAAAUUAUUUACCAUUAAUUUAGGGUCUGAACUAAAGACUUGAAGAAAUUUGUACCCUAACAAAAGCAAAAGCAGACAUUUAAUUAGUGUUUAGUUUGGCUAAGCCGAGGAUCUAGAUUCUUCUAUAAAGAGCAUACAUAGGUUGUGCUUGUGACACAACUGAUGUGACCUGAAAUUCACUGGAUGCUAGAUGUUCUAGUACAAAAAAGAAAAGCCCUCAGCAGAAAGACCAAGACCUUUAACAAUACUCAUAAUACAAAAACACAACCAUUUUUCAACCUCCAAACUCAAAUACAAUAAACAAAUAUUGAUGAACAAAAUAAAACAUAGGAAGUAUCAUGAACUUAAUACCCUACUCAUAUGCUGCUAGUUUGAAAGGGUCAUGUUAAGAUCGCAAAGAACAAACUAUUAAAGAGACGAUGCAAUGUACAAGUUUUCUGUCACUCGACCGAGAAUUGUUGAAGCAAAUCUCAAAAUUUUAUGUCAUGCCGGUAUAGCUCGCACUUUCUGCUGUAAUUUAGAAGAAUGUUGCACACUUGGUAUACAGCAUGGGCACGCAAGAUUCAUUUUUGAAAGUAGACCUACCAUCACAUGAAUCCAAUAAUAGAUUGCCAAUGCCGAAAAACAUAUCACAAUUGUAAUUUUAUACCAAAAUAUCAGAACCAUCAUAGAGACUAGAUAAUCCUAAAACCAUCUAGUACCACAGGUAAAUACAUUUACUGCUAAAUUCAAAUCUUAUAUUCGCAAAUGAAAUCUGUUCAGAAUGACAUGGUUCGCACAGGUUAUAAAAUUGAUCACAAGAACUUCUACAACCUUAAGAAAUUUGAGUUAAAUGAAACAACCUUGGUUAUCUGUUUCAACUCAAGUUGUUAGUCUAUUCACUAUUGCUGCAAGCGAUUCACGAGUCACAAUUUACAGUGUGAGAACUGUGUUGCACGUUCUCAAGCCUCAAUGCAGCUCAUGAAAAUAAUCUCACCAUAACUUUAGCAUACGAGCCUUGCAAUUGAAGCAUUGAAAUGCAAUGCAACACUUCCAAAUGCAUCAUUUAAGAAAACAAGUAAAGCUGAAAAGCCUUCAUCAAGGUCCAAAGCAGCUAACACUCAGAAGAACAAUCACCAAGAACAAGAUACAUAACACAAUACUCACUUACAAAUAGAAUUUGACAAAUUGGAAAGUAGCACAGCUAGAUUACAAACAAAAAUCAACAACCACAAGAAACAUAAGCUACAACCCCACCAAGCACCAAAGAUGUUAGUUUACCAGAAAAUUUAUAAACUUGAAAGUCGAACAAUGAAAUUGAAAAAAUACCCAACAAUGAAAUCUAAAAACUUUAUUAGAAAAAAGUCAAGUGCUUGCUGACCUGCUACACUGUUGGCAAAACCUCUGUUCAAGACCAGCAACAAUGACCUUAGGGGUCUUAGAGUGCAAGCCACACACUUUGUGCCUGGAAUAGUAAGCUUUGGCAUCACUCAGAUCUACCUGCUCACAAAUGUUUAUGUUUUGGGUAAGAACACUGAAAUUACUGCACUGUUUCAUUCAAUAAAGAAUGAUGAUUGAACAUAGUGUGUUAGGUUAGUUGACCAGGGCAGUGAGCCGGCACCCAAGUUCGAAUCCCUUCUCAAGAUUAGAUUAAUUUAGAGUAAAUUAUCGCUUGUAUAAAAAAUAAAAAAAAUAAAAAAUUGAUGAUUGAUACAAUUUAUAUACACUGCAAAUAAUAGAUUGCUCUAGAAUGAAAAACUGUUAGAAAACUAGUUUAGCCAUUUUCUGGCAUGAUUCUUUCUAGGAGAAUUAAUAUCCUUGAGGCUAGCUGUAAUAUAGUAGAGUAAGGUGUAUUGUAUGUUUUGUGAGCUUGGUGUCACCUGGCAGCCUUCAACCUGGCACCUGGGUGGCUGACCCGGAUGAGCCAAAUGCCCGGCCCUUUGCUUCUUUGGCGGGGUAGCCCCAGAAGAAGAAGAAGACCCGGCAGACCCGGAUUUGUAUGAAGCUCCGAGACUCGCAUCCUCAAAGUAGAUUUUCUGGCCAAAUUUUAAGCCGUUGAGUGACUCAGUGGAGGAGUUUGGUGGGGAAGAGGAAGAUGAGCUGCCUGACUCGGUCAUAGAGCUCGAGCUCAUUUCCAUGGUUGACCUCUACAGUGCAUUUAUAAUGUUUUUUGGGGUCAUGAAUGUGCCUCAAUAUAUAUAUAUAUAUGUAUGAGAGAGAGAGAGAGAGAGAGAGAGAGAGAGAGAGAGAGGUCAGUUUCUCUUUCUAAAGAAGCGGUAGUGAGAGAGUAAUAAAGGUGGUGAAUGUGGAGGGAUAGUGAAAAGCAGGGACCUGACAAUGGC